UACUUAAACCCAUCUCUUACUAUGGUUUGUAUCACAAGUAGUGGCCGUGUAGUACUUAAACCCAUCAUAUUGUUUCUUCAAACACAAAAUGUAAAACUGAAAAACAGAACCCGGAUGGGCAAAUAAGUACAUCAGAUAUGCAAUCAUAACUCUUUCAGGAUGAAUUGCAUAACUACUUGUGAACUAAGGGCUUAUAUCUGCAAUCUCAUCAUAUGUUCCAUGCCCACGAAUGUGUCACCUGUAUCAGACGGAGUAGGAUUGCUGAAUUGCGUUGAUAUCCAGUCCUUUAAGCCUAAUCAGUGAUUCAACGUGCCCUUUCAGUGUAUGCUGUUCUCUCAAUCUACAAAAAAUCAAAAUAGUGAAUGCAUAAGAGUGUACACUCCAAGCAUUAAAUUUCGGCUUUUAAGAGUAGAAAUUAAGUAAUGCAGUUUGUUGGCGUUAUAUUUAUAUUUUUACCUAGCAAUCUCAGCUCUUCUUCUUGCUUCUUCAGCCAUCCAGCUAAGUUCUCCGUAACUGCUUCGUACACUGAACAUACUGGUGUCAGGUGGUUGCAACCCAUGUAGGGUUCUCUGUGUGUGUGCCCAUAGAAGCUCACGUUUUUCUUUUCGGAGAUCUCUUUUAGUCGUGAAGGCAAUCUGCAAAAUAGCAAUUACACCAUGGAGAGUGAGCAAGAAAUUAAGCUCCAGUACUUGAAUAAAAUUUGUUGAACUCAAGCCAUCAAUACCUUUUGUUCAAUGACAAGAUCCCAAAAUUUCCUGCUAAGCACAUAUUGGAUGAAGAACUUUAUAAAAUCAAGCGGAAUGUAGGAGAUGAUAUUAUAAAGCCAAAUCACACCAGCCCAACCCCAUCCUAUUCCUUCAAUUGUAGCAAAGCUCCAGGUUGCAUAGACGGCAAUCAGUGUAGCAAUCUGCUCACAGAAUUAAAAAGGAUCAACUCAUCCUCUGUAUGUCACAAAGGCCAAAGAAAACAGCAUAUAUCACCCACCAGCUGAGCAACAAAGAAAGCCAGAGCAAGGAACAGGACAGGACACUCGACGUAAGACCAACUCCUUGCACGGGUCACGAAUAGGUGGGCUUGACUAAUGGAACUCACUUGCAGGUACACUGCCGAGACAAGUUUUCUCCAGUCGUCCACAUCCUUUUUGUUAAGACUUGAAACGCCAAAUGUACGCUGAAUGUUGCAUACCAAGUUUCAGUCCAACUUAUUGAAGACAAUGUAAAGGCAUAUAUUAUUCUCUAUAUUAUUAAAUCAAGGAAAACGAGCAUACAUAACACCCGAAUUGGGUGACAUGAUAACACAAAAGAUAAAUCACAUUACUGGAAAGAAGUCUGUCUGGUGUGCUGUCCAAAAGAAAAUCACAGUCAUCAUUGCCAAGUAACCACCAAGAAUGCUUCCAGUUACAAAGAUCUGGAUCAAAUUCCACCUUUCGGGAUGAGGAGAUGGUCUGACUCUAUCUUUUGAUAUUGUCAUAAUAAUAGCACCUGGCAAUCAAUGUACCGGGUAAAUAUCAAUAGACAAGUGUAUUUCUUAUUUGAAAUCGAUACACCUGGAUGAAAAAGAACACAAACAGUUACGAUAUACAUGCUGAGUCAAGGAAAUACACACCAUCAUUAAGAAUAGCAAUUAUCAGCACCAUGAAGGGUGGAAAGUUAAACUGCCAGAUGAGAGCUAGCAGCCUGAAAGCAAACUGUCACCAAGACAAAUAGUUAAGACGUCAAGCUGAGAUAUUCAAGCUACUAUUGUGAAGACUCAUCCAUAUUCAUCAGCAGGGCAAUAAUUACCAUAGAAGAUUAAAGUUGCAAUUACCGAAUAAAUUACACAAUACUCUCCUACAUAGUAUUUGAAACAAGCAGUGAACAACUUACUCCAAUAUGGAUGGUAAUGGAGACUGCAUAUAUCUGCGACAAGAAAGAAAUUAAUUAAGCAGCAAAAAGUGGGGACAGAGCAAGAGGGAAUCAACUAAUUCAAGUAAACAAUGCUCGUGUCUUGUUUCAAUUUUUCAAAAGUCUGAGACACUGUAAAGAAGUUACCAAUGCCCACAAAAAUCAAGUUUUCAUGAACAGCACCACUGCCAACGUCUUGGUUUAUUAUAUUAUUUAUUGUUUUCCACCUCGGGCCCUAAAAGUAAUUUACAGAACAAUGACAUGUUAUUUCAAUCUCAGUGCUUUCUUCACCACCAGGCACUCAAGCAGUGUAAAAUGUAAGCCUUAAAAUUAUUAGUUUGUUUGUCGGUUAAGGAAUGUGGAAUAUAUAGAAUUAGACAGGUUGUGAAUUCCCUCACACAAAUCCCAUCCUUCACUACACUAUCGACUAUAGAACACCUUUUCCUUAGAAUCAAAACCAACCCUCACCGUGUAAUUUCUCAUCCUCUGGAAUAUUGCUCGACUAAUUAGAACAGAAGUAAUGAUAACAUUAAGGCCAGGUUCUGUCAGGACAAUGUCGGCAGCACUACGAGCUGCAUCAGUUGCAUCAGCAACAGCUAUGCCAAUGUCUGCUUUCUUUAGAGCAGGAGCAUCAUUGACACCAUUACCGAUCAUUCCACAGAUAUGGUUCCUAGCUUGCAAAUGCUUCACAAUCUCAUAUUUGUGCUCUAUAAAGAAAAUAAGGACAGCUGUGUAAACAAAGGUAAAAAACAAAGAAAUAUGUAUGAUUAAAAUAUAAUGAAAAUGUUGUAGGAUGUAGUGAUGCAUACAUCAAGUUCAAUAAAAGCUAUACAACACUAACUUCAGUUUGUGGAUGACUACUCAAUGCAAAUUAGGAGAUCAAGCUUCGUACCAGGGAAAACACCAGCAAACCCAUCAGCUUUCUCAAUCAACUCGUCAACCGGUAAAGCAACUAUCGACUCAUGCCUGUCCUGUCCUGAUAAGGCUGAUGAAGGAUACAUGUUGGUUCCCAUUCCAAGACGACGUCCUGUUUCUUUUGCUAUUGCAAGUUGAUCACCUGAGAAAGUGGAAAAGUCAAACAGAUGGAAUAUCUAUCUUAAGGUAAAGAAAAUGCCAAUUAAAACAUUCUCAAAAAGUAAAACCAUAAGAGCAUUUAGAUUCCACCAGCAAUGCAAAAGAAAACUGACAUAUAAGCAUUUUUUCAGAUAGAAGGAUUAAACAAAACCAGAACCAACAAAAUUUCUCUAUAUAUAAAUGGUGCCUAAACAAAGACUAAAUAUUAAGAUUACAAAUUAGGAAGACAUAUAAUACAAUAAAUGGGAGAAGCACCUGUGAUCAUUUUCACGCUCAACCCAAGACUCAGUGCCCUUCUUAUUGUUUCUGCACUAUCAUGUAUCGGAGGAUCAAACAAAGGAAUGAGUCCAAUAAAUUGCCAUGGGCUUCCUGAGCUCUCUUUUGAUCCUUCAGGAACUUCCUGAAACAAAAUUAAUAAAUAUAGACUUUGUUAAUACAAAUUGCAAUUGAAGUAAUACACUGCUAUGGUGAUGCAAAGAUAGGACCUAGAACAAUGACAUAGGUAAUUCAUAUGCCUGAUAUGCCACUGCAAGAGAUCGUAAUCCUCGUUCUGCAAACUUAUUAAUCACGGCAUUGACUCUGUGUCCUAUCUCUGAUUUGUUGUGUAAAAGGUUUAAAAUCUGAAAAUCAAAAUAAAAGCAUAAGUUAAGUAAAAUGGCAUUUCAGAAUCCUAGAACGUACUAUUAGUUGUUGACAAUCAUACCUGCUCUGGAGCACCUUUGGUGACCCUAUGCAUUUUGCCUUCGCUGUCGAUAUACGUCAGAGCUGUUCGCUUACCUGUGGGGUCAAAUGGAAGGAAGUGAACUUCUUGGAUAUCAGCCCUAGCCUUGUUUAUGGUCAAAAGCAAAGAAAUCAAUGUCAACAAAAUGAUAAGACGAAAAUAUAAGAAAAUCUUCUACAAGUUGCCUUUGAGAAAACAAAAUUUCAACAACAGUUAAGCUUAACUAGAAUAAAAUACAUACAUGAAAUUCUAGAAUUCAUAAAUAUACCUUCUUUGGAUUAAAAUAGAUACAUGAAAUUCUAGAAUUCAUAAAUAUACCUCCUUUGGAUCAGCCAACAUUCCUACUAUAGCAGCAUCUAUUACAUCCAGGUUUUCCACUUGGGAGGCUCGAGCUGCCAUCAGAACAACAUCGUCUAUGUCCACUCCUCUAGCAAAGAUCUGAACAAUGAUCCAGGCCAAAUGUUGAAAUACACAUUGCAAUUCUAACAGCGAGCAAAAUUUACACCAACCUCAAUUAGAUUCUUGUCAACUGUUAAUUUGUUCAAAGUUAGAGUUCCAGUUUUGUCACAGCAAAGCACAUCCAUGCCGGCCAUAUCGACUAUUGCACUCAUCCUCUUUGUGAUAACUCCCUGCAGUAAUUAGCCCAUAUAUGCUUGCAAUCAUCAACUAAUGACCAUAUAAAGUAACAUCAUUAUAAAUAACAACAAAGACCAACCUUCAAAGACAAUCGUUGGGAACCAAUCGCCAUUGUCACUGAUAAAACAGUAGGCAUGGCAAUAGGAAUUCCUCCAAUAAGAAGCACAAGUAAAUUUUUAAGUCCUGUGCGGUAUUCCCUGUGUUGAAUCGCGUACAUGACAAUGAUCUCUGCUAUUAACCCCAGUGCAAUUGAACAAAUACAAUAUUCCCCAACUGCAGACAAGAUCUGUAAACAAGCCCGCCCGCCCCAACAAAAAAGCAAAAAGUUUCGGUGAAUGAUAAUGUGAAAUUAAACAUAAAAAAAAGAGUCUUAAGGAAUGUGAAUUCGUGUUUUCUUACCUUUUGAAAGUGACCCACUUGAUUUGUGGUAUCCACAAGAUGUACAGCUUUGCCAAGGAAGGUGCGAACACCAGUGGCUAUGACCACAGCUUGAAUCUCCCCUUGUUUGCACGUAGAGCCAGAAUAUACACAGUCACCAGGACCCUUACUUACGGUAAGAGACUCGCCUGUGAGAGCAGACUGCAACGUACAAAUUGAAAUAAGUUAAAUUAAACAGCUCAACUUUACCAAAUCAAUUCAAACAUACAAAGUUUGCAAAAGCUCACCUGAUCAAUUGUCAAUGGAUCACCUUCGAAGAGACGAGCAUCAGCAGGAAUAAUGUCACCAAGCUUAACACUGAUGACAUCACCAGGGACAAGAAUGGCUGCAUCUUCCUCCUUCCAGUUUCCAUCUCGAAGGACCUAAAAUAAUAUCUCCAAUUACAGGAAUGCUAGAGCCUAGAGCCACAAUCUCUUCUUACAGAGUAUUAUUUUACAAAUUAAUAUGACAUAACAGUUUCUGAUUUCAAUUCUCAUUGAGUUAAGUUGAUAUGAACUUAAUAAUAAAUUUAUUAGAUAUGCAAAUGCACUAACUCACCAAUAAUCUUAUCCUGACAACUAUUCAAGCGUAGUCAGUACCUUAGCUUUAGGAGCCAGACGAGCCAUGAGAGCUGCGCUGGCAGCACCAGCAUUGUUCUCCUGAAUGAAACAAACUGUUGAAUUGAUAAGAAGCAGGGUUGCUAUCCCAGUAAAAUCUUGCCAUUCAGGAGGUUUACCCUGCAAAAAUGAAAUGGCCAACAGUAAGAUGUUGUUUACAAAAUGAGUUAAUAAAGAUAUUUUCAUUUCCAAAAACAUCAAAUAGAAAACACCAUUUUUUUUUAUAAAACAAAUUUUAAAAAUAUAAUUUGAAUAACAGUACUCAAUACUCACUCCUCCAUUUGCAAGUACGAUUGCCAUGAUAGCCGCAGCUUCCAUGACCCAUGAGAGAGGGUUCCACAUAAAUCCCAAAAACUUCAAAAUUUUACUUUCCUGCCAAAAAUAAAUAAAUAAGUAAAAUAAAAUGCAAAUAAUAAUUAAAAAAAUACAAUCAACAAAAGCAAAAUGUCUUACAAUCAUUAAAAGGGAUCUUUUUUUAAUUAAUAUAACUUUCCAAUAAAAUAGCUAGCAAGGAAAAAAAAAAAGACAAAAAGUAAAAUUACCCUUUUCUCCUCAAGCUUGUUGUAGCCAAAUAUGGAAAGUCUCUGCUCAGCAGCCUCCGUUGAAAGGCCCUCUUGACCGCACUUCAAAGUCUCAAAAACCUCUUCCGUCGGCACGUUUUCCUGCAGACCAAAAACCUGAACUUCCUAACAAAACAAAAUUACCUAGAAGGCAAAAACACUUAAUAACACUGAAGAAAACGUGGCAAAAUAGUCAUAAACAUUCUCAUAUUUUUGGAAAUUAUCACGUAGAUAACUUUUUAGCCAACUUUUUUCCGAUAAAAUUUAUUACAAUCAAAAAACAUAAUUGUCAUAAAAGAGAUCUAUCAGUCUUUGUGACGAUUUGUCCAAAAAUAAAAAGAUCACCGUGACUAUAUCUUGCCAAGCCAUAGGGGCGUCGGUGUCUUUUUCUUAAUGGUAAACUAUAAACAAAAACGCAAAAAACAGUACUAAAACAAUCAAGAACCGAGAUGACAAACUCUGUUUCAAUACCAAAUCCACAGCUUCAUUCAUUAUGCCCUCCAUUUCUUCUCAAUAAACUCACUUUCUUCACUUUCGUUGCCUUCCUUCAAACCCCUUAAAAGCCAAGUAAUUAAACAAAUCAUGUUAAAACAAAAUCACAGGAAAAAAAAAACGAUGGAAAGACAGAGAGAGAGAGAGAGAGAGAGAGACUCAAAAACAGAGUAAUGUGUUUUGCUUUUCACCUUUUAAUUUGAGAAAAUUCUCUGCUUGUAGAGAUAGAAGGAGAGAAUAGUUUUAAUCUCUUUCUCUCUCUCUCUAGAAGCUAUAAGCGGAAGCUUUCUUUCAGUGCAAGAUUUCUUUUUUUGUGUCUGUAUGUUCUGUCUUGCCUUCAUUUUUUUUUUAAUUUUUAAUUUUUAUUUGUGCUGUUCUGUUCUCAUGUUCUGACUUUUCCUCUUAUUUUCUUCCUUCUAGAUUAAUUUAUAAUAUCAGUGAAAACAACCCUUCUGUAAAUGAUUGUAUCCACACUACUGUAUCAAGUAAAGUGUCUCUGCAUGGCCAGGGCGUUUGUUUAGGGCUCCACAUUAUAAAAAGAAGAUGACUUGUCUUACCAAAACACUCAGGACAAGUGUAAGGAAAACAUAAACCCCAACAUUCUAAGUCAAUUUAUGCAGCGGGCGCACUGUGGAUUCAUUUGUGAAGAUAACGACAUUAAAAUAACGUGUAAAUUAAUGUUAACGGUACAUAAAACGCAAGCGGAUUGGUAUAAACUUGGAUCGAAAUUGCUAAUAAGCUUAACCGGUCUAAUCUUUUGGGAUGACAUAAAAAGCUUAAAGUUCAAACUAUAUUCACGUAAGUGAGGAAGAAACUAAAUUAUUGUCAAACGAAUUAAAUAUAAAAUCUACUACAAAAUAUGUACUUGAACUCACUACCCACUCGAAGAGUUAAAAAGCUUUAAGUGAGACUGUAGUUAGGAAUUCAGCAAUUCAUAAGGUUAUUAGAGGUUCCAUAAAGUUAUGUGGAGAUGCCAAUUUUGUUAGGUGUGGAGGGCGAAUAAACGAAUCGAAUUUAAAUCGAAUCGUAAAUGAAUUGGGUUAACACUUUACUGAUUCAGAUUUGAUUUGUUUAUUAAACGAAUUGAACUUUGGGGAUUAGAAUAAUAAAUUCAAAUUUGAAAAAAAAAAGCUUAAAUUCCUAAUUUAUUAUCAAUAAUAAAUUUAAAAAAAACUUAAAAUUAUAAUAUUAAACUCUCUUUUAAGUGUUAAUUAAUUAAGAGAGUGCUUGAAUUAGAGAAUUCAAUAUUAAAAAAUUAAAUUUCUAAACUUUUAUUUACUUCAUUUUCUUUAUUUAUUAUUUUAUUUUGAAAUAUUUAUUUUUUUAAUUUAUUGUUGAUUAUAACAACUGAAUUAGUAUUAAUUUAUUUCAAGUUUACAACAAUUUUUUUUAAAAUUGAACAAAAAAAUAAAAAUUCAAGCUCGGCCUAAGCCCGACCCAGGCCCGUAGUGGGCUCGGCCUAGGUCCAGCCCUUUCACUCUUAUCUAAUGGGAAUGGGCUUGGGCUUGAGCUUGAAAAAGCCCGACCCAAGCCCUUAAUUAACUAACCCCAAUUAAAAUUCAAAUUAUAAACCAAGAUGAUUUCUUUAAUUCUCUUCAUUUUGUUUUUGUUACAUUGAAAACAAUAGUCCUACAAGAAAAAAGUAAAUAAAAUAAUAUUAACAUGUUGCAACACUGAUAAGAGUCAUUGUAAUAUUUCAAAAUAUCAAUUAUUUACCAAAUUUUGUAGUAUUGAUAAAAAAAAUAAUAAUUAAGUCUACAAAGGCAAGAAAAGUCAGCAAGAUAAAACUUUGCCUAUCACACUCCCACAUUGUCACUAGCAUCAUUGGCACUCUCUUCAUCUCUUGAGAUCGAGCACUAUUACUGCUCAUGUUCAUAAUGUUUUCAAUAAGUUGGGCCAUAAUGACAUCAAAAAUUUCUACAAUAAUGGUGCAUUUGGCGUACUGUAUUGUAUUUUAUUAUAUUGUAUUAUUUUAAUACAUAUUUAUUUAUUAUACUGUAUUAUAUUAGAACUGUAUUAUAAUAAUAUCGUACAACAUUUAGUACUACAGUGUACUAUAUUAAUUUUUAAUUAUAUUAUGUUUGGUGCUGCAUUGUAUUGUAUUAAUAUUUUUUGGUGAUUGUUUUAAAUUAUAUAUUGAGAAACUAAUAUUUAUUAGUACAAUACUUAAGGAAAUACUAAUUAUAGAAAAUUUGAACUUUAGAACUUUUGCAUUAAUUUUUUCAGUAAAAAUGUAAAAAAAAAAUUAUAAUUCUCCAUAUAACAUAUGUAAAACUAAUAAAUUUUAAAAUUUCAGCUGCAUAACAUUUAUUUAUUUUUUUAUUUUUUCUAAAUAUAUAACUUGUGAAAUACAGAUAAAAGCCACUAGCUCAUUCAAAUAACGAUGGGGAGAUUUUUUUAAAAAAAGCAAUAAAUAGAAAAGCUUUAUUAUUCAAGAACAUGGACGAUGAUGGUAUAAAGACUGCAUUUUAGAGUCUAAAAUGGUAACGUAUUCAUCAAGCGUUGAAAUCACUGCUUCAAUUUUUAUUUUUUUUUACUAAAAUGUCGAUUGGUUAUCAAUCACAAGUUCCAUUUUAUUUGCACAUUCCAAUUUACUUAAGUUGCUGAGUGGCGGUUGAAGCUUCUCUACUUCUGUUUUAUGAACGUGCGUAAAUUUGAUGAUACCCUAGGCCCCAAUUACUGAAUUCCAAGCAAUUUCAUUGACCAAUCCAUCCCAGAUCGAAAUGAUGUGGCAAAAGUGUAAGUUUCUGUUGUACUCUCACUUUAACAUGUCGCCUUGUAGCCUACGGUGGCUCAUCUUCAUGACAAUCCCAAAGGGCUUGAACGAUAAUUUCGCCACAACUUUCCCUUCAAACAGAAUGAGGGUGACAAUGGUGUCGGAUUUGAACUUGAACAAGGACAAAUCGUGGCUAGAUUCUUUGAGGUUGAUCUUGACGCGGUCUAUUGUUUUGGUCUCGGACUUUUUGGUGGAGAUUUUAGCUAGGUUUUCAAUUUUUAUGGUCUUCAGUUUCUUGGAGGAUUUGAGGAAUUUGUAAGAAUUAGUUUGGUAAAUGAGUGGCUCAGCAAGUAUAUUGAGUGCUUUUAUCUUAGCUUCUUCCUCUUUCCCUACCAUGCCUUUGCAAUAGCGAUUGUUUCAUCUGAGACGCAAACGAUAGGGAGAACCUUGUCUCAAAAUAAUUGCAAUUUACAAGCCCGCAUAAACCCGAUUCCCCCAUAGAUUUAGUAUGUGUGGGUUUGACAGCAUAAAUUAGAUAUUUGACUACAUUACAAUACUAUACAUUAAAAUUACAAAACAUGGUAUUAUAAUCCUUUAAUACUUUGAGGGGUUUUAAUACCAUAUAAUGAGAAGUACCAAACAUGCACUAAUUUUAUAAAAAUAAAUCUUAAUUAGUAACAAUUGAAUAUAAUAUUAUAAAAGAAAAAUAAAUUAGUUUCAUGUGAAAGUCUUACAAUCUCUCCAAAUAUCCAAUCUCUUAUAGUAACAAUUGCUUGGGCAAACUUUGAUUUCAAUACACUUUAAAGCUGAUCAAGAACUUGAUUGCCAACACUAAAAGUCGAUUUAGAUGCAGCAUGGGAUAUAAGAAUGCUUAAGAUAUCACGAGCCAUGGAAGAAAGAUUAGGAUAACGAAAUAUGUUUCCUUUCAAAAAACUUAGAAUAUUUAAAUCAACCGUUCUAUCCAUUUUUGGUUAAUCUAAAUAAGACGGGAAAUUUACAGUAAUAACCAAAAAAAUUUCCCUUUUUUUCAUCUUAACCCCCCAAAAAUAUUUCUAUCAAUAUUAGCCAUUAAACAACAUUUGAGACCAAAAUACCCCUCCCUCAUCUCUCCCCCAACACUCCCUUUCACUCAUCUCUCCCAAACCGAUCCAACUCCCACCAUCGGCGGCGACAUCAACCCUCCUCGGCGGCGGCUCCAUCUCUCACCGGCAUCCGAUCUACGAUCUACAACCUUCAACAAAAUCUAGGUUAGUCAUUUUUCUUAUUUUCAUUAAUUUAAAAUGAGAUUUUAGAAUAAUAAUAGUUAUAGCUUGAGAUUAAUAGUGGUGGUGAUGAUGUUUGUGGUGGUUGGUGGUGUUUGGGAGUAUUGUUUUCGAUUUUGGAGUGAUUGUGCUUAAUUUUGCGGGUGGGGAGGGAGGGGAGCAGGGCGCGCGCGCGCGCCCAUCGCUGGGCAGCAGCGCGCGGCCAUGCGCGGCACGCUGUUGCACCAAAUCUGGUGCGACAGGCGCGCGCCCGUCGCACAAGCUCGGGUGCGACUGGCCCUGUCGCACCAAUUUUUGGUGCGACAGGCUUGCCCGUCGCACCAGUUUUGGUGCGACAAGCGCGCGCCCGUCGCACCAACAAUUAAAUUUUUUUUUUGUAAGGAGUUAAUUUUUUUUCUGUAAAUGUAAUGUAAUAAUUUUAUAAAUAUUACAGAUACAUGGCGAAAUCAGAAUCACCGGAUAUUGAAGUAAGGCAAGAUGUAUUUUCAUUAUGCUGAUCAUUUUCCUGGUCGAAUUUCGAGCAUGUGUAUGUUAUCUUCGGUCGUUAAAGCCAUCGAGGAAAAAUUAACAAACCGGCAGUUGCGUAUGUUCAAAAAGGAUAUAUUUGGGCAUUUCUUGGAGUGUCGAAGUUUUCCAUUUAGUGGGGUAAUUUUGCACAAUCUUCUACUGCGGCAAGUGGCCCAUGAAGAAGAUAGCCGUGAGGAUCAGUUAUGGUUUCAAAUUGGUAAGCAUGUGAUUCGCUUGUCAAUUGUCGAAUGGUGCUUGGUUACUGGACUUUCAUUUGGUGUGGAUACCAAUCAAAAAAAUGAUGAAAUGGAGCAGAGGCUACGGAAUACGUAUUUUGGUGGUGUGCAUCGUAAGAUUAAUGUGAAGCAAUUCGAUGCAGUAUUUAAGGAGUUGAAAUUCGAGGAAAUGAACGAUAUGGACGCAUUAAAGAUUGCGCUGUUUUAUUUUGCGGACAGAGUACUAAAUGCAAGAAAAAAUCACUGUCAAAUUAAUUUCGAUUGGCUUGACCAAGUUGAUGAUAUACAGUACUUCCGAAAGCGUCCAUGGGGUCUAUUGUCGUGGGAAAUUAUUUACGAGAGUCUUGACAAUGCACUGUUCGAGAAAGACGAGAAAUUUAAGAAGACUCGGUUGAAAAAUUCAGAUCAUAAUAUUGAAAAAUACAAUCUUUACGGCUUUACGUCUGGGGUUCAGGUGCUAUUUUUUUUUGUUUAUUAAUAAGUUUUAUAGUAUUAAAUAUUUGAUAGUUGUUUUAUUUGAUUUUUCACUUUGGUUGUUGUAGGCUUGGAUUUACGAAGCAAUCAGAGGGUUGCCAUCAACAUGGGUCGUCAAAACGAAGAAUAAGAUUCCCCGCAUUCUGCAAUGGAAGCCCAUGGCGUCGUCGAGAAUCAACUUUGCGGAGGUUUAUUCGUUCUUCAACGACGAAUCUCGUCUUGUAAGUAAUAUGUAUCACUUAUUUUUUAAACUUUACUAAAUUUAAGUUAUGUAUACUUACUUAAAAUUUUAAAUUGAAUUUAUGGAAGGGGGACGUUUUACAAACCCUUGAGCCAAAUUCAAAGGAGAGUAGCAAAAAUUAUUGGCUCUCUGUGAAGGAUUACUUGCCAAGCAUUCCAGACUGGGUUCAUAAGGUCGGUAUACUCUAAGCACUAAAAAUUUGUUAAUCGAAAUUUUUGACUUUUCAUUUACUAAUUUUAAAUGAUACUUUAUACAGCACCAACCCUCAAUCAACGCGAUGUCGUCGGUUACAAGGCAAUCAGACGAGCAUGACGAUCAUGACGACAACCCAAUACCAGAGCAGCGUCAUGACACUUUUGCGGAUGAGGUGGGGCAUGACACUUUUGAGGAUGAGGUGGCUGUUGAUGACCACCAGCAGCAAACAGACAACUCUGAUGACGCACGGGAUUCUGAGGUUAGAAAUAAUAUUCGAUAUUUUUUUAAUAAAUUAUUAAUUUUUUAUUGUUAUUCUAAAGUUUUAUUUUUUUCUUUUGUAAUAGUCGAGGACAAAGCAGUUUAAUGAUUAUGUACGACGACGGCUGGAUAAGAUUGAUCGUAACGUGUAUGAAAUAAAGUCAGAAUUAAAAGAUUUUAAAGAAACCGUUGUUAGCUUCAUCGACACAUUUUCUAAACGUCCAAAUAAGGAUUCUCCCACUGCACGCUCGUAUGCGGUAAGCUAAUUUAAAUUUAAUAAUAAUAUUCGUUUAACUUUUAAUUUGAUAGUUAUUUAAUAUGUUCUUUUUGGCGAAUGUACAGGCCCCGGAUGACGUUGGAGUGUAUACUGACGUGGGCAAUGAAAAUUUGUCUACGCCCACGUCAUUGUAUAGUUUCUACGGGGAUGUAAGUGGGGAGAGCGUGCAGGUGUUCACAGAGGUGCCUCCGGGCGUUAGUAAGUUCGGCCGCGCGUACAUACCGUCGUAUGUUUAUAACAGUCCUUACAUGAUUCCUCCGGUCAGGCGAGGACAGAACGUCCGGCCUUUACCUCGACCCCAAAUCAUGGAGCAUGCGAUUGACAUGAGUACGAGUGUGGAUGUAAAUCCACUGAGAGGAUUGGAGGACUCUAGUCUGUUUGCUGAGUUUGAUCGAUGGUUUACUGGUGAUAGCAGAGUCCGUCAAAGAGUCCAGCACCCGCGGUCAUUCUUUCAAAUAAUUUUGGGGACAGCUUCGAUGGGAUGGUUAGGCGAUGAGGUAUUUAUAAUUUCCUCGUGGUGUAUACUGUUGUGGAUUUGUGUAUAAAUUUAUUUUUAAAAACUCGUAAUAUUUCUGUUUCUCUACAGCAUAUUCACGAGUAUCUCCGCUUGAUUAGCGAGAAGCAACGGCAGUAUCCAAAUGCCUUACUCCAAUGUGUCACACAUACUGACACAUUUUUUUGGGUAACGUGCCGACAAAACUUAUAAAUUUAUGUGGAUGUAAAAAUUUAAGUUUUAUUAAUUUAUGCAUUUCUUGGUUAUCUAUGUAUUAGGUGUUCUUGAAUCAGUUAUGGAAUAACGGGAAUUGUGCAGUCGAUUCAAUGGUAUUCGACGACCGCGUGAAUAGUUAUCUUUGUGGCCGACAGCACACAAUGUCUAAAUCAAUGACGGAUGUCGAUAUGGUAUGUAUUUUAUUACAUUUCACAUGCUAUAUAAUGAAAAUAUUCAAGUUGUUGCUUUUUCUUUGUUGUAUUUUAAUUUCAUACAUAACGAACAUGUUUUUCAAUUGUUAUAUGCAGUUACUCAUCCCUGUUAACUUCAACGGCGCGCAUUGGGUACUAGCACGAGUUGACUUUCGGAAAAACAAAGUCUGGAUUUAUGACUCAUUACUCACAAAUCGCGACGACAAAAGGUACAAGUUGAAAUUCAAGCCACUUGAAGUUAUAUUCCCUCGAUGGUUGGAAUAUGUUGGCUUCUACAAUAUCCGACCGGAGUUGCAGAGUGAAGACCCGUGGAAAGUUAUCGCAGUUAAGAGCGCGCCACAACAAGAGCCCGGCACUGGCGAUUGCGGUGUUUUUGUAUUGAUGGUUACGAUGUAUUUAAUGUUCGGGCUUAGAUUGGAGUUUAACGCUAGUCAUGUCGAGUACUUUAGAAAGAAGAUUGCGGUUGAUAUAUUUAAUGACGAUAUUCAAUUGUAAACCUAUGUAGUAAUUUAAAUGUUGAAAUUUGAAUUUUUUUUACUUCGCACACUUAAGUUUAUAUAAUUUUAAUGCCUCACAUUUGAAACUUUAAAUAAAGUUUUAUGAAAUAUAAGUGUACAAUACAAAAAAAACAGUAACAGUUUUAACCAACGAACACAAAAAUAAUAAUAGUUUUAACAAACUCAUAACACACAAAAUACAACUAACUUCGAGUCGACGCAAUGAGAUUCUUACAUCUCUUACGAUUAUGGCCUAGUUCAUGACACCGACCGCAUCUUACAGUCCGCCGGUCAACGUCCUCGCCAGCCGAGGGUAUUCUGAGCUCUUUACGACGGCCAGGUGGUGGUGCCUCAACUGGUGGGUAUACAUGCAUCUCCUGAAUUUCAUCUGGAAUUUCCCAAUCAGCCACAUCACCAACUGGCUCUACUGGUUGUGCAUAAGCCAUCGCCAACGAUUCUGUAGUGUAAAAGUCCGAGCAAAGGUUAAUAAAAUCCACCCGGUGUGUUAGACACGCCGCAAUUGCAUGAGCACACACAAGCUGAUCAAGCUGGAACACUCUACAGGAGCAAGUUCUCUUUUGCAAGUCAACCAACCCUUCCUUAAGCCCACCGCCUAUAACUUGAAAGCGAUGCGGAGACACCGGCCGAACUAUCAUUCUUUCAGCUAUAGUUCUCCUCUCAGUGACUAUUUCAUCCGCCCAUGUUGUUAGCCGAGUAGUCAUUGAUUCAGCCACAAUUUUCCUAUCAUAAAACCAUUGCUGCAAUGUUUUCCUAAAGUGAUCAACAAGAUGAGUCACAGGAAAUUUUCGAGGUUCCCUCAUGAACGCAUUAACACUCUCCGCGAUGUUCGUGGUAAGAAUGUUGUACCUCCUACCUUCAAACUGCGACCUUGCCCAAUUACACGUACCGACAUUAUUUUCUAGGUAAUCAGCUGCACCCGAGUGGAUCAUCCACAACCCUUCAAGUUGUCUCUUAAAUUCCUCGUGGCCAUAUGCUUUUGCUGCAUUAAUAAAGGCAGGCUCAAAUUGAUCCCAAAGAGCUUUGGACAUUCUAAACUGAGACUUAAUGUUACCUUUGACGUGGUAAAAACAAACGCCAUGAGUUGCAUUGUGAAAAACUUUAAGAACGGCUCUCCGUAUGGCAGUGCAUCGAUCAGAGAUAAUUACCAACUCAGGUCUAUCGCCAAUCACUCAGUGUAACUUCAUCAUAAACCAUUCCCAAGCAUCGUUGUUUUCUGAAUCCAUGAUCCCAAUGGCUAACGGAUACAAUUGAUUGUUACCAUCAAGACAUGUUGCCACGAAGAUGCUUCCACGAUAUAAUCCCUUCAGAUGAGUACCAUCUACAACAAUGACAGGCCGAAUGUACUGCAUAAAACCCUUGAUGGAAGAUCCGAGUGCUACAAAAUAGUACAAGAAAUUACCAUCUCCAUCCUGCUCGAGAUGAGUGACUGUACCCUCAUUCGUUGUAGUUAGUACGUGAGAGUAUUUAGGGAGCAAGUUGUAUGACUCUGCAGGGUUGCCUCGAACUAUUUCAAGACCAACUUCUCUCGCCCGAUAUGCCUGCUGGUAUGUUAACUGAACACCGUAUUCCUGUUGCAUAUCUGCUCUUAUGUCAUUCGGAGUAUAAAUCCUCUUGUCUUGAAUAUAUUUUUCUGCGAUAAUAUGACCGACAACCUGGCUCCUGACUUGAUGACGUCCAUCAACCAAUACCUCAUUAUGACAAGUGUGUACAUUGUCAAUUCUCUUCACCACCCACGGAAUAUUUUGCUCGUUCGAACAUCUAGUUGCUCGAAUACGCCAUUUACAUGAUUCUGAACAACAGUGAGCCUCGAAACGUGUCGUAGUAGACCGUGCAAUCUUGAAAUCAAACUUAUCUCUAAAGGCAACCUUGCGUAGUUGUAAUAUAAACUCAUUUUUCUCAGCAAAUAGCUUACCCACACUGAUAUCAUCUGAAUCACAACUGCUAACAAAGCUUGGAGCAACCAUAUUCGAAGGCAAAGUUGGAGCAACACUUGUAAGGGGGUCAAUUCGCCUUCUCGAUCGAACCAUAGAAGGAAUAGGUCUAUUGCCUCUGUUAUUCACAUGAGUAUUGUCUUCACACUCAUCCUCAUGCUGAAACGACGGAACAUUUGAAGGACCGGCUCCUCCAUCAUCACCAUCAUUAUUGAAACGAGUGCCCCCCUCGUAGUAUUAGAAGGUUCUGCACAAACAUUAUCCCCCUCUGUCUCAUUAUGAAAAUCAUCAUUGUCCCGAAAAAUAUUGUUGUGAUACGGAGAAUAUCGUUGCUCCAACGACGUUGUUAUUGGAAAUACCGUUGCUCCAACAUCCUGUAACAUAACGCCAUUAUCAUCAAUGUUGUCAUAAUUGUCGUGGAUUGGAGAGUAAUAUUGCUGCAACGAUAUUGUCCUUGGCAACACCUCUUCAUCAUUAUCGGGGCCAGACAUAUUUGCUCUAAACGAAGUUUCUGUAUCGACAUGUGGCUCAAUACCUUCGCUCGGAACUCGAGGUGAUGUGGUCACGAAUAUAGGAAUGCAUCCAAAAUUAGCUACGUCCGAUGCCAUAUGCAACACAACCCUCACCAUUUCAUCAUCGCAUAUAUCCAUGGGCAUUGCACAUAUACGAUAUAAUGUGUUACUAGACCUCAAAGUUGUCUUCAUGGUGAUACUAUAGUCAUUAGGGUUUAUUUGUAACACCUCGUAUACUCUUGCCAAUAACUUAUCAAACAGAUAAUUUUUUCCAACUAAAAAUGCUCGAUUUUUACCAUUCACGUACUCCAUACGGCUAUUCUCUAAUGUCUCCCACCAACCAUCGUAACACAAUUCAAGUACAACUGAAUCAAUUAAGCCUGAAAUUAUUAAAAAAAAAUUAUUUCCGCCAUAUUAAAAUAAUUUAGUUUUAAUAAUGUAUUUCAUGGUGGGUGCGACAGGCAACCUGUCGCCAAAAUCUUGGUGCGACAGGCACCCUGUCGCACCAGGGUUUGGUGCGACAGGUGCCUGUCGCACCAGGCUUGGUGCGACAGGUUGCUUGUCGCACCAGGUUUUGGUGCGACAGGUGCCUGUCGCACCAAGUUUUGUUGCGACAGGCAACCUGUCGCCAGAUCCAGAUUUAGCCCAGUUGUUCAGAAAAUAAUUCAUACCAGUAAGUGAUGUCGAUUUGUGUUGGAUUCGGAUGUCGAUUUGUGUUGGAUCCGGAUAAAUUAUGAUCGGAUAUCACUUUUAUCGUUGUCUUUUACGGUCGCCGUUGACUGAUGAAUCAAGAGCUAAAAGCUGCUUUUGGUUUGGCGAUAUGGGAGAAACGAUGUUGGUUUUGUUACGCAAAGAAGGGUAAUUUGGGAAGAAAGGCUUGUGUUUGGCUAAUGUUGAUAGAAAAAAGUUGAGAGGGUUAAUUGCAAAAAUAAUAAAAUAAUAAUGGUUAUUUUCGUAAAUUUCCCAAAUAAGACUCUAAUUCAAAUUUUCUAACAUAGGCAUGGCAAUCCAUGCUAUCAAGAUCAUCAAACUCCUGCAAAAUAAUUAAGAAAUAAGAAUAGUCAAAAUCCAAAACAAGUAUAAAUAAGGAAAUAAUAAUUUUUAUAAUAACCAGAAAAGAAAAUUGUAAAUGUACCUUAAAUAGUUCCAUGGUCCAUUGGUUAAGUGUAUUUAGACUAUUGUCAUUAUUUCCCACACUUGAACGAACAUCACUCAUUUGAGUGAGUGUGGAUGUGGUGAAGAAAGAUAGUGUGAUAAAAUUGUACUCACUAAAAGCUGAAAAAACUUAUCCCGAACAAGUUCUAACUUCUCUAAAUUUUGAUCAUAAGUAAUGUCUUAGGAAAAUUUAAUGAAUGCCAUCUUGUAUUGAGAAUGCAAGAUGACCACUAUCGACCAAAUGGUACAAAAAUCAAACCAAUAUUUCUCAAACUUUUCGAUCAUUUUUUAUGCCAUAGUUUUCAUAAAUACAUCUUCACUAUGCAAUGAUGGAUGCAAAACAACAUUAGACGCAAACACCUUUGAAAAUAUAAACUUGAGCUAGGGUAUUUUGAUCUGGAAAGAAUGCGUAUGAUCUCAUAAAAUAUAGACAAGAAUUUGUCAAUUUUCUCUAUUUUCCUCUACUCUUCUUCAAAAAACAACUCUUGUAAUUAGAAUCACAUAAUUGUAAAUGAUAGCAAGCAUUUUUGUAAUACAUAACAUUAUCAAGCAUAAGAAAAGUUGAAUUUCAUCUUAUAGGAACAUCUUGUCUUAAUCUUUUCUUGUCAUCUAGAGAUACUUACUUAACGUGCUCCAAGAAUUUUCUUUUUCUAAUUUGUGACCCUUUGACAUAUUUUAUACUCUCAUGGGAUUUUUCUAUUUCUUCCUCAAUUUCUUUCAAUCCUUUUUGAACAAUCAAUAUAAUAAUAUGAGAAUAACAUCGAAUAUAAAAGAAAUUCCCAUCACAUAUCAAAGUAUUCUUUAAUCUCAGUUGACUUUUUAACGGUGCAACACAAACAUCAUUACUUGAAGCAUCGUUUAGAGUUAAUGAAACAAAAUACACAAUAAUGAUAAUAUUGCUCACAACAACGUACUUAAUGCCACAUUUUUUAUAAAAUGCUCCUGGUUUAUUGUCUGGAUAUUUAUCUCAUGAAACCUUACAGAAUAAUGUCCAAACUUCUGAAGUUAGUUUUCUUUGUUGUGGUCCAUUUUGUUCUGCUAAUUUGAAACUUUUUUCAAUCUUAUCUUCCAUUUUGAUUAUGUCAUUUACAUCUAAUGAUGGCCAAUGGGCCGUUCCAACCCACCAAACAUCAGCCCACAUAGGUCGGCAUAAAAACCCAACAAUCUUUUUCUUUUUCUUUUAAGCACACAUGUCCAACGUGUCUAAAAAAGUCCACUAGCCUAAUAAUAAUAAUAAUAAUGUUAAUAAUUUCAUAGAUUAUAGUAAUGAUUAAUAAAAGAUAAAAUUAUAAUCCUAAAAUAAUAAUUACACCUAAUUUUAUUUGAACUACUAAAAUUAUAGUUGCACUUGAACUCCAUUGAAUGAAAAUGUAAUUUUUAAUUUAUCAUAAUUUUAUUUUGUUCAUAAUUUUUUUUUUGUGCAUAAAUAUGAAAAAUAUUUCAUUCACAAAUGAAACAUAUCUCCAUUAACUAUUAACUAAGUUAUGAUUUCAUAAAUGAAAUAUUAAUGUUGUAAAAUUUUUUAUUUAUCAUUUAUAAAAUAAUGAUAUUUAUUUAUCCAUUUAAUAAAUUAUAAACAUAAAAAAUUAGAAAAUUUAUUUAAACUAGGACUUAAAUUAAUUUUUAAAAGCCUAUGCUAAAAAAAUAUAUUAAAAAAUUUAAUUGCAAGAUAUUUACAAAUUCAUGAUAUUUUAUAUUUAUUUUUCAUUAAAAAAUUUUACUUUGAUAUACUAUGGCACAUGUGCUAUUGAUGGCCCACGAGCCGCAUACUUAGCCCACCAAUAAAGCGUGCUUAUUACGUGCCUUUUUGCAUGCUGUGCUUUUAAGGUUUGCGUGCCUAAAAUUCUAGGCCCAACAUUGCACGAGCGCGUGUCCUACUGAAACGUGCUCGUGUCGUGCCGUGCUGUACAGACACGUGCAGUGCCCGUGCAGUGCCUCAUGCCGCCUGACCCAUUGGCCAUCUCUAUUUACAUAAUCAUCUCCAACACUGGAAUCAUUAAUCGUGUAGACUGAAUUACUAUAGCUUAUGUCCAUUCUCCUAUGAAAAAAAAAACAAUUCAAAAUUAGUUAGCAAGAUGAAUUAACAAUUUAACUUAAAUAAUUAAAACAAAAAUCAAAAUUAGAGGGAACACAUUUAAGAGUAGAUGCAAGUUCGGAUAAUAGAAGCUAGGGGGUGGUUAUUGUAAUGCCAUUUUUCAAAGACUAAGAUUUGCUAGUUUCUUAACGAGUUAUUGAAUUAAAGUGCUAGAUUGAUCAGGCUUAUUUAAUUAUUAAAUAUAAUCCUGUUUCAAGUGAAUCAUCCAAAUUGCUUAUUUAAUUACUAAAUAGAAUCAUGUUUCGCGUGGCAUUUUAACCCCUACUAUUUCUAAUUUAUUAACUCUAACUAUCAUUUACUCUGGUUGUCUUUUAUGGAAUAUAAUGGAUAUUUAAUCUUACCUACUAAACCUACAACCACAAAUCCUACCUAUCACCCAAGCUCACAUAACUUAGAAAGUUCUAUGAGAUAAGCUAGACUAUGUCUUUUGGACUUGGAUAAAAAACAAGUUUAUGAUCCAACACCCCCUUAAACUUAUUUUAUAACACCCAAUAAAGUUCUCGAUCUGAAGAAAUCUUCUUGCUAGUACAAGAUGAAGCUCAAGUAUAAAGUAUUUGUUCAUUUCUCAAGGGCAAGGAUCUAGGGUAAAUACCAAUCAAAAAGUAGGAAAAAGACAUAAAAAUUGAAAGGAUUCGAUUCGAGCAAUUUUGAAAUCCAAAAGCAAGGGGAAAAUUUGUUGGAAUUGGGAAAACUUUUUCUACCAAAAGUGUAUCUUGUAGGAAUUAAUUGUUCAUAUGAUUCUUUUAUAGAAAAAAAAAAUCAAAAGGGGAGUGUGUUGCUGCCAUUUUUAAAAAUAAAAAAUGUUAAAAAUCACUGAAGUAAUGUUUAAACCUAAUGAUUCAAAGCAGAUAUAAAAGGAUCCUGGAAUAAAGAAAUACCAUUUCAGCAAUUUGAUCAUGUGAUUUGACAUACUUUGCUUAUAUUUCCUUCUUUUAAUGUACUCCCAUAUGAAAUGGUUGCGAGAGUCAAUAUGCUUACGUGGAUAAUAGAAGAGAGGAUUCUUAGUUAAGGCAACUGUUGAUUGUUAUCAAUGAAAAUCUCUGUAAGCUCUUCUUGUACAAACCCAAAUCCUUCAAUGAGCUCUUUAGCUAGAUUGUAUGACAAAUACUUGAUGUUGUAGUUACAUACUCAACUUCGUAGGUAGAAAGUGUAACAAUAAGUUGCUUCCCUAACAUUCAUGUGAAAGCAAAAUCUCUCAUAAAAAACACAAAUCUUGUGGUGCUCUUUCAAUCAUUUUUAUCUCCACUCCAAUUGUUGUAUCUCAGUGCCAGUCUUAUUGUUUUUGCACUAUCAUGUAUAGGAGGAUCAAACAAAGGAAUGAGUCCAUUAAAUUGCUAUGGGCUUCUUGAGCUCUCUUUUAAUCCUUCAGGAACUUCCUGAAACCAAAUUAAUAAAUAUAGACUUUGUUAAUGCAAAUUCCAAUUGAAGUAAUGCACCGCUACAGUGAUGUGAAGAUAGGACUUAGAACAAUGGCAUAGGUAAUUCAUAUACCUGAUAUGCCACUGCAAGAGAUCGUAAUCCUCGUUCUGCAAACUUAUUAAUCACUGCAUUGACUCUGCGUUCCAUCUCUGAUUUGUUGUACACAAGGUUUAAAAUCUGAAAGUCAAAAUAAAAGCAUAAAUUACAUCAAAGGGCAUUUCAGGAUCCUAGAACAUACCAUUAGUUGUUGACAAUCAUACUAUUAGUUGGUGACUCUAUGCAUUUUACCUUCACUGUCGAUAUAUGUCAGAGCUGUUCGCUUACCUGUGGGGUCAAAAUGGAAGGAAGAGAACUUCUUGGAUAUCAAUCCUUGCCUUGUUUAUGGUCAAAAGCAAAGGAAUCAACGUCAACGAAAUGAUAAGACGAACAAAAUAAGAAAAUGUUCACCAAGUUGCCUUCGAGAAUACAAAAAUUCAUCACACAUAAUGCGGCUCAUUUAUUAAUAUGACAUGUUUGUUCAACGUGUGUAAUUUUGUUGACCUGCUUAACACAUUUAAUUAAAAAGAAAAAUUAAAAAUUAAUUUAAAAUAUGACUGACAGACAGACUAUGUUAAUUUAUUCUCAAAUGAGUCACAUAUAUUGGUUGACCUAUUAUGAUUAUGUUUACGACAACUCCCAAGAAUAAUUGUCAUAAGUAGAUUAUAAUUACAUUUUAUCUUGUAUAUAAUCUACUUAUUUAAGGUAAUACGUGUGAUGAAAAUAUAAUUAUUAUAUUUUACCUAAAGCUCAUCAUGGGUGCGAAUCAAAAGCUUUAUUUAGGGAGCAAAUAAAAAAUUUGCUUGAAAUUCAAAAUUAAUAUUCUAAAAAAAUAAGAUUUAUUAGGACAGCUGCCGCCCUUGCUGGUCUCUAUCUUUGUGUUAAAUUUUUCAAUGCGCGAGUAAAAAACACUGGAAAGUAAUUGAAGGCACACGUUAUAUAUAUAUAUAUUAAUCUCAAGAAAAUGAGUAAUUAAUAUAGGAAACUGACUCUAUGUGGACAGAUGUUUAAUGAUAACCACUUAAGGAUAUGUAUUUGACUUAUUUUGGUUCUUAUUUAUUUAUUAAUUAAUAUAGGAUGCUUUUUUAAGUUUCUAUUUCUAAAUCAAAAUAAAUCGUGAUUAUUCGUGUAUCAUGAAAUUUUUAUAAUUCACUCUGUGUAAGCUAAAAAUGAGUGUGUUGGGUGGUAAUUCAUAUUCAAGACCUAGCAUGGUUUAGCUUUUCCAUAAGCCACAGCUCUGAAAACACUUGUAAUUGUAAUUUUGAAGUUGAGUGGAUUUUACUCUAUGGGUGUUUUUAUACAAAAUUCAUAUUAUUUUUUUAUUAAAAUUGUUACUUAAAAAUUAUAUUUAUCAACUAUUUGAGAAAUAGUUAGUAGACAGCUAAAUUGUUACUUAGCUGGUAUGUUUAAAACUAAUCUAAAAAUAUUUAGAUUAAUUAAAGAAUAACUUUUUAGCCCAAAUUUUUUUUUUUUUUAAGCUCUAAUAAAAGUAAUGAUAAAGAUUUUUCGAAUCAUAAAUACUGAUCUAAGAAUUAAUGCCUAACUCCAUAGACUAAAGGGAAAUUUACCCAAACAAUAAAGACUGACAUUAUAUUAAUGAUCUUCCGUUGCAAAUCAAAUGCUUCUCAACUUCACCUGCAUUUCUUUUCUUUUGGAGAUUAGAAUUUUGUAACUCUCACCAGUUUUUGAGAAAUGGGCCACCACGGGGAUAAAAAAUAUUUAUUUGAUGUGGAACUGCGGAUGAUGGUUAAUUAAUCGGUAAAACUUACUGUGAGUCGCACAAAAGUAUGAAAUUUAAACUUAAUUUUCAAGAAACCAGACAAACGCAAGCAAAUUCUAUUAUAGCUUUUUGAUUACUUCCAAAAAUAGCAGGUUGCAUUUUUCAAAUUGUCAAAAAGAAAUGAAACAAAGAAGUUAAAAAGCUUUCGCUAGUAGUUUUCAAGUAACUUUCUUUAAAGGUCAUCCAAAUUCCAAUUCUGAGAAGACGUGAGACUAAAAAUUCAAUCUGAAUUUUAUCCACCACCUCCCCAGUUUUUCGAAGGUAUAUACAUUGAAAAAAAGGUUAAAAAUUUUAAUAAACAGGUAGAGAAAUAUAUUACUCUUAUAAUGGUUUGUAUCACAAGUAUUGGCCGUAUAGUACUUAAACCCAUCAUACUGUUUCUUCAAACACAGAAUGUAAAACUGAAAAAACACAACCCAGAUUGGCAAAUAUAUACAUCAGAAAUGCAACUAUAACUCUUAUAGGAUGAAUUGCAAAAUUCCUUGUGGACUAAGGUACUUAUAUCUGCAAUCUCAGCAUAUGUUCCAUGUCCACGAAUGUGUCACGUGUGAUCUGUAUCAGACGGAGUAGGAUUGAGGAAUUGGGUUGAUAUCCAGUCCUUUAAGCCUAAUAAGUGAUUCAACAUGCCCUUUCAGUGUAUGCAGUUCUCUCAAUCUGCAAAAAAUCAAAAUAGUGAAUGCAUAAGAGUGUAUGCUUCAAGCAAUAAAUUUCGGCUUUUAAGAGUAGAAAUUAAGUAAGUAAUGUAGUUUGUUGGCGUUAUAUUUAUAUGUUUACCUAGCAAUCUCAGCUCUUCUUUUUGCUUCUUCAGCUAUCCGGCUAAGUUCUCCGUAACUGCUUUGUGCACUGAACAUACUGGUGUCACACUGUGGCAACCCAUCGAGGGCUCUCUGCGCCUGUGCCCAUCGGCGCUCACGUUCUUCCCUUCUGAAAUCUCUUUUAGUUAUGAAGGCAAUCUGCAAAAUAGCAAUUACAGUAUCGAGAGUGAGCAAGAAAUUAAGCUCCAGUACUUGAAUAAAAUGUGUUGAACUCAAGCCAUCAAUACCCUUUGUUCAGUGACAAGAUCCCAAAAUUUCCUGCUAAGCACAUAUCGGAUGAAGAACUUUAUAAAAUCAAGCGGAAUGUAGAAGAUGAUAUUAUAUAGCCAAAUCACACCAGCCCAACCCCAUCCUAUUCCUUCAAUUGUAGCAAAGCUCCAGGUUGCAUAGACGGCAAUCAGUGUAGCAAUCUGCUCACAGAAUUAAAAAGGAUCAACUCAUCCCCUAUAUGUCGAAAAGGCCAAAAGGAAACAGCAUAUAUCACUCACCAGCUGAGCAACAAAGAAAGCCAGAGCAAGAAACGGGACAGGACACUCGACGUAAGACCAACUCCUUGCACGUGUCACGAAUACGUUGGCCUGACUAAUGGAACUCACUUGCAGGUAUACUGCCGAGGCAAGUUUUCUCCAGUCGUCCACAUCCUUUUCGUUAAGACUUGAAACGCCAAAUGUACGCUGAAUGUUGCAUACUGAGUUUCAGUCCAACUUAUUGAAGACAAUGUAAAGGCAUAUUUUAUUCUCUAUAUUAUUAAAUCAAGGAAAACGGGCAUACAUAACACCCAAAUUGGGUGACAUGAUAACACAAAAGAUAAAUCACAUUACUGGAAAGAAGUCUGUCUUGUAUGCUGUCCAAAAGAAAAUCACAGUCAUCAUUGCCAAGUAGCCACCAAGAAUGCUUCCAGUUACAAAGAUCUCGGUCAAAUUCCACUUUUCUGGAUGAGGAGAUGGUCUGACUCUAUCUUUUGAUAUUGUAGUAAUAAUAGCACCUGGCAAUCAAUGUACCGGGUAAAUAUCAAUAGACAAGUAUAUUUCUUAUUUGAAAUCAAUACACCUGGAUGAAAAGGAAUACAAACAGUUACGGUAUACAUGCUGAGUCAAGGAAAUACAAACCAUCAUUAAGAAUAGCAAUUAUCAGGACCAUGAAGGAUGGAAAGUUAAACUGCCAGAUGAGAGCUAACAGCCUGAAAGCAAACUGUCACCAAGAGAAACAGCUAGGACGUCAAGCUGAGAUAUUCAAGCUACUUUUGUGGAGACUCUUUCAUAUUCAUCAGCAGGGCAAUAAUUACUAUAGAAGAUUAAAGUUGCAAUUACCAAAUAAAUUACACAAUACUCUCCUACAUGGUAUUUGAAACAAGCAGCAAACAACUUACUCCAAUAUGGAUGGUACCGGAGACUGCAUAUAUCUGCGACAAGAAAGAAAUUAAUUAAGCAUCAAAAAGUGGGGAUAGAGCAAGAAGGAAUCCAGUAAUUCAAGUAAACAAUGCUCAUGUUCUUGUUUCAAUUUUGCAAAAGUCAGAAACACUGUGAAGAAGUUACCAAUGCCCACAAAAAUCAAGUUUUCAUGAACGGCGCCACCGCCAACAUCCUGGUUUAUUAUAUUAUUUAUUACUAUUUUACCUCAGGCUCUAAAAGUAAUUAACUGAGCAAUGACAUGUUAUUUCAAUCUCAGUGCUUUCUUCACCACCAGGCUCUAAAGUAGUGUAAAAUGUAAGCUUUAAAAUUAUUAGUUUGUUUGUAGGUUAAGGAAUGUGGAAUAGAUAGAAUUAGAUAGGCUCAGGAAUUCAGUUGCCUCACACAAAGCCCAUCCUUCAGUACACUAUCAACUAUAGAACACCUUUUCCUUAGAAUCAGAACCAACCCUCACCGUGUAGUUUUUCAUCCUCUGGAAUAUUGCUCGACUAUUUAGAACAGCAGUAAUGAUAACAUUAAGGCCAGGUUCUGUCAGGACAAUGUCGGCAGCACUACGAGCUGCAUCAAUUGCAUCAGCAACAGCUAUGCCAAUGUCUGCUUUCUUUAGAGCGGGAGCAUCAUUGAUACCGUUACCAAUCAUUCCACAUAUAUGUUUCCUAGCUUGCAAACGCUUCACAAUCUCAUAUUUGUGCUCUAUAAAAGAAAUAAGGACAGCCGUGUAAGCAAGGGUUAAAAAAAGAAAUAUGCUACGAUUAAAAUAUAACGAAAAGGUUGUAGGAUGUGGUUAUGCAUACAUCAAGUACAGUUCAAGCUAUACAACGCUGACUUCAGUAUGUGGACGACUACUUAAUGCAAAUUAGGAGAUCAAGCUUUUUACCAGGGAAAACACCAGCAAACCCAUCAGCUUUCUCAAUCAACUCGUCAACUGGUAAAGCAACUAUCGACUCAUCCCUGUCCUGCCCUAAUAAGGCUGAUGAAGGAUACAUGUUGGUUCCCAUUCCAAGACGGCGUCCUGUUUCUUUUGCUAUUGCAAGUUGAUCACCUGACAAAGAGGAAAAGUCAAACAGAUUUAAUAUCCAUCUUAAUGUGAUGAAAACGCCAAUUAAAACAUUCUAAAAAGGUAAAACCAUAAGAGUAUUUAAAUUCCACCAGCAAUGCAAAAGAAAACUGACAUAUAAGCAUUUUUUGAGAUAGAAGGAUUAAACAAAAGCAGAAACAACAAAAUUUCUCUAGAUAUAAAUGGUGCCUAAACAAAGACUAAAUAUUAAGAUUACAAAUUAGGAAGACAUACUACAGUAAAUGGGAGAAGCACCUGUAGUCAUUUUCACGCUCAACUAGGAACACAUAAUACAAUAAAUGGGAGAAGCACCUGUGAUCAUUUUCACGCUCAAUCCAAGAUUCAGUGCCCUUCUUAUUGUUUCUGCACUAUCAUGCCUAGGAGGAUCAAACAAAGGAAUGAGUCCAAUAAAUUGCCAUGGGCUUCCUGAGCUCUCUUUUGAUCCAUCAGGAACUUCCUGAAACCAAAUUAAUAAAUAUAGACUUUGUUAAUACAAAUUGCAAUUGAAGUAAUGCACUGCUAUAGUGGUGUGAAGAUACGACCUAGAACAAUGACAUAGGUAACUCAUAUACCUGAUAUGCCACUGCAAGAGACCGUAAUCCUCGUUCUGCAAACUUAUCAAUCACAGCAUUGAUUCUGCGUCCUAUCUCUGAUUUGUUGUGUACAAGAUUUAAAAUCUGAAAGUCAAAAUAAAAGCAUAAAUUAUAUCAAAUGGCCUUUCAGAAUCCUAGAACAUACUAUUAGUUGUUGACAAUCAUACCUGCUCUGGAGCACCUUUGGUGACCCUAUGCAUUUUACCUUCAGUGUCGAUAUAUGUCAGAGCUGUUCGCUUACCUGUGGGGUCAAAUGGAAGGAAGUGAACUUCUUGGAUAUCAGCCCUUGCCUUGUUUAAGGUCAAAAGCAAAGAAAUCAGUGUCAACAAAAUGAUAAGACGAAAAAUUAAGAAAAUCUUCUACAAGUUGCCUUUGAGAAUACAAAAUUUCAACAACAGUUAAGCUUAGCUAGAGUAAAAUACAUACAUGAAAUUCUAGAAUUCAUAAAUAUACCUUCUUUGGAUCAGCCAACAUUCCUACUAUAGCAGCAUCUAUUACAUCUAGGUUUUCCACUUGGGAGGCUCGAGCUGCCAUCAGAACAACAGUGUCUGCAUCCACUCCUUUAGCAAAGAUCUGAACAAUGAUCCAGGCCAAUUGUUGAAAUACAAAUUGCAAUUCUAAAAGUGAGCAAAAUUUACACCAACCUCAAUUAGAUUCUUGUCAACUGUUAAUUUGUUCAAAGUUAGAGUUCCGGUUUUGUCACAGCAAAGCACAUCCAUGCCUGCCAUUUCGACUAUUGCACUGAUUCUCUUUGUGAUGACACCCUGCAGUAAUAAGCCCAUAUAUGCUUGCAACCAUCAACUAAUGACCACUAAAAGUAACAUCAUUAUAAAUAACAACUAAGACCAACCUGCCGAGACAAUCGUUUGGAACCAAUCGCCAUUGUCACUGAUAAAACAGUAGGCAUGGCGAUAGGAAUUCCUCCAAUAAGAAGCACAAGUAAAUUAUCAAGUCCUGUGCGGUAUUCCCUGUGUUGAACCGCGUACAUGACAAUGAUCUCUAAUAUUAACCCCAGUGCAAUUGAACAUAUGCAGUAUUUUCCAACUGCAGUCAAGAUCUGUAAACAAGCCCGAGAGCAAGAGUUUCGGUGAAUGAUAAUGUGAGAUUGAACAUAAAAACAAGUCUUAAGGAAUGUGAAUUCGCAUUUUCUUGCCUUUUGAAAGUGACCCACUUGAUUUUUGGUAUCCACAAGGUGUACAGCCCUGCCAAGGAAGGUAUGAAUACCAGUGGCAAUGACCACAGCUUGAAUCUCCCCUUGUUUGCACGUAGAGCCUGAAUGUACACAGUCACCAGGGCCCUUACUUACGGGAAUAGACUCGCCUGUGAGAGCAGACUGCAAUGUACAAAUUGAAAGAACUUAAAUUAAAUAGACCAACUUUACCAAAUCAAUGCAAACAUACAAAGAUUGCAAAAGCUCACCUGAUCAAUUUCCAAUGGAUCACCUUCGAGGAGACGAGCAUCAGCAGGAAUAAUGUCACCAAGCUUAACACUAAUGACAUCACCAGGAACAAGAAUGGCUGCAUCUUCCUCCUUCCACCUUCCAUCUCGAAGGACCUGAAAUAAUUUCUCCAAUUACAGGAAUGCCAGAGCCUAGAGCCACAAACUCUUCUUAAAAAGUAUUAUUUUACAAAUUAAUAUGACAUAACAGUUUUUGAUUUCAAUUCUCAUUGAAUUAAGUUGAUAUGAACUUAAUAAUAAACUUGUUAGAUAUGCAUAUGCACUAACUCACCAAUAAUCUUAAUCUGACAACUAUUCGAGUGUAGUCAGUACCUUUGAUUUAGGAGCAAGACGAGCCAUGAGAGCUGCGCUGGCAGCACCUGCAUUGUUCUCCUGAAUGAAACAAACUGUUGAGUUGAUAAGAAGCAGGGUUGUUAUCCCAAUAAAAUCUUGCCAUUCAGGAGGUUUACCCUGCAGCAAUGAAAUUCCCAACAGUAAGAUAUUGCUUACAAAAUGAGCUAAUGAACAUAUUUUCAUUUCCAAAAACAUCAAAUGGAAAACACCAUUUUUUUUUUUUCGAAAACAAAAUUUAAAAAUAUAAUUUGAAAAACAGUAAUCAAUACUCACUCCUCCAUUUGCAAGUACAAUUGCCAUGAUAGCCGCAGCUUCCAUGACCCAUGAGAGAGGGUUCCACAUAAAUCCCAAAAACUUCAAAAUUUUACUUUCCUGCCAAAAAAUGAAUAAAUAAAAAAGUAAAAUAAAAAAAAAAUACAAUAAACAAAAGCAAAAUGUCUUACAAUCAUUAAAAAGGUAUCUUUUUUGAUUAAUAGAACUUUCCCAUAAGAAGCUAACAAGGAUGAAAAAAAAAUGCUAAAUGUAAAACUACCCUUUUCUCCUCAAGCUUGUUGGAGCCAAAUAUGGAAAGUCUCUGCUCAGCAGCCUCCGUCGAAAGGCCCUCUUGAUUGCACUUCAAAGUCUCAAAAACCUCCUGCAUCGCUACGUUUUCCUGCAGACCAAAACCUGAACUUCCUCACAAAACAAAUUACCUAGAAAGCACAAACACUUAAUAACACUGAAGAAAAUGACGAACUCUGUUUCAAUACCAAAUCCACAUCUUCAUUCGUUAUGCUCUCCAUUUCUUCUCAAUAAACUCACUUUCUUCACUUUCGUUAUCUUCCUUCAAACCCCAUAAAAACCAAGUAAUUAAACAAAUCAUGUUAAAACAAAAUCACAGGAAAAAUAAACGAUUGAGAGAGAGAGAGAGUAAAAAACAGAGUAAUAUGUUUUGCUUUCCACCUUUUAAUUUGAGAAAUCUCUUUCUGUAGAGAGAGAAGGAGGGAAUAGUUUUAGUCUCUCGAGAAUCUAUGAGUGGUAGCUUCUAUAAGUGCAAGGUUUCUCUUUAUAUGUCAGUGUGUUCUCUCUCCUCCAUUUUUUUUUUAAUUCUUUAUUUUUACUUGUCCAGUUCAGUUCUCGCGUUCUGUCUUUUCCUUUAAUUUUCUUGCUGGUAACUUAAUCGAGAAGGUGUGUCGAAACAACCCCAUUUUACUUUCCACACUACUGCAUGGCUUUUGCUCUGAAGUCAAUGCAACGAGGAAUUUGUUCAAAAGUCAAGCAUGCAGUUGUUGAGUGAGCCAUCCUACCAUGCAGAUACAGCCCAUGCAUGCAACCGGUACAACCGGUUUUUAACCGGUUAAUAUAAUAAAAAUUACAUUUUUUUUGUUUUGAAUGUGAAAAAAUAGGGAAAAAAGGAUAAAAUUGUAAUUAAAUGAGGAAAAAUAUUGCAAUAAUUUUAAAUUUACAAAAAAUUUAAAAAAACUAGAAAUAUGUCAUAAAAUUGUCAUAUUCCUACUUAUUUUGUCAUAUUUCAAUACAUUAUAUAAUGUAUGUUUCAAGUUUACUUUUCAAAUCUCUAUUUUUUGUAACGAUUUAUCUAAAUUUUGGUAAGUUGUUUCGACUCAUUUUCCCACUAGUUUUUAGUUCUAUAUUUUUACUCUUUUCAUUAAUUUUUAGAUUUUUUAAGUGGAUAUUUCAAGUUUAAUUUCAUAUCUCUACAAUAUGUUAAAUUUUUAUCUAAUUUUUGGUAAAUUAUUCCGAUUUAUUUUUCUACCACUUUUUGGUUCUAUAUUCCUAUUCUUUUUAUUGAAAUUCAACAUUUUAAAUAAAUAUAUCAAGUUUAUCUUUUAGAUCCCUAUAAAUUAUUUCAAUUUUUAAGUUAACUUCUUCGACUCUUGUAAAAACCGUGGCGCGGAACAAUGGUAAGGCUGCUGUUACCGUAGAAGUCCACGCAAAUGGUACGUUGUUCAAACACACACAUGCAGAUGGUGAUAAGAAAACAGCUAAAAACGUUGCAUGCAAAGAAUUGUUGAAUGAGUGAGUAUUCUAGCUUUCCUGGGACUAAGCUUAUGAAUUUUCAGUAGUUGUCAUAUUCUACACUUCUUCUAACAAAAUAGAUUUUUAAACACUAACAAAAGUAACGACAGAGAUAUUUCGAAUUAUAUUUAAAAAUGCAACUACUGAUGGAAGAAUUAAUGCCCGACCCCAAAGACUAAAGAGUAAUUUACCUAAACAGUAAAGAUUUAUAUUACGUUAAUGAUGUUUCCUUGCUAUUCAGAUGCUUCUCAACUUUACCGUCAUUUCUUUUCUUUUGGAUGGUUAUCAUUAGAAUUUUGUAACUCUCACCAUCAAGAGGAUAAAAAAUUUAUAAAGUUGACGUUUGGAACUGUGGAUGGUAGUUGAGUCUUUUAAUUGGUACAUUUUUUAAGGUAUGAAGUUUGAACUUUAUCUUUUAAGGAAUCAGAUAAACGCAAGCAAAUUCUAUUAUAGCUUUUUGAUUACAUCCAAAAAUUGCAGGUUACAUUUUUUUAAUUAUCAAAAAAAUAAUGAAACCCAAAAGUUAAAAAGUCUUCACUAGUAGUUUUCAAGCAACUUUAUCUAAAGGUCAUUCAAAUCUCAAUUCUCAGAUGGUAUGAGGCUAAAAAUUUAAUCUGAAUUUUACCCACCACCUCCCCACUUUUUAGAGGAUACAUACAUACAUACAUAUAUAUAUAUAUAUAUAUAUAUAUAUAUAUAUAUAUAUAUAUAUAUAUAUUUCAAAAUUAUGGUUUGUAUCACAAGUAGUGAGCAUAUAGUGCUUAAACCCAUCAUACUAUUUCUUCAAACACAAAAUGUAGAACUGAAAAACACAACCCAGAUUGGCAAAUAUAUACAUCAGAAAUGCAACUAUAACUCUUUCAGGAUGAAUUGCAUAAUUACUUGUGGGCUAAGGCACUUAUAUCUGCGAUCUCAGCAUAUGUUCCUUGUCCACGAAUGUGUCACGUGCGAUCUGUAUCAGACGGAGUAGGAUUGCAGAAUUGGGUCGAUAUCCAGUCCUUUAAGCCUAAUCAGUGAUUCAACUUGCCCUUUCAGUGUAUGCACUAUGCAGUUCUCUCAAUCUGCAAAAAAUCAAAAUAGUGAAUGCAUAAGAGUGUACAUUCCAAGCAAUAAAUUUCAGCUCUUAAAGAGUAGAAAUAAAGUAAUGUAAUUUCCUGGCAUUAUAUUUAUAUGUUUACCUAGCAAUCUCAGCUCUUCUUAUUGCUUCUUCAGCCAUCCGGCUGAGUUCUCCGUAACUGCUUUCUACACUGAACAUGCUGGUGUCACGCGGGUGCAACCCAUGGAGGGUUCUCUGCUCCUGUGCCCAUCGACGCUCAUGUUCUUCUUUUCCGAAAUCUCUUUUAGUUGUGAAGGCAGUCUGCAAAAUAGGAAUUACACUAUGGAGAGUGAGCAAGAAAUUAAGGUCCAGCACUUGAAUAAAAUUUGUUGAACUCGAGCCAUCAAUACCCUUUGUUCAAUGACAAGAUCCCAAAAAUUCCUGCUGAGCACAUAUCGGAUGAAGAACUUUAUAAAAUCAAGCAGAAUGUAGAAGAUAAUAUUAUAAAGCCAAAUCACACCAGCCCAACCCCAUCCUAUUCCUUCAAUUGUAGCAAAGCUCCAGGUUGCAUAGACGGCAAUCAGUGUAGCAGUCUGCUCACAGAAUCAAAAAGGAUCAACUCAUCCUCUAUAUGUCAGAAAGGCCAAAAGGAAACAGCAUUUAUCACUCACCAGCUGAGCAACACAGAAAGCCAGAGCAAGAAACAGGACAGGACACUUGACGUAAGACCAACUCCUUGCAUGUGUCACGAAUAGGUGGGCCUGACUGAUGGAACUCACUUGCAGGUAUACUGCCGAGGCAAGUUUUCUCCAGUCGUCCACAUUCUUUUUGUUAAGACUUGAAACGCCAAAUGUACGCUGAAUGUUGAAGACAAUGUAAAGGCAUACAUUAUUCUCUAUAUUAUUAAAUCAAGGAAAACGAGCUUACAUAACACCCGAAUUGGGUGGCAUGAUAAAACAAAAGAUAAAUCACAUUACUGGAAAGAAGUCUGUCUUGUAUGCUGUCCAAAAGAAAAUCACAGUCAUCAUUGCCAAGUAACCACCAAGAAUGCUUCCAGUUACAAAGAUCUAGGUCAAAUUCCACUUUUCUGGAUGAGGAGAUGGUCUGACUCUAUCUUUUGAUAUUGUCAUAAUAAUAGCACCUGGCAAUCAAUGUACCGGGUAAAUAUCAAUAGACAAGUAUAUUUCUUAUUUGAAAUCAAUACACCUGGAUGAAAAGGAAUACAAACAGUUACGAUAUACAUGAUGAGUCAAGGAAAUACAAACCAUCAUUAAGAAUAGCAAUUAUCAGGACCAUGAAGGAUGGAAAGUUAAACUGCAAGAUGAGCGCUAGCAGCCUGAAACCAACUGUCACCAAGAGAAACAGUUAAGAUGUCAAGCUGAGAUAUUCAAGCUACUUUUGUGAAGACUCUUUCAUAUUCAUCAGCAGGGCAAUAAUUACUAUAGAAGAUUAAAGUUGCAAUUACCAAAUAAAUUACACAAUACUCUCCUACAUGGUAUUUGAAACAAGCAGCAAACAACUUACUCCAAAAUGGAUGGUAAUGGAGACUGCAUAUCUCUGCGACAAGAAAGAAAUUAGUUAAGCAUCAAAAAGAGGGGAGAUAGCAAGAAGGAAUCGACUAAUUCAAGUUAAAAAUGCUCGUGUUCUUGUUUCAAUUUUGCAAAACUCUGAGACACUGUAAAGAAGUUACCAAUGCCCACAAAAAUCAAGUUUUCAUGAACAGCACCACCACCAAUGUCUUGGUUUAUUAUCUUAUUUAUUAUUAUUUUACCUCAGGCUCUAAAAGUAGUUUACAGAAAAAUGACAUGUUAUGUCAAUCUGAGUGCUUUCUUCACCACCAGGCACUCAAGCAGUGUAAAAUGGAAGCUUUAAAAUUAUUAGUUUGUUUGUAGGUUAAGGAAUGUGGAAUAGAUAGAAUUACAUGGGUUGUGUAUUCCCUCACACAAAUCCCAUCCUUCACUACACUAUUGACUACAAAACACCUUUUCCUUAGAAUCAAAACCAACCAUCACCGUGUAACUUCUCAUCCUCUGGAGUAUUGCUCGACUAUUUAGAACGGCAGUAAUGAUAACAUUAAGGCCAGGUUCUGUCAGGACAAUGUCGGCAGCACUACGAGCUGCAUCAGUUGCAUCAGCAACAGCUAUGCCAAUGUCUGCUUUCUUUAGAGCGGGAGCAUCAUUGACACCGUUACCGAUCAUUGGACAUAUAUGGUUCCUAGCUUGCAAAUGCUUCACAAUCUCAUAUUUGUGCUCUAUAAACAAAAUAAGGACAGCCGUGUAAACAAGGGAAAAAAAAAAAAGGAAAUAUGCUAUGAUCAAAAUAUAGUGAAAAGAUUGUAGGAUGCAGUCAUGCAUACAUCAAGUUCAAUAAAAGCUAUACAACACUGACUUCAGUAUGUGGACGACUACUUAAUGCAAAUUAGGAGAUCGAGCUUCAUACCAGGGAAAACACCAGCAAACCCAUCAGCUUUCUCAAUCAACUUGUCAACUGGUAACGCAACUAUCGACUCAUCUCUGUCCUGCCUGAAUAAGGCUGAUGAAGGAUACAUGUUGGUUCCCAUCCUGUUUCUUUUCCUAUUGCAAGUUGAUCACCUGAGAAAGCGGGAAAGUCAAACAGAUGGAAUAUCUAUCUUCAUGUAAAGAAAACGCCAAUUAAAACAUUCUUAAAAAGGUAAAACCAUAAUAGUAUUUAAAUUCCACCCGCAAUGCAAAAGAAAACUGACAUAUAAGCAUUUUUUCAGAUAGAAGGAUUAGACAAAACCAGAAGCAACAAAAUUUCUCUAGAUAUAAAUAGUGCCUAAACAAAGACUAAAUAUUAAGAUCACAAAUUAGGAAGACUUAGUACAAUAAAUGGGAGAAGCACCUGUGAUUGUUUUCACGCUCAACUAGGAAGACAUAAUACAAUAAAUGGGAGAAGCACCUGUGAUCAUUUUCAUGCUCAACCCAAGACUCAGUGCUCUUCUUAUUGUUUCUGCACUAUCAUGUAUAGGAGGAUCAAACAAAGGAAUGAGUCCAAUAUAAUGCCAUGGGCUUCCUGAGCUCUCUUUUGAUCGUUCAGGAACUCCCUGAAACCAAAUUAAUAAAUAUAGACUUUGUUAAUACAAAUUACUAUUGAUGCAAUGCACCACUAUAGUGAUGUAAAGAUAGGACCUAGAACAAUGACAUAGGUAAUUCAUAUACCUGAUAUGCCACUGCAAGAGAUCGUAAUCCUCUUUCUGCAAAUUUAUUAAUCACGGCAUUGACUCUGCGUCGUAUCUCUGAUGUGUACAAGGUUUAAAAUCUGAAAGUCAAAAUAAAAGAAAGCAUAACUUACAUCAAAUGGCAUUUCAGAAUCCUGGAAGGUACUAUUAGUUGUUGACAAUCACACCUGCUCUGGAGCACCUUUGGUAACCCUAUGCAUUUUACCUUCACUGUCGAUAUAUGUCAGAGCUGUUCGCUUACCUGUGGGGUCAAAUGGAAGGAAGUGAACUUCUUGGAUAUCAGCCCUUGCCUUGUUUAUGGUCAAAAUAAAAGAAAUCAAUGUCAACAAACUGAUAAGAUGAAAAACUAAGAAAAUCUUCUUCAAGUUGCCUUUGAGAAUACAGAAAUUUCAACAGCAGUUGAGCUUAACUAGAUUAAAAUACAUACAUGAAAUUCUAGAAUUCAUAAAUAUACCUUCUUUGGAUCAACCAACAUUCCUGCUACAGCAGCAUCUAUUACAUCUAGGUUUUCCACUUGGGAGGCUCGAGCUGCCAUCAGAACAACAGUGUCUACAUCCACUCCUCUAGCAAAGAUCUGAACAAUGAUCCAGGCCAAAUGUUGAAGUACACAUGGCAAUUCUGAAAGUGAGAAAAAUUUAUACCAACCUCAAUUAGAUUCUUGUCAAUUGUUGAUUUGUUCAAAGUUAGAGUUCCGGUUUUGUCACAGCAGAGCACAUCCAUGCCUGCCAUAUCAACUAUUGCACUUAUUCUCUUUGUGAUAACUCCCUGCAGUAAUUAGCCCAUUUAUGCUUGCAAUCAUCAACUAAUGACCACUAAAAGUAACAUCAUUAUAAAUAACAACUAAGACCAACCUGCCGAGACAAUCGUUUGGAACCAAUCGCCAUUGUCACUGAUAAAACAGUAGGCAUGGCGAUAGGAAUUCCUCCAAUAAGAAGCACAAGUAAAUUAUCAAGUCCUGUGCGGUAUUCCCUGUGUUGAACCGCGUACAUGACAAUGAUCUCUAAUAUUAACCCCAGUGCAAUUGAACAUAUGCAGUAUUUUCCAACUGCAGUCAAGAUCUGUAAACAAGCCCGAGAGCAAGAGUUUCGGUGAAUGAUAAUGUGAGAUUGAACAUAAAAACAAGUCUUAAGGAAUGUGAAUUCGCAUUUUCUUACCUUUUGAAAGUGACCCACUUGAUUUGUGGUAUCCACAAGAUGUACAGCUCUGCCAAGGAAGGUGUGAACACUAGUGGCAAUGACCACAGCUUGAAUCUCCCUUGUUUGCACGUAGAGCCUGAAUGUACACAGUCACCAGGACCCUUACUUACGGGAAUAGACUCGCCUGUGAGAGCAGACUGCAACGUACAAAUUGAAAGAACUUAAAUUAAAUAGACCAACUUUACCAAAUCAAUGCAAACAUACAAAGAUUGCAAAAGCUCACCUGAUCAAUUUCCAAUGGAUCACCUUCGAGGAGACGAGCAUCAGCAGGAAUAAUGUCACCAAGCUUAACACUAAUGACAUCACCAGGAACAAGAAUGGCUGCAUCUUCCUCCUUCCACCUUCCAUCUCGAAGGACCUGAAAUAAUUUCUCCAAUUACAAAGUAUUAUUUUUCAAAUAAUUUCCACAAACUCUUCUUACAAAGUAUUAUUUUACAAAUUAAUAUGACAUGACAGUUUUUGAUUCCAAUUCUCAUUGAGUUAAGUUGAUAUGAAGUUCAUAAUAAACUUAUUAGAUAUGCACAUGCACUAACUUACCAAUAAUCUUAACCUGACAACUAUUCAAGUGUAGUCAGUACCUUAGCUUUAGGAGCAAGAUGAGCCAUGAGAGCUGCGCUGGCAGCACCUGCAUUGUUCUCCUGAAUGAAACAAACCGUUGAAUUGAUAAGAAGCAGGGUUGUUUACCCUGCAACAAUGAAGUUCCCAACAGUAAGGAUUAAAUUUAAUGAAGCCUAAAUUCCUUUGUUGAAAUAUAUUUCCAUUUUGCUAUUUAUACUUCUUCAAAUUCCUUUCUCGGAAUAUAGGUAAAUAAGCUAUUCCCAUCUAAUCUAAAUUUUAUGUAAUUGCCUCGAUUAUUCAUUUGUUAAAUUUUUUAAAAAUAAAAUUAUUAAGUUGUAAGGUUUGUUUGGUAACUAACUGAGAAUAAGACAAAAAGAAAGGUAUGAGAUUGAAUCAAAUGAAAUUUUUGAUAAUCUAUUUUGCUUAAUUUUUUGUUUACUAAUUUUUGUUUGAGGAUUAAUUGUAGGUAAAUGAAUUUAAACGAAUUCAACUUGGCUGCAAAUUAUGUUAAAUCAAUAUCUACUUAUUAAACGAAUCUAACUCCAAAUCUAUCUAAUAAAUGGUCUAAUUUAAAUCCAUCGAAUUUUGAUGAAAUUCGUUUUGACACCCCAAAAUGAAUAUGCUUUGAAAAUUGAUAGUGGCCGCAAGCAAGGAGAUCCUAUAUCCUGAAAGAAGGUGGAUUUGACAUGAGGUAAUUUCAAAAGAUAAAAAGAUAUUCUGCGAAGCAUUUUCGAAAAUUCUUAAGACCACGAGGCUGUUUCAAUAAUUUAUAUUGAAAAAUUUCGUCAAAACUCAAUUGAGCCUCGUGACCCACUUCGCCCCAGUGUUAUCUGGUCAAAAUUUCUUCAGAAUUUCAGAGGUCUUUUAUCUAUCUGGUCUAUUCAAGUUUGUACUUUCUUUUUCUCUGAUCCUGUUGAACCAAAAUGUUAAGGAUUUGUAUACGUGAACAGCUUUAAAAUACAGUAUUCUUUCGUAACUAUACGAUUAGAGUUAUAAUAAAUUUUUUAUUACUUAUCACUUUACGUGUAUAUUUAUAAUUUGUGUUCUACCUUAGAGUAGCUCCAAGGUAGUCAUAGUCAAAUGUUAAUUCUGGAAUUGAUUCUUGUAUCACUAAGUAAUCUUGUACAAUAAAACUUAAAUUCUUAGCCUGCGUACAUAAUGAAUAAUGAGAAAUUUGUGUGUUCAUGCUACAAUGGCUACUUGAUUAUUACAAAUGACCUAAUUAUCUUCUUCUUCUUCUCUUUCUUCUAAAAAUAAUAAUUAUAAAAUUUAAAAAAAAUGACAAUUCACUUGUCACCCAGCUACCACUGGUUUACAAUAAUAAAAAAAAUUACAAGCUUUAGAAUGAAUAAUAUCUCUAAAUUUAAUUAUUGCAUGUAAUUAUUUUGGGCAAUAGCGCAUUAAUAUGUUAUAGGAACAAAUUAUGAAAUUAGUAAAUACGCAACCCAAAAAAAAAAAAAUCAACAAAAUUGAUGCCAAAUUUAUAUUUGUACGAUGCUAUUAUUGAAAAACAACUUUAUCCCUAACACUUUUUCAAAGCUUUUCAUAUCCUUGCAUAAAUUAUCAAAUGCGUUUUUAGCUAAAGUUCAUUUUUAGAUAUUGUUUACAAAAUGAGCUAUUAAAUAUAUUUUCAUUUCCGAAAACAUCAAAUAGAAAACACCAUUUUUUUUUCUAAAACAAAUUUUAAAAAUAUAAUUUGAAAACCAGUACUUAAUACUCACUCCUCCAUUUGCAAGUACGAUUGCCAUGAUAGCUGCAGCUUCCAUGACCCAUGAGAGAGGGUUCCACAUAAAUCCCAAAAACUUCAAAAUUUUACUUUCCUGCCAAAUAAUAAUAAUAAUAAAAAAAGUAAAAAAAAAAACAAUCAACAAAAGCAAAAUGUCUUAAAAUCAUUAAAAAUGUAUCUUUUUUUUUUUUUAAUUAAUAGAACUUUCCAAUAAGAAAGCUAACAAGGAAAAAAAAAAUGACAAAAGUAAAAAUAUGGAAAGUCUCUGCUCGGCUACCUCCGAUGAAAGGCCCUCUUGAUUGCACUUCAAAGUCUCAAAAACCUCUUGCAUCGCUGCGUUUUCCUGCAGACCAAAACUUGAACUUCCUUACAAAACAAAAUACCUAGAAAGCAAAAACACUUAACAACACAGAAGAAAAUGACAACGCUCUCAUGAUUUGACGAAAUAGUCAUAGACAUGCCCUUAUGUUUAGAAACUGUCACAUAAGAUAAUUUUUUAGAUAAUUUUUUUCGGAUAAAAUUUAGUCCGGUUAUUAUAAUCAAAUAACAUAAUUGUCGUAAAAGAGAUCUAUGAGUCUAUGUGAUGAUUUUUCAAAAUAAAAAGAUCACCGUGACUGUAUCUUGUCAAGCCAUAGGGGUGUUGGUGUCUUUUUUUUUUUCUUAAUUGUAAACUCAACAUGAAAAUGCAAAAAAUAGUAACAAAAACAAUCAAGAACAGAGAGGACAAUCUCUGUUUCAAUACCAAAUCCAUAACUUCAUGCAUGCUAUCAUUUCUUCUCAAAAAAAUCACUUGCUUCCUUCAAACUCUUAAAAACCAAGUAAUUAAACAAAUCAUGUUAAAACAAAAUCACAGAAAAAAAAUGAUGAAAAGAGAGAGAGAGAGACUCAAAAACAGAGUAAUGUGUUUUGCUUUUCACCUUUUAAUUUGAGAAAUUCUUUGUUUGUAGAGAGAGAAGGAGAGAAUAGUUUUAAUCUCUCUCUCUCUAGAAUCUAUAAGCGGCAGCUUCUUUAAGUGCAAGGUUUCUUCUUGUGUCUGUAUGUUCUCUCUUUCCUUCAUUUUUAUAAUUUUUUUAUUUUUAUUUGUCUAGUUCAGUACGUAAGUAGUUUGAUGUUGAUAAAUUGUUAGCAUGUUCUGUCUUUUCCUUUUAUUUUGUUUAAGUAAAGUAUCUCUGCAUGGCAAGGCCGGCUUUUUUGCCCUGAAGCCAAUGCAAUAAGGAAUUAUUUAGGGCUCCAUUUUGUAAUAAGAAGAUAAUUUUUCUUACGUGUGAAACAAAAUAUUCAGGACAAGUGUGAGGAAAACAUAAAUCACAACAUUCUAAUUCAAUUUAUGCAGCGGGUGCACUGUGGAUUCAGUUAUGAUAUUUGUGAUGGCUUUUUAUAUAUAUCUUAUUGUGAUAAGUAGUUAUUAGAUAAAAAAAAAAAACAUGUAAGUUAAUGUUAACUCUACAUAAAACGCAUGCGAAAUGGUAUAAACUUGGAUCCGAUUUAGUAAUAAGCUUAACUGGUAUAAUCUUUUGGGAUGACAUAAAAAGCCUAAAGUUCAAACUCUAUUGGGUGAGGAAGAAACUAAACUAUCGUUAAACCUAUAAAAUAGACAAUCUACUAGAAAAUAUGCACUCGAAGUCACUACCCAUUCUAAAGAGUUAAAAAGCUUUACGUGAGAUUGUAGUUAGAAGUUCAGCAAUUCAUGAGGUUGUUAGAGGCUAUAUAAAGUUAUGUGAAGAUGCUAAUUUGAUUAGGUGUGCGGGGGUAGCAAAACUAAUAAAAAAAUCAAAUUCAAAUAGAAUUAUAAAUGAAUUGAGUCAACAUUCUACUGAUUUAAAUUCGAUUUGUUUAUUAAACAAAUUGAAAUCACUAUUAGAAAAAUGACAUUCACUGAUACUAGAUUCCUGAUAUUAAAUAAAAAAAAGUAUCAAUAUUUGAUGACCUAAGCAACUUUUAAUGUGUUUUACAUAUUAGUGCCAGUGGUUAUUGAUAGGCAAAGCUUACGUUACAUAUAAUGUAACAAACAACCAAUGAAUAUAGACCAUUGAUUUUGAUAUUCCUUAAAUCUAAUGGAUAAAAAUAAUUUUAACAUAAAACAAAGUACAGGUGAAAUAAAUAUUUACAGAAAAUUUUAUUUCUAAUCAUAUGUUUACUUAUUUUUUCAAAUAAGUCCUCAUUGAUUUUUUAUACUUAAAUGAUUUUUUCAUCCAUCUUUUCUACAUUUAUUUUUAAAACUUUAUAAAGUUUUUACAACAUUUUUAUAAAGAUUUAAAUGAUUAUUAUAUUCAUAAAGAUCCACAAAUUUUGAAUAUAUUUUUGCACUUACAUUUAUAAUUUCUUGUCUCUCUUGAGACAUAAACUAAUUUUUUCUUCUAACACACACACACAUUCAAUCUAUUUUCCUUCUUAAAUACAUAUUAUCAAUGCCAUCACACAGAUUUUGUAAUCUAAAUUUAGUAUCAUGAAUUAUAAGAGAUAUUAUAUGUAAUAAAUAUCUUAUAAAUCUAAUGAAUUAUUAAAAAGAUGGUACAAUGAAUAAAUUACCAAAGCCUCUAAUAAAAAGAUUCCAAUUCUUUGAUCUUAUCAAUGAUUCAAACAUAUGGAGAAAUAAUCAAUUAAAUUGAAUGUCACUAUAUUUAUUAAAUAAAUUAGAAAAUCUAAAUUUAUCUAUAAAUGAUAUAGAAAUGGUAAACAAAAUAUUAGAAAUUAAUAAUUUCAAUGAAGGAAUAUAAAAUAAAUUAAAAAGUUAAGAGAUCAAGUGAUCAACUAAGUAAAGAAUUUAAUAAAGUUAAACAAUUCAUAAAAGACUUCAACAUUAAAAAUCAUGAUAUAUUAAACCAAGAGAUUAUUAAUAUAAUGAAUAAAAACUCAAUAGAUAUAAAAUUAAACAAGUUAAAGAUUUAAUUAAAUAAAUCGAAAAAAUUAUUGAGCAGUUUGAUACUAACUUUGCAAUAAAUAUAAAUGAAGAACUUCAAAAAAAUUGAAAUAUUGCAACUUGGGUGUAAACAACCUGGAGUAUAAAUAACCUGGGAUAUAAUGUAAAACAUUAAAACUUAUUGACCUUUUUAAUAAUAAUUAUUUUUUCUAAGGGUUUAAAAAUUUAUAACUGUAACAUACAGCUAAUGUAACACAAGCUUUGCCUUAUUGAUAAUAUAGUAUCAUAAACUUUUACUGAUACUAGAUAUAUAUUUUUAAUUUUAAUUUUAAUUUUUUUUAUUCUAAACGACGUAGUUUUACUUUUAAAAUUAGGUAAUCUUAAAUUCAACACUUGUGAAAAUAUUUGGCCCUUAACGAAAGUACUAUUCCCUCUUCAUCUUCCCUCUCUCCUAAAUCCUUCCCACUCAUUUCAAGAAACCCUAAAUUGAAACAAAACAAAUUACCCAGCCUUUUCAGUCUUAACAAAACAAUUACUCUCAGUCUCCCAACAAAAUAAAAUCAUCCUCCUCCUCACCAACAUUUCCAUUUCCUGCUUUUCUCUAGUUUUACUUUAUGAAGCGUAUGGGUCUUCAUUCUUCGGUCACCACCGAAGAAAACCAAAGGAUGAAAAAAGUCAAACAAGAUGAGGAGGAAUAAGAAAGAGCAAGAGCAAGUCAAAGAAACUGGCUUCACAAAUCUAGAUGAGAACUCCCUGUUCGAGGUGUUGAAACACGUAGACACCAGGACUUUGUUGCGGGCGGCUUGCGUAAACAAGCUAUGGCACAAGACACUCAAAAUGAGCACCUUUGGGAGUUAAUUUGCACCCACCACUUCGCUAAUGUUGGGUGCACUACCCAAUGUUGUGAAAAUUUUAAUAUACUCGCAAGCGCACGAAUCUAGAAAUAAAAUAGUAGUAACGAGAUCGAUCCCACAUGGAUUGUUAUAAAUUGAAAAGUCUAAUUUAAAUCUAAAAUUAAUAUUAAUCCUAACCUAGUUAAAUAAAUUGAGUUUUAAGAGAAAUUAAACUAAUUAAACUAAGGAAGCAAUUAAAAUAAAGGAGAAUUCAAUAAGAUAAGAAUUACUAAGGUUUCAGAAUCCACCACUAUUCAACUAGUAAUUAUCUAAAUAUUCAUUAAUCCCCAAUUUUAGAGUGACAACUCGAAAUCAAUCUAUGUCAUCUCAUGGAUAUAACAAUUAAGUCCAAGUAAUUAAAUCUAAUGUAGGCUCUUUUUCUGCUUAAUAAUAUGACAUCUAAGCAUCCCAUGUAAACAUAUUGAAUAACAAAGAGUCAAAGUUUUCCUAAGCACUCUAUGCAAAAAAUUUAAUGAAAGACAUAAAAUUAAAGAUAAUCAUGUAUAAACUUUAUAGAUCCAAACAUAGAAUUAAUUGAAUAUUAAUCCUAACAAUCAAUACUGCAUGACAGAAUUGAUGAAAAGAUUUUAAUAACAUCCAAUUAAUCAUGUGAAAUAAAAACCAUAAACAUUAAAAUACAUAUAUAGAGAAUUAAAUAAAUAAAAAGAUAAUUAUUUCAUUGAAUAAGGUUUCAUCUUUAACCUCAGUAUAAGAAAAUUAGCUAGACAUACUUAAAUUAAGAGAAACAAAAGAAAUAAAUCCAGCCAUAGAAGUCGAACUACUGCAGAUUUUCUUCUCUGUCUCGCGUUUUUCCUCCUCUGGCCGCCCUUCUCUCCAAAAGCCAAAACUCCCUUUUAUAAUCUUUAAAAUGGGCCCCACCUCUUAAAUCCUAAAGCCAAAAGACUUGGCAUUUUACUUGAUUUGCUCUCACACGUGCUCACUCUUAAAAUUGCUUUAGGAUUCCUUUUGUAAUUAUGAAAGCCAAGUGUGGGUCCCUUUAAAUUGCUUCCAAAUAUUAGAAUGCCAUGCAUUUGCUUCUCACGUGCUGGCCACUUUAGCUUUAAAUUUCUUCUUUGUUUGCACUAGCAUGGAGAAUUCACUUGAUUGGCUUCGGCUUCUUCGGAUUGAAUUUCAUACACAUCUAUUUAAUUGCUCCCACAAAUUGACUUGAUCUUUAAUGCUGUCCAUUUUCUUCUCUGUCUCGGCUAAUGCUACAAUGCCGGGCAUUAAAGCCCCAGCACCAUGCCGGAAUUGGAAAAAAACCGUUGGAUUCAAUCUAAUUGAAUCCAACGGUUGAGAUUAAAUUUAUAUUAAAAAUAGAAAUAAAUGGGUUACCUGGUAAACCGGUUCCCUCAAAAGAAAAUUCCACAAUUUUCUCUCACCUCAAUCUAAUUUCUUUGCUCUCUCAGAAAAGAAAUCCCUAAAAUCUCAUCUCUCUUUCAAAUUCAUAGUUUCUCUCAUCCUGAUUUUUUCACUCAUCAUCUAAGAUCAAAUCCACCGUCUCUCUCACACUAAUCAACCAAUCGGAUCCAUCUACCUAGGUAUUUGGUUUGUACAUGAGAGCUAGAGAGAGGCAGAGCCAGUAUCGUGUCCGCUGCUUCUUUUCUAACCAUCCACCGUUACCUUCGUUGCACUGUUGUCUACACCAUUAGUUCUUUAGCCUUUACUGUCGUCGUCCUGGCGUUCGCCGGAAUCAUUGCCCCGUGAGCUGCCCCAAGUUGCCAUCGAAAACACUCAAAACAAGUUAAUUUUUUGAGGUUUGGUUUUUAAGUGUUAUUUUUCUAUGGGUACCCUAAUUUUUUCUUGUUUGGUUUUAGGUGUUGUUUGCUUGUUUUGAGCUCUACACUCUUUGCUAGGAAUACUAAAGAUGGGCGCUCAAUAAUUUGGUAAGAACUUACCCAUUGUUCUGGGUCCAGCUUUUGUUUUUUUGUUGUUGUUGUGAAUUUUGAGUUAAUUAUUUUGGGGUUGCAGAGCAAUCUUUAAAAAUCUAUGCAGUGGCGUAUCCUGGAAUGAAACCAAAAAAAGAGUUGAGGUUUAUGUUUGGAGUCAUUCUAGGACAGGAAGAGCAGCACGGAUGAGUUGCAGGAAGAGAAGUGUGGCUCGAGAUAACUCCUAUGUUCUCAUCAUGUAAAGGACCUAGUGUUUUUAUGCUAACUAGUAAGUCCUCGUUUUUUCUAUUAUCUUUGAUCAUUUUGCAUUUCUUCACUUGCGUUCUCAAGAUUUUUGUUUGUUUAUGAGUGAUGCUUAUUUGAGUCCCAACGGCAUCCAUCAGUUUUUAAUAUUUAUCAUCAAGGAGAGGUGAAAUUAUUAUUUAAUGACUGGUAUUUUGUAUAUCACUAGCAUUAUUCUUUAUUUUUUGUGAUUUUACUUUUUAAUUUGUUUAAUUGGGUGUAGUUAUUAUAUUGUGCCUGAAUUGGGACUGGAUGUGAACUAAUCUUAUGCAUCUUGCAAGGCUAUUCAAGAGUAUAUGGAGGCCAAAUCUCUAAGUUCUUUUCAAAAUAUUGGAUUUACUGAUUCUCUAAUGUUCUUUUUCUUUUUCUUUUAUGCAAUGCAGCUUGGUGUGGAAAAAGAACAUGUUCUGCUUAUUCAAUCAACCAAAACAAAAAUUUGUAAAUUUUUUUCUGUCACUAUUAUUUAACAGAAAUUCUUGUUUCUAGUUUUAUGUUGUGCUAACGCUAUUGAAGUUGAUUUAGUGUAUACAUUUGAUGCAAUGUACUUUUUUCUAGUAUCUUGCUAACAGUUUAAUUUUUUCUUACUGCUCUUCAAUUAGGGUAUGAAAUAUAAACUAGCAGCCAGUGCUAAUAAGGAUGAGGAAGAUUUAGAAGGAAGGACAACGUUGCAUUUUGCCUGCGGAUAUGGUGAGGUAAAACAAUAUGAGCUUUACCCAUUCUUACUUAUUUUUCUUGUUCCUUUUUGUUUGAGUUUUAAAGGUAGGGCAUAUGAUUUAGAUAGAAUUAAAUAUUACUUAAUGUUUUGUGUUUUUGGUUACUUAGUUGAGGAAGUGCUAAUAAAGCCAAUGGAAAACUAGUAUUUGUGCUAACCGGGGCUUUCUAGUGACAGUUUGAGCUAACUUAUAUGGUUUAUGGCAUCAAUUGUUCAUCUCCUGGGGAUACUUAGGACACUUUCUAGUUAGUUUUUUAAUGAAAACUUCCUUGGCAAAUUGGCCAAGUUUAUGACAUGGAGUUAAUCAAAUGCACUUGAAUGCUUUAGGUGGAGUGUGCUCAACUCCUACUUGAGGCUGGAGCAAAUGUGGAUGCUGUGGAUAAGAACAAGUACUACCAUACAUUAUGCAGCUAAUUAUGACUAGAAGGAAUGUGUAGCCCUCUGUUGAAGAACGGUGCUGCUGUGUAAGCCAACACCCAAUAUUGUUUUAACUCCCGUCUCUAUUUUAUAAAAUGCUAUAUGAUUAAUUCUUUCUAUUAUAUUAUCUUUUGUUACCACAGAACUCUGUAGAACAUGGAUUGCAAAACUCCCAUUGAUGUUGCCAAGCUCAAUAGCCAACAUGACAAGCUAAAGCUUCCUGUAACUCCGCAUGUGAAUGAUGGAUUUCGACAAUUUUAUAGGCAUUUUAGUGUGUUAGAUGAAUCUACUCCAGUUAGGCAUUAGGUUUUUAUCGUAACUUGAUGCUUUUGUCAAUGCUCAUGCUUAUUAAUCUGAUUGCUACCACUAAAAUUUUAUAUCAUAAACAAUCUCUUCCCUAGAUGAGUUAUCUGCGAGUAUAUUCUUGUUAUGGCUUCUUUAAUUUCAGCUAUGAUAUAUUUGUACGUUUUUACAAUUUAUUGCCUGAUUAUGUCAAAAUAAGCACUUAUUUUAGGGUAUCCAUUUUAUAGUUUGGAAAAAGCUAUUCUUACCCCCCCACCCUUCAUGAUAUUCUACAAAUUUUUUGCAAUACUAGAAGAGUAGCCGAAGAAAAUGUGAUCUUAUUUUGGGUAUUUUCUAUCAAUUUAGAUAUUAAUAAUGCUAAACUAAUGCACAUGCCAUAUAGUUUUGAUUGCUUCCUUGAUACUAUUAAACUUACUUGUCUUGCCCAAUUAAACUUUUGCAAUUUAGUUAUAUAAUCUAUAGUUUUUAUCAAUAUGCAUUCCUUUUAUGAGCUUAAUUCAAUUAUAAGAGACUCUUUCCUUAGAAAAUUGCAACAAUGAAUUUUACCCUUUAUGCAGAAUAAAAAAUUUAAAAAUUACCAAUGGAACUAAACAUUUUUGUUGUUUGGUAAUAUAAAAUUGUCAUCGUAGUUAGUUUUCGCUUGAAAAAUUAAACAAAUUACAAAAUAAAUGGUUCAAAUAAGUUAGAUUGAUAAAUUAUUACUUGGAGUAUCAAACAAUAAUCACUUGAAUUACCAAAUAAUUUUAACGCUAAGGCAACAAUUCCAUAUUUGUUUCUUAAUAGAUUGGCUUAAUUAAACUUAGUUAAUAAAAAAAAUUAAAACUUAAUAGAUUGGCUUAAUUAAACUUAAGUUUACUUAUAAAUUAUCAUUUGAAUUGUCAAGGAAUUUUGAAAUGCGCUAUUAUUUUGUAUUUAGUUAUGAAUAGAAGUGUUUGAUAUUUUUUUAUAUUAAUCAGCUUGAUAGAAAAUUAAAUAUUUGUCAAAUGCUUGAUAGAAAAUGUAACUUGCUAUUAUUCUAUGGAAUACUCAUAUUUAGCCUUUGGGUUAAUAUAAUUCCCAUCCAUAUUACAAUUAAUAAAUUAAUAACAUCAAAUAUGAGAUAAAAUAUUUCAUAUCCAUAUUAGCAAUAAAUUGAUCACAUAAUAUAUGGAUUAUCAAAUAUUCACAUUUAUAUCAACCGUCCAAGACCAAAGCAUGGGUGAACAUAAUUCACAUCCAUAUCCCUCUGGAAUGAUUCUGGAAGAUAACGGUUAGCCGUUAUUUGAUGAUGGUUCACCAUUAUCUUCUAGAAAUAAGUGUAACUGCUAAUUUGAUUCUGGAAGAUAACGGUGAACCGUUAUCUGAUAGCGGCUAAUCGUUAUUUCUAGAAUUACUCUAAAAAAUAUUCGAAAAUAUUCUUUAUUUUGGCUUUAUUCAGGACAUGCAACAACUGACGUUAAACAUGAAACUUGCAACACUUCACGUGAAAUAUGCAACUUAUCACGUAAAACGUUUGCAACUUCGACAUCAAACAUGAAACAAGCGAGAAUAUUUGGGAAUAUUUUUUAUUUUGGCAUUAUUCAAUAUAUGCAACAUCUAACGUCAAACAUGCAACCGUGACGUCCGACAUGCAACAACUAACGUUAAACAUGAAACUAGCAACACUUCACGUGAAAUAUGCAACUUAUCACGUAAAGUUUGCAACUUUGACGUCAAACAUGAAACGGACGAGAAUAUUCAGGAAUAUUCUUUAUUUUGGCUUUAUUCAAGACAUGCAACAUUUAACGUCAAACAUGCAACCAUGACGUCCAACAUGCAACAACUGACGUUAAACAUGAAACUUGCAACACUUCACGCGAAAUAUGCAACUUAUCACUUAAAGUUUGCAACUUCGACGACAAACAUGAAACAUGUGAGAAUAUUCGGGAAUAUUCUUUAUUUUGGCUUUAUUCAAGACAUGCAACAUCUAACGUCAAACAUGCAACCGUUACGUCCGACAUGCAACAACUGACGUUAAACAUGAAACUUGCAACACUUCACGCGAAAUAUGCAACUUAUCACGUAAAGUUCGCAACUUCGACGUCAAACAUGAAACGAACGAGAAUAUUCCGGAAUAUUCUUUAUUUUGGCUUUAUUCAACACAUGCAACAGCUUACGUCAAACAUGCAACCGUGACGUCCGACAUGCAACAACGGACGUUAAACAUGAAACUUGCAACACUUCACGUGAAAUAUGCAACUUAUCACGUAAAGUUUGCAACUUCGACGUCAAACAUGAAACGGAUGAGAAUAUUCGGGAAUAUUCUUUAUUUUGGCUUUAUUCAAAACAUGCAACACCUUACGUCAAAUAUGAACUCCAUCCGUCGAACAUGCAACAACUGACGUUAAACAUGAAACUUGUAACACUUGACGCAAAAUAUGCAACUUAUCACGUAAAGUUCGCAACUUCGACGUCAAACAUGAAACGGACGAGAAUAUUCGGGAAUAUUCUUUAUUUUGGCUUUAUUCAACACAUGCAACAGCUUACGUCAAACAUGCAACCGUGACGUCCGACAUGCAACAACGGACGUUAAACAUGAAACUUGCAACACUUUACGUGAAAUAUGCAACUUAUCACGUAAAGUUCGCAACUUCGACGUCAAACAUGAAACGAACGAGAAUAUUCUGGAAUAUUCUUUAUUUUGGCUUUAUUCAACACAUGCAACAACUUACGUCAAACAUGCAACCGUGACGUCCGACAUGCAACAACUGACGUUAAACAUGAAACUUGCAACACCUCACGCAGAAUAUGCAACUUAUCACGUAAAGUUUGCAACUUCGACGUCAAACAUGAAACGGAUGAGAAUAUUUGGGAAUAUUCUUUAUUUUGGCUUUAUUCAAAACAUGCAAUACCUUACGUCAAAUAUGAACUCCAUCCGUCGAACAUGCAACAACUGACGUUAAACAUGAAACUUGCAAUACUUGACGAGAAAUAUGUAACUUAUCACGUAAAUUUCGCAACUUCGACGUCAAACAUGAAACGGACGAGAAUAUUCGGGAAUAUUCUUUAUUUUGGCUUUAUUCAACACAUGCAACAACUUACGUCAAACAUGAAACCGUGACGUCCGACAUGCAACAACUGACGUUAAACAUGAAACUUGCAACACCUCACGCAGAAUAUGCAACUUAUCACGUAAAGUUUGCAACUUCGACGUCAAACAUGAAACAGAUGAGAAUAUUCGGGAAUAUUCUUUAUUUUGGCUUUAUUCAAAACAUGCAACACCUUACGUCAAAUAUGAACUCCAUCCGUCGAACAUGCAACAACUGACGUUAAACGUGAAACUUGUAACACUUGACGCAAAAUAUGCAACUUAUCACGUAAAGUUCGCAAUUUCGACGUCAAACAUGAAACGGACGAGAAUAUUCGGGAAUAUUCUUUAUUUUGGCUUUAUUUAACACAUGCAACAGCUUACGUCAAACAUGCAACCGUGACGUCCGACAUGCAACAACGGACUUUAAAUAUAAAACUUGCAACACUUUAUGUGAAAUAUGCAACUUAUCACGUAAAGUUCGCAACUUCGACGUCAAACAUGAAACGAACGAGAAUAUUCCGGAAUAUUCUUUAUUUUGGCUUUAUUCAACACAUGCAACAACUUACGUCAAACAUGCAACCGUGACGUCAGACAUGCAACAACUGACGUUAAACCUGAAGUACUAUUUUUUUCAUUUUCAAUUUCUUUAUUUUUUGCCAUUUUAUUUCAUUAUAUUAUAUUGUAUUAUAGGGUUUGUAUUAUAUUAUUUAAUUUAUUUAUCUUUUGCUAUUAAUUAUAUUAUAAAAAAUUAUUUUGACUUUUUUUUUUAAUUUUUAUGUUAUAUUUUUAUAUAUUUUUUUAAAAAAAUAUGGUGCAACCGGUUUGUUAACCGGCUGCACCAAGUCUUUGGCUGCCAAAUGGCAGCCAAAGACAGCCGGGCUCUCUUUUUGAGAGCCCGGCAUGGUGCCGGCUACAAUGCCCCCAGCAUUGUAGCCAAACCCCUCUGUCUCGCGUUUUUCCUCCUCUGGCCGCCCUUCUCUCCAAAAGCCAAAAAUCCGUUUUAUAAUCUUUAAAAUGGGCCCCACCUCUUAAAUCCUAAAGCCAAAAGACUUGGCAUUUUACUUGAUUUGCUCUCACACGUGAUCACUCUGAGAAUUGCUUUAGAAUUCCUUUUGUAAUUAUGAAAGCCAAGUGUGGGUCCCUUUAAAUUGCAUCCAAAUAUUAGAAUGCCAUGCAUUUGCUUCUCACGUGCUGGCCACUUUAGCUUUAAAUUUCUUCUUUGUUUGCACUAGCAUGGAGAAUUCACUUUAUUGGCUUCAGCUUCUUCGGAUUGAAUUUCAUACACAUCUAUUUAAUUGCUCCCACAAAUUGACUUGAUCUUUAAUGCUGUCCAUUUAUUAUUCUUUAUGUAUUUUUCAUCCAUUAUCUCCAAUUAAUUCCCUAUUCAAUAAAAUAAUUCAAUUAAUUAAAAAUAAUAAAUAAAAUUAACUAACAAUUAUAUAAUAAAGGGUAAAAUAUGUAAAUAAAUUAUGCUCAUCACCCAACAGCUCAGAUCUGUUGUCCUGGCUCUCGGUUGCUUCCGUCACCUUCACUCCCUCUAUCUCGGCAGCUCCCAUCGCUUUCCCUCUCUGCCGUUCUUUCUCUCACAGUCGAAACCAAAACUCAAAUCCCUAACUCCCCAGCGAACAAAACCUCUCAUUUGCCUCAAAACAAAACAAAAUCCAUCCGUACUCCUUCUCUCUGAUUAUUCGAAAGUUAGAAGCACCCUAAAUAGUUCUCUCUGAAAAGCCAUUCACCCAAACCCUAACCUCACUAAUAAAAUUUUUAUUGAUAGUGAUUUUUUCAAUUAAUUCAGAUAUGGCUUCAUUGGCAGAGAAACAAAGGUUAGUGUUUGCUCUAUUUCUUUCAUCGAUUUUCUUUCUCAUUUUGAAAAUUUUCUAAUUUUCUCUUAAUUUGUGAUUUUAUUGUUUCUAUAGCUGUUGUUUGAUUAAUUUUGAUAAAUUUUGCUUAAUUUGAUGGAAAGCAUGAUUUAUUACAUGUCUGCUUGUUAUUGGCAGUUUAUAUGGUGAGUAGGGCAGUAUUUUAAUUGAAACAAUUAAAGAUAUGAGGAAUUAUUAGGUAGAAAGUGGCUGCUGGAGGAGGUUCUCCUAUUGCAGUAUGCCUAAAUAGUAUUCAUUUUGCCCUUUUUUUUUUUACCGUUGACUGUUGUUUCUUGUGAAUGCGUUUCUAAUCCAGAGACUUCACCCUGUGGUAUCCACUUUAAGAAACUACUCAUCUGCAACUAAAUAAGUAAUUGUGCCUUUUAUAACCUAUUACUUGCAAUGCACUGAUUUUAGCUGUAUGGUGCUUGUAUUUUACUUUUUCUAAGUUCAUAAUAGUUUUUUCUUUUGAGAGAGUUAAUGAUAUGAGAAAUUACAAAUUUAAUAUUUAUUCAAGGUUGCAAUUUCAUGUUUAGGGCAUAUGUAUUACUUUCGUCUUAUAUGGUGUGUGAUUAUUGUCUUAAAAGUAAAUUCUGGUGCUUGAUUUUGAUAUAGUCCUAAAAUAAUUUAUGAGGUUUUUUGUGAACAUUGACCUUGUGAAACCUCAAAACAGAAAAUUCAGUAGAAUGUUCAUGUGUGCUCUGUUAAACAUGAGAUUUGACUAACUGAGAUUGUAAUACAGUUAGUCAUAUGAUCUUGUGCUGAUGAGUUUAGCCCAUAAGUCUCAUAACCAUACAAGUAAUGUCAAUUAUAAUAGAAGGACCUCUCUGUAAUCAACUUCAGUCAUUGGCUAAUUGUGGAAUUCAUUGUGCUAGUGUUCAAUUUCACCAUUUGUUUCUGAUUGUUAACAAAUUUUCUUCACCCGCUUUUUCUUGCUUACAAUAAACAAAAGGAUGAAAUGACUUUUAUCUUGUUAUAAUUUUUGCAGCUCAAGUUUUGAACUUUUAUUUAUUUUGGCUGGUAGUUAGUAGUUGAUUUGUGUUUGUGAUUGCUUUCUUUGUAAGGAAAGUUGGCAUCUGUUGAGGAGUUGGAACCAUUUGUCAAUCAUGCAUCUCAAAUGGCCGCACUUGACUACAUUGUAUCUAUUGAAAGUGAUGUGUUUAUUCCAUCAUACUCAGGAAACAUGGCAACGGCAGUUGAAGUUCAUCUGAUGUUGAGGUAACUAACAUAACUGCUUAAAUCAGGAAACAUAUUUGUUUGUGGAUGAGUUUCAAUUUCUAAAGCAUAAAUCAGGAUAUAAUAUAAGCAACAGGAAACAUAUUUGUUUUUCUUAUCCUAUAUUUAGAGUUGAGGGGUGUAGCUACCUAUCAGCUGGUGUUACAUUUUGGUGUGAAUGUUUAGGCAUGAAUUGGCAGAAGAAUGUUAUAAUGAUGAUUAUGCAAUGUUAUCUAUCUUUCAGUUAUGGAAGGGUGUAAUGGAGGAGUUAAAAAUUCAUUAUUUAUUUGCAAAGUAUAGUUUUGAUUCUUGUCCAGUUAGGCCUUUUUGUUGAAAGUAUGAAACUUGUCGAAUGUGUAUGGCACCGUAUUAUCUAUUUGUAAUGCAUUUACUUGAGUUUCUAGUAACUUAAUUGUCAUUUUUUUAAUGCAGGUAGUAGCAACAACCACAAUCUUGACUUAAGCCUUGGAAUUUCUCAGUGUUCCAGUGCUAAUGGUCUUAUUCAUCACAUUCAUUGUGAUGAUUCUAAACUGCCCAACAAAGAAAGACCAGCGGCUAAAUUACCUAUACUUUUCUCAAUGAGAGUAACCACCCUUUUUGCUUAUUCUUAAUACACUUUCGAUUUAACAAAUUGAUAGCUCUAAGUUUAAUUAAUUUUUAUUUUUUUCUUCAGUUAAUAAUUAUGCACAAACAAUAUGUUAAUUUAGUUUCAUAUCAUUUAGAUUCAGUAGUUGUGUGUGUACAAACUACAAUUUUGAAGAAAUUAGGAAACUAUGUAGAUUGCAGCAUGUAAAUUUUAUCAGUUUUUUUUAUUGUUCAUGUCUUGAAUGGUGCAAGAUGACUUACAAUAAACCAAAGCAUGUAUAUGGGUCAAAACUAAAUAAUCAGAGAAAAUGUCAAAUUGGAACAUGGAAACAAUAAUAGAAGACUUCAUUUCGAUUACCGAAAGAAAGAAUCAGCAGAAGCAAUAAACCUGUGUUGGAAGAUUGUGCUGUUACCAUAUAUCAUUUUAUAAAUUAUUUGUAGUUGGUAAACAAUGUAAUAAGUUUCAAACAAUGUAAUAAUUUUUAAAUUAUUCAUUGCAAUGUAAUAGUUUUCAUAUUGUUGAAUGUAAAUUUCAAUUCAAAUGCCAAUUGCAAAUUUUCAAUUUCUGUUAUAUCGAUUUUUUUUUAAUUUUUCUCAAAUAAACAUUGAUACCAAAGUAUCGUUAUAUUUAUUAUGCCUUCGUAUCAUUAUUUGUUUGAUACCUUAGUCUCGUUAUACAUGUGAUGUUCAAGCAUCAACAUUUUUUUGAUACUAUGGUGACAUAGUUUCACUGAUGCAAAAAACUUGUGUCAGUAAAUUUCUUGUACCGUAUUCAAUGACACUAAAUUUGGUGUCAGUAAAACAAGUUCCUGAUACCAAAAUAGUAUCAGAGAAAGCCAUUUUUUUACUAGUGAAUUAUAGGAUUUAGAUUCGAUUUGUUUAUUAAACAAAUAUUUGGUUUGAUUCGUUUAACUUAUUUAGUAAAAUUAAUAAAUGAAUCAAAUUAAGUCUGAAUCCAUUUACUAUUGUUUACAAAAAUAUAAUUAAUAAACAAAAAUUAGGCAAAAUAAAAUAAAAAAGACCACAAAUUUAACAUUCUACAAAAUAUAAAUAAUCCAAACUAUAUUCUUAGAUUAAAUAUUUAGUCAUCCAAACAUCAAAUUAUAAAUUUUUAAUAAUCCAAAUAAUAUCAAUUAAAAUUCAAAUUAUAAACUAAGGUGAUUUCUUUAAUUCUCUUUAUUUUGUCAUGGUCACACUGAAAACAAGAGUCCUACAAGAAAAAAGUAAAUAGAAUAGUAUUGUAAUAUUUCAAAAUAUCAAAAAUAUUUCAAAAUAUUAUAAACAUUCUACACGUUGCAACACUGAUAAGAGUCAUUAUAAUAUUUCAAAAUAUCAAUUAUAUACCAAAUUUUGUAGUAUUGAUAAGGAAAUAAUAAUUAAAUCUACAAAGGCAAGAAAAAUCAGCAAGAUAAAACUUUGCCUAUCACACUCCCACAUUGUCUCUAGCAUCAUUGGCACUCUCUUGAGAUCGAGCACUAUUAGUGCUCAUGUUCAUAAUGUUUUCAGUAAGUUGGGCCAAAAUGACAUCAAAAUUUUCUACAAUAAGGGUGCAUUUGAUGUACUGUAUUGUAUUAUAUUCUAUUAUAUUGCAUUAUUUUAAUACAAAAUUAUUUAUUAUAUUGUAUUACAUUAGAACUGUAUUAUAAUAAUAUCAUACAACAUUUGAUACUACAUUGUAAUAUAUUAAUUUUUAAUUAUAUUAUGUUUAGUGUUGCAAUGUAUUGUAUUAAUCUUUUUUUGUGAUUAUUCUAAAUUAUAUAUUUAGAAUAUAAUAUUUAUUAGUACAAUACUUAGGAAAUACUAAAUACAAAAAAUUUAGAUUUUAGAACUUUUACAUUAUUUUUUAUCAUAGAUGUAAAAAGAAUUAUAAUUCUCCAUAAAACAUAUCUAAAACUAACAAAUUUUAAAAUUUUAGCUGCACAACAUUUAUUUUUUUUGCUUUUCCUAAAUAUAUAACUUGUGAAAUAAAGAUGAAAGCCACUAAUUCAUUCAAAUAACAGCAAGGAGAUUAUUUUUUAAGUAAUAAAUAGAAAAGCUUUAUUUAUUCAAGAAUGUGGAUGAUGAUGGUACAAAGACUGCAUUUUAGAGUAUGAAAUGGCAACGUAUUUAUCAAGCAUUGAAAUCACUGCUUCAAUUUUUUUUUCACUAAAAUAUUGAUUGAUUAUCGAUCACAAGUUCCAUUUUGUUUGCACAUUCCAAUUUACUUGAGUCGCUAAGUGACGAUUGAAGCUUCUCUACAUCUGUUUUUUUUACGUGCAUAAAUUUGAUGCUACCUCAGGCCCCAACUACUAAAUUCCAAACAAUUUCAUUAAGCAAUCCAUCCCAGAUCAAAAUGAUGCAGCACAAGUGUAAGUUUCUGUUGUACUCUCACUUUAACAUGUGGCCUCGCAGCCUACGAUGACUCAUCUUCAUGACAAUCCCAAAGGGCUCGAAUAAUAAUUUCACAACAACUUUCCCUUCGAACAGAACAAGGGUGACAAUGGUGUUGGAGUUGAACUUGAACGAGGACAAAUCGUGGCUAGAUUCUUUGAGACUGGUCUUGACGCGGUCUAUCGUUUUGGUCUUGGACUUUUCGGUGGAGAUUUUAGCUAGGUUUUCAAUUUUUGUGGUCGUGAGUUUCUUGGAGGCUUUGUCGAUGGAGGAUUUGAGGAAUUUGUAAGAGUUGGUUUGGUAAAUGAGUGGCUCAGCAAGUUCAUAAAGUGCCUCUAUCUUACCUUCUUCCUCUUUCCCUCCCAUGCCUCUGCAAUAGCGAUUGUUUCAUCUGAGACACAAACGAUAGGGAGAACUUUGUCUCAAAAGAAUUACAAUUUACAAAUCCGGAUAAACCCGAUUUCCUCGUGAGUUUAGUCCGUGUGGGUUUGAUAGCAUAAAUUAGAUAUUUGACUACAUUACAAUACUAUGCAUUAAAAUUACAAAACAUGGGAUUAUAAUCCUUUAAUACUAUGAGGGUUUUAGUACUAUAUAAUGAGGAGUACCAAAAUGUCCUAAUUUUAUAAAAAUAAAUCUUAAUUAGAAACAAUUGAAUAUAAUAUUAUAAAAGUAAAAUAAAUUAAUUUCAUGAGAAAGUCUUACAAUCUCUCCGAACAUCCAAUCUCUUAUAGUAAUAGUUGCUUGGACAAUCUUUGAUGUCAAUACACUUUAAAAUUGAUCAAGAACUUGACUGCCAACAUUAAAAGUUGAUUCAGACGCAAUAGGGAAUAUAAGAAUGCUUAAGAUAUCACGAGCCAUGGAAGAAAGGUUAAGAUAACGAAAUCUGUUUCCUUUCAAAAACUUAGAAUGUUUAAAUUAAUCUUUCUAUCUAUUCUUGGUUCAUCCAAAUAAAACUUUAAUUCAGAUUUUCUAACAUAGGCAUGACAAUCCAUGCUAUUAAGAUCAUCAAACUCCUACAAAAUAAUUAAAAAAUAAGAAUAGUCAAAAUCCAAAACAAGUACAAAUAAGACAAUAAUAUAAUUUUUACAAUGAGCAGAAAAGAAAAUUGUAAAUGUACCUUAAAUAGUUCCAUGGUCCAUUUGUUAAGUGUAUUCUAACUAUUGUCAUUAUGUCCUAAUCUUGAACCAACAUCAUUCAUUUGAGUGAGUGUGGAUGUGGUGGAGAAAGAUAGUUUAAUAAAAUUGUACUCACUAAAAACUGAAAACAACUUAUCCUAAACAUGUUCUAAUUGCUUUGAAUUUUGAUUAGAAGCAUUGUCGUAGGCAAACUUAAUGAAUGCCAUCUUGUAUCGAGGAUACAAGAUGGCCACUAUUGCCAAAAUGGUACAAAAAUCAAACCAAAACUCAUUUGAGUGAUCCAAAAUGCCAUAUUCUCAAACGUUUCGAUCAUUUUCUAUGCCAUAAUUUUCAUAUAUACAUCCUCACUAUGCAAUAAUUGAUCCAAAACAACAUUGUCACUAGCAUUAUUGUAACAUUUCAAAAUAUCAACCAUUUACCAAAUUUUGUAGUAUUGAUAAGGAAAUAAUAAUUAAAUCUACAAAGGCAAGAAAAAUCAGCAAGUUAAAACUUUCCCUAUCACACUCCCACAUUGUCACUAGCAUCAUUGGCACUCUCUUGAGAUCGAGCACUAUUAGUUCUUAUGUUCAUAAUGUUUUCAGGAAGUUGGGCCAAAAUGACAUCAAAAUUUUCUACAGUAAGGGUGCGUUUGGCGUACUGUAUAGUAUUAUAUUAUAUUAUAUUACAUUCUUUUAAUGCAAAAUUAUUUAUUAUACUGUAUUACAUUAGAACCGUAUUAUAAUAAUAUUGUACAGUGUUUGAUACUCCAUUAUACUGUAUUAAUUUUUAAUUAUAUUAUGUUUCGUGCGGCACUGUAAUGUAUUAAUCGUUUUUGGUGAUUAUUCUAAAUUAUAUAUUUAGAAAAUAAUAUUUAUUAGUACGAUACUUAGGAAAAUACUAACUAUAGAAAAUUUAGAUUUUAGAACUUUUACAUUAUUUUUUUAGUAUACAUGUGAAAAAAAUUAUAAUUCUCCCUAAAACAUAUGUAAAACUAACAAAAUUUAAAAUUUCAGUUGCAUAACAUUUAUCUUUUUUUGGCUUUUCCUAAAUAUAUAACUUGUGAAAUGAAGGUAAAAGCCGUUAGUUCAUUCAAAUAAUGAUAGGGAGUUUUUUUUAAAGUAUUAAAUAAAAAAGAUUUAUUUAUUCAAGAACAUGGAUGAUAAUGGUACAAAGACUGCAUUUUAGAGUCUGAAAUGGUAACGUAUUUAUCAAGCAUUGAAAUCUUUGCUUCAAUUUUUUUUUUCACUAAAAUAUUGAUUGAUUAUCAAUCACAAGUUCCAUUUUGUUUGUGCAUUCGAAUUUACUUGAGUUGCUGAGUGCCAGUCGAACCUUCUUUGCUUCUGUUUUUUUUUUUUUUUACGUGUGUAAAUUUGAUGAUACCCCAAGCCCCAACUACUAAAUUCCAAGCAAUUUCAUCGCCUAAUCCAUCCCAAAUCUAAAUGAUGCGGCACAAGUGUAAGUUUAUGUUGUACUCUCACUUUAACGUGUCACCUUGCAGCCUACGAUGGCACAUCUUCAUAACAAUCCCAAAGGGCUUGAACAGUAAUUUUGCUAUAACUUUCCCUUUGAGCAGAACGAGGACGAUAAUGUCGUCGAAUUUGAACUUGAACAAGAACAAAUUGUGGCUAGAUUCUUUGAGGUUGGUCUCGACGCGGUCUAUCAUUUUGGUGGAGAUUUUAGCUGGAUUUUUCGAUUUUUAUGGUCUUGAGUUUCUUGGAGGCUUUGUUUGCAGAGGAUUUGAGGAAUUUUAAAGAGUUGGUUUGGUAAAUGAGUGGCUCAACAAGUUCAUAGAGUGCCUCCGUCUUAGCUUCUUUCUUUUUCCUUGCCAUCCCUCUACAAUAGUGAUUGUUUCAUCUGAGACAGAAACGAUAAGGAGAACUUUGCCUCAAAAUAAUUACAAUUUACAAAUCUGCAUAAACCCGAAACAUUACAAUACUAUGCAUUAAGGGUGUGUUUGGUAGCCUACAUUAUAUGGGAUAAAAACACUAUUUUGUAUUCAAUUUAUACAAGCUCAUGAUUGGCGCUAAAAGCUGCUACAACUACACUGCGUUAAUGGGAUAUGCUAAUGCGGCAGUUGCAACAUUAGUUUGCCUCUUAUUAAGUUUUUUCAAUUUUCUUAAUAAUAAUAAAAAUAAAAAUGAAUAAAUAUAACUUUUGAAUUUGAAUAUUAUAUUAUAUAAUAUUAAUUUUUAUUUUUAUAAUUAUUGAUAUAAAUUAAUAAUUUAUUAGUCAAUAAUAUUUUUUUAUAUUUUUGUUUUUACAUUAUAAUUUAUUAUUAAAUUUAUAAUUUAAUAUAAUUAAUAAUAAUAUUAAUUUAAAUAAUAAUAUAAAAUAUUAUUGCAUAUACUACAGAACUUUUACUUGGAUUAUUUAGCACAAUUCAUUUGUUAGUGAAUAUGUUAUAGCAAUUAUAUCACUUUAUUAAUUUGUUAUCAUCUUGUGGUGUGUAAAAAUUUUUAUUUCAUUAUCCUAAGAUGACUUUUGAACUAAUCUUCUAGGUUUUAAUUAUUUAUUUAUGUUGUUAUAUUAUUAGAGAUUAUUUAAUUAAAUUAUUUGUUUUGAUCUUUAUCUCACAGGUCAUAUAUUUAGAAAAUAGUGAAAAAUAAAUGUAAUGCUUCUGAAAAUUUAAGGUUAUAAGCUUCGAUAGUUAUGAAGAAUUAUGAUAUUUUUUAACAUUUACACUAAAAAAAUUGUUAAAUUUUUAAAAUUUAAAACUUCUAUGUUUAGUAUUUUUCUAAAUAUUAAUAAAUAAUAUUUUCUAAAUAUAUAAUAUAAAUUACUCAAAAAAUUAUUACAUUAUUUUCUAAAUAUAUAAGAUAAAUUACUAAAAAAAAUUAUUACAUUAUUUUCUAAAUAUAUAAUAUAAAUUACUCAAAAAAAUUAUUACAGUACAAUAUAACACAAAAUAAAGUCUAAUUGAAAAUUAAUACAGUACAAUGUAGCACCAAACAUUGUACAACAUUAUGAUAAUACAAUGCUAAUACAAUACAAAAAAAAUAUAAUAUACCAACAUUAAAAUACAACAUAAUACAAUACGGUGUGCCAAACGCACCCUAAAAUUACAAAACAUGGCGUUAUAAUCCUUUAAUACUUUGAGUGGUUUUAAUACCAUAUAAUGAGGAGUACCAAACAUGCCCUAAUUGUAUAAAAAUAAAUCUUAAUUAGAAAAAAAUGAUAUAAUAUUAUAAAAAAAUAAUUAAUUAAUUUCAUUAGCAAGUCUUACCAAUCUCUCAUAACAUCCCAGUCUCUUAUAGUAAUAAUUGCUUGGAAAAUCUUUGAUUUCAAUAAACUUUAAAAUUGAUCAAGAACUUGACUGCCAAUACUAAAAACCGAUUCAAAUGCAACAGAGAUAUAGGAAUGCUUAAGAUAUCACGAGCCAUGGAAGAAAGAUUAGGAUAACAAAAUCUGUUUCCUUUCAAAAAACUUAGAAUGUUUAAAUCAAUCUAUCUAUUCUUGGUUCAUCCAAAUAAAGCUCUAAUUCAGAUUUUCUAACAUAGGCAUAACAAUCCAUGUUAAUAAGAUCAUCAAACUCCUACAAAAUAAUUAAGAAAUAAGAAUUGUCAAAAUCCAAAACAAGUACAAAUAAGGCAAUAAUAAUUGUUACAAUAACAGAGAAGAAAAUUGUAAAUGUACCAUGAUUAGUUCCAUGGUCCAUUGGUUAAGUGUAUUCUGACUAUUGUCAUUAUGUCCCACACUUGAAUCAAUAUCACUCAUUUAAGUAAGUGUGGAUGUGGUGGAGAAAGAUAGUGUGAUAAAAUUUUACUCACUAAAAACUGAAAACAACUUAUCAUGAACAUGUUCUAACUACUUUGAAUUUUGAUAAUAAGCGUUGUCGUAGGCAAACUUAAUGAAUGCCAACUUGUAUCGAGGAUGCAAGAUGACCACAAUCCCCAAAAUGGUACAAAAAUCAAACCAAUACUUUUCAAACUUUUUGAUCAUUUUCUAUGCCAUAAUUUUCAUAUAUACAUCCUCACUAUGCAAUAAUUGAUCCAAAACAAUAUUAGAUACAAACACCUUAGGAAAAUAUAAACUUGAACUGGGGUAUUUUUGUUGGGAUUAUGUGCUCUUUAAAACAUAUUGAUUUAUUUAUUUUCUAAUUAAUAAAAUAUUUGAGAUAUUUUUCAAAAAUCUUAAUUGCAUAAAUAUUUUGAAUAAGGUCCAUUUAAUCAUAUUAUAUAUAUUUAUGUGAUCAUCAUAUGGAUUCACAGAAGAGAUAAAUACAAGUUAUCUUAUGAUUAAAUAAAUUAAGUUCACAAUUGAUAAAUAGAGUUGGACGCUCUAUUUAUGUUUAAACUAUAGUAAAUUCAUUGAAUGAUUUAUCUUAAUCAUGUAUGAAUUUACUGAUUUAAUUUGACUAUAUUGAACUGGAUCACAUAUGAGAAUUUUUUUUUGAGUUCUGCUAUUUGAACUUCGCGAAGACAAAAGAACAACAGAAAAAAUUGGCACGUGAAUCAACUGCACUAACAGCUUUUGUCUCUCUCUUUGUCCAUUACUUUUUGAGUUUAAAAAAUAAAAUAAUGAAAAGAAAGAAAGAAAAGUAACAAAAGAAAAGAAAGAGAUUAUUUUUUUAUUCUCGUGAAUCACCCCUCUUGUCUCUCUCUCCAUUUACUCUUUCUCACGUGAAUCACCCCUCUUGUCUCUCUCUCCAUUUACUCUUUCUCACGUGAAUCACCCCUCUUGUCUCUCUCUCCAUUUACUCUUUCUCACCUCUCAUUUACGUGAGCUCUCUGCGUUCAGGAAGGAAAAACUCAAACAAGUUAUGUCUCUGCAUCUCAUAAAUUUCGUCUCUGCAUCUCAGUUAUCACAAGGAAGAAAUUAGAUCUAGAUCUACAAACAGAGGUGAGAAAUGUUUAAAUGGUUAGAAUAUUUAAUUUAAAUUGUAAAAAUUCAUAGAUUUUAACUUUUUAUAUAUUUAAAUUGUUAUGAAUUGUUAUGAUUUUUUUAAUUUAAAUGGCUGGAAAUAAUGGAAUAAAUUAUAACAAUUUCUGAAUGUGUUUUAUAUAUGUUAGGAUUUUUUCUUAAUUUAAAUGGCUGGAAAUAAUAGAGUAAAUUAUAACAAUUUCUAAAUGUGUUUUAUACAUGUUAGGAUUUUUUUUAAUUUAAAUUGCUGAAAAUAAUGAAAUAAAUUAUAACAAUUUCCGGAUGUGUUUUAUAUAUUUAAGUUGUUAGGAUUUGAUAAUUUAAAUUGUUGGAGAUAAUGGAAUAAAUUAUAACAAUUUCCGGAUGUGUUUUAUAUAUUUAAGUUGUUAGGAUUUUAUAAUUUAAAUUGUUGGAGAUAAUGGAAUAAAUUAUAAAAAUUUAUGGAUGUGUUUUAUAUAUUUAAAUUGUUAGGAAUUUUCGUAACCGGAAAAAAUGUUAUAUAAGUUUCUUAAUACAAAUGUUAAUUAUUUUGUAGAAAUGGAGUAUUUGGAAAAUGAGCAUGCAUUUGAAGAGUUGCAAGAAACAAGAGCUAACGAUGUGGAUGAAAUUGUGGAACCGAACAAAUGUGAGCCAGCUCUUGGAAUGUUAUUUGAUAAUCAUGAAGAAAUGUUUGCAUUUUACAAAGCUUAUGGUAAACAAGAGGGGUUUCCUGUGAAGGUUCAAAGUACUAAGAAGGGGACCGAUGGAAUUGUAAAAUAUGCGACAUUUGCAUGUGGGCGUAGCGGCAAGUCAGAAAGUAAAUAUGCUAAUGCAUUGAAGUCGAAACCGAUUGUGAAAAAUGGUUGUGAUGCAAAAAUUGGAGGUUGUCUAAAUGAAGAUGGAAAAUGGGUUCUUCGAACUUUAAAUCUUCAACACAACCAUGGAUUGAGUCCAGACAAAGCUAGGUAUUUCCUAUGCAAUCGCAGAAUUAGUGCAAGCGCUAAAAAGCGAAUUGAAAUGAAUGAUUGUGCAGGAAUUAGAAUUGCCCAAAAUUUCAAUUCUAUUGUUGUUGGAGCUGGUGGGUAUGAAAAUGUGCCAUUCUUAGAAAAAGAUUGUAGAAAUUUUGUUGACAAAACAAGGCGAUUACAGCUUGAGGAAGGAGAUGCUAUGGCGCUUUUAAAGUACUUCCAGAAAAAGCAAGCAGAAUGUAAUGGAUUUUUUUUUAGCAUUGAUUUGGAUGAAGAGGAUCGAUUAAAGAAUGUGUUUUGGGCAGAUUCGCGGAGUAGGGCAGCUUACAAAUAUUUUGGAGAUGUCAUCACAUUUGACACUACAUAUCUAAUCAACAAGUAUGACAUGCCAUUUGCGCCCUUUGCUGGAGUUAAUCACCAUGGACAAUCUAUUUUGUUGGGUUGCGGAUUGAUUUCAUGCGAGGAUACAGAGACAUUUACGUGGUUAUUUGAGACGUGGCUAUCAUGCAUGUCUGAUUCUCCUCCCCUUAGUAUCAUUACAGAUCAAGACAGGGCAAUGCAAAAGGCAAUUGAAAACAUUUUUCCUACUACUAGGCAUCGAUGGUGUUUAUGGCACAUAAUGAAGAAGGUGCCUGAGAAGUUAGGGGCUUUUAAAGAACGUGAAGGUAUUAUAUCUUCCCUACUUUCUGCUGUUUAUGAUUCACUGAGUUUUGAUGCGUUUGAGGAAGCUUGACAUUGCAUGAUUACAGAAUAUGAUUUAUGGGAUAAUGAUUGGUUAAAUGGUUUGUACGAGGAGAGGCAUCGUUGGGUCCCAUGCUAUUUAAAAGGCUAUUUUUGGGCAGGAAUGUCAACAACUCAGCGAAGUGAAAGUAUGAAUGCAUUUUUUGAUGGAUUUGUUAACUCAAAAACAAAUCUGAAAUAGUUUGUAAAGCAAUAUGAAAAUGCAUUGAGGAGGAAAGCUGAAUUAGAAUGGCAAGCAGAUGCCAAGUGUUUCAGUAAAAGGACAUCAUGCGUAUCAAGAUAUGAGAUGGAGAGGCAAGUUGAAGAAGUGUACACCAUUUCCAAGUUUAAAGAAUUUCAAGAAGAAUUGACUGCUCUGAUGUAUUGUGAUAUCUCGGAUUCUGUGGGAUCAAUAUAUCAAAUAAUUGAAUCAUUUGGGCAAGGUCGGAGAGGCUUCUUUGAGGUUGUUUUUGAAGAAGCUGAGUGUGAAGUUACUUGUAUAUGUUCAAAAUUCCAGUUUAGGGGUAUUCUUUGCAGGCAUGCCCUUGCAGUGCUGAUACGUAACUCAGUUGAAUUACUUCCAGAAAGAUACAUUUUAUCAAGGUGGAGGAAAGAUGUGAGGAGAUGUUAUAGUAAGCUGAAAGUUUGUUAUGGUGUGCAGAAUUUGACCAUCCAGCAAGAAAGAUAUGAAAAAAAUGUGUAACGCUUUCAGUGAGGUUGCAGACAUAACCUCUGAUGAUGAAAAUAGCUAUAAAACGGUGUUGGAUUGGAUUGAGAAAGCAAUGAAGGAUCUGCCCAAGCAAAUUUGCUGUGAAAGUGUGGGAAAAACUAAUACUGGUGGAACAAGUUGUAGCAGCAACAAACAAAUUAACAGUGAGAGUGUGGAAAGAACUGUUAUUGGUGAAGUAAGUUAUGGCAGCAACAAUGUUCAACUUGCACUAAAUGAUCCAGUAGUGACACGUCAUAAAGGCCGUCCACCUUGCCUGAGGAAAGAAUCUUCGAUUCGUAAGAAAUCCGUUCAAAAGAACAAGUCCGCACAAAAAAAUAAGUUAUGAUUAAAAACAAAGAUUUAUUUUCUAAUUAAUUUGGUCUUAGUUUAAUUGUCUUUAAUAAUCUUGUAGGAUUUACAACAAACUGCCCCAUCAUCUUAUCAUGUGCCUAAUGAAAUCUCCACACAAGGGAGCAACAUAGCCACAGUAAAUUUUGUGAAUUUUUUCUUUUAAAAUUUUCUUUUAUUUCGAGGAUAUGUAAUUAAGUAUAAGAUUGCGCAUAUGUAGACGCUACAAGAAGGAAGUACUAUUUACGAAAAUCUCAACCAAUGCGGCACUAUGGGCUAUUAUAAUGUAAGAAUUAAAUUAUUUAAAUUUUAGUUUUAAGAUUUUUAUAUGAAUUUUACAUAUAUUUUAUUAUUUGAUUAGGUACCUAUGUACCAAUCCCAAUUCGGUGGAAGCAACAUUUAUCAGCCAUUUCCUUAUAAUUGGCACCCAGUAAGUUGUUGUUUACAAGUCGUUAAUGAAUACAUAUAUUUUAAUAUUUCUGUAAUGUAAUAUGAUGUUUAUUUUUAUGUAUUAUAGCAACUAGUCCACCGUAUACUUCGCAGUUGCAUUAUUCUUCUCCUUCGAUGACUUAUCAAGGAUCUCAAAGUGAGAAUUUCCAACAGUUACUACAGCAGCAGCAGUGUUAUGAAGAUAACAAUGAUGAUACUUGACUUGUAUUUUGGCUUUAAAUUGUAGUGAUGAAAUAAUGUUGUGUUAAAUUGAACUUUAAAAUUUUAAAAUUAUGUUAGAUUUGACUUUAAAUAUUUGAAAUUGUAGUGAUGGAAUAAUGUUUUGUGUUAAAUUGAACUUUUAAUUUUUGAAAUUAUGUUAGAUUUGUUUAAUGUUCUUUAAUUGAACUGUUCUUUUUGCUUUUAUACUUAUGUCCAUGCAUUUCUUCAGGUUCUCAAUUAUGUUAGAUUAGUUUUGAAAUAUGUUAUUCUGAAUUAAAAUUUAUUAUAAUGUAUAAUAAUUUUCUUGUAUGCCUUCUGUAAUAUCAAGUCAAUGGGAAUGAAACGGUGAUGCUGUGAUAUUCUGUAUAAUACUAUAGUUGCAUGUGAUUGUGACGGUGAAAUUUUACCUACUGAUAAUUGAUUCAUGUGCUUAUGUAAUUAUACAUGAAGACAAUUAUUAAUAGCCACAUACUGUCCUCAACCGAAAUUGGUGUGAAUUAAUUUUAUGUGCAAUUUCUUUAUGACCAAUGAAACUUCAAUAAAUUACAAUUAUUGAACACAAAACGAGUAAUUAUAAACAAUUCAUACACAACAAUCAUUUUAUUUAAAUUAUUUAAAUUUAUACAUAACACGGGGUACAAUUUCAUUUAUGUAAAAUACAUAUAGCAACGAUUAUCCCUAAAAUACAACAUAUAAUGGAUAAUAUAGGCAGAAUAAUACAAUCAUUUCUGCCUUUAUCAGUUUGCACAGCUUUGUCACAUGUAGGCACUUCAGUUUGCACCCCCUUUUCGAGUGUUUCCACAAUAAAUUUUGUAGUUUCUAACAUAUUGGAUGUCUCUGGCAAUUUUUCAUGCCUUUUUAUGUAAUCAUUGUAGGCUAUUUCGGCAUCCAACAAAAAUUUAUAAGAUUUAUAAGAAUUCCCUUUGAAUCCAUUUACUUGCAUCUGACAUUCAGGCCAAGAAUUGUAUAUGCCUGGCUUUCGUCCUUUGAAAACAACAUAACAGCUUUGAGUAGGCAUUUGAAUUCUACAUUGGAAAAAUUUAGAUCAAUAUUCUAGACUUUUAUGCUAAGAAUUUCAACUGCUAACAAUAAGAGAGAAUUUCAAAACCAGGAGGGAAAAAAAGAGUAACAUUUUAACCUUCUGAAAAAGAAUGGGAGCCUCACAGCAAAGCACAAAGGCCAACAUCAACCAAGAAACUAAUUUCUGCAACUGUAGGUGAGACAAAUCACAGCAACUGUUCCUGAUGAACAAUGGUAAAUAAAGAGAAAAGAGGUCAGGAGUCUAAUACCAUUACCACACACAUGCCAUGAAUAAUAAGUUGACUAGCUAAUUACUACUUACAAAAAGAGGUCAUAACUCUCCACACUCAUUCAACCUCAAAAUGUGUCUCAGACUUACAACAUUCAGGACAGGAGAGCAAAUACUUUCUCAUCCACCUCUCUCCCAUAGAUCUGAUAUCUCUACAUAUCUCCUCAAUUACUCCCUCUCUCUUAUCUUGCCAACCUCAGAAGACAUGAAUAUGCUAAAUAAUAGCUUUUGUAAUUUUUUUCUUGCACCAAAAGAAAACGAGAAAAUGAAACCCUCACUUUAAAAUCUCUUAAUCCACUGGCAGCUACAGCAUCUUGGUUGUCAGACUAAACCAUCAGUAUCCAGCAAACAAAUUCAUCUCCUCAACCAUUACCAAUUUAUCAAAAGGCUAAAACGUUGUUGGAAGUCUCUAAUCAAUUUAGACCUGAAACAACUCAAUACACAAAAGGAAAGAACAACAUCACCAUAAGUAAGUUAAAAAGACAGCAAUGCCAGCAAAUCCCAUUGACAAAACCUAAAAAAGGACACGACCCAUGUGAUUUUUUUGGCUAAAAAAUAGACAAAUUUGGAUCUAGGUCAAACAUUUUCCGAACAAUUAAUAUUUCCCAACAUAGUACCAAGUCAAAAGAAGGGCAAAAAGAAAAUCAAAUUUUGAUCUAAAGCAAUGCGGAGCGGGAUCCGAUCUGAGUUAAAAACAAAAAAAAUGAAAUAACUUAAAAGAAAAUCUGGUUACCCUUUUGAAAACCCAAGUGCAUAGAUCCAAAGUCGGAACUCAAUGAUCAAUAAUAACUAAAUAAAUGAAUUUUCACAGAGUCGAGACUAAAAAACAGAGCAGUGAGCAGUAAUAAAUGCCCUGUUAGUAUCUAUAAAGACGAGUGAGAAAAUGAAAACCAGAGGCUGAGGCUCUGACGUUUAGUGUCUCUGAAGAAGAAGAAGAAGAAGGAGAAGCACUGAAGCAACGAAUUAAAUGAACACGAGGCCGUACCAUGUGAGCUAUGGUACACAUUCGCACACGUAAACAAAAUCAAAUCCAACACCACCAACAACAACUCACCCAUGUUUCCAAUUUUUUAAUACAAUAUUUUCAAUUAUUUCUCUUUUUCUUAUCAUCUUUGUCCGAUGGUGCAAGAAAAAAAGUUAUAAUUAUAAAAUUAAAAAGAAAUGCUUACGGAAGAAAUGCUAACACUGUCAAUCUCAAAAUUUCAUCAUCCACAACAUAAAAAAAUAAAAAAAAUAAAAAGAAAUGCUUACGGAUGGGUCACUACAACUGUAGCAGCAAGCAAUAACUACAAGUCUCCAAAGCAGCGACGUCGUAGUAGAUCUGGGCUGGGCGAUCAUGUCCGUUCUAAAUCUGGGCUAGGCGAGAACAAGAAGCGGUCGUCGUCCGGUAACAAGAAGCAGACGUCGUCCGGUAACGAAGCAAGUGGGGCUGGGCGAGAAAAAAGAAAAAAAGGGGGAGUCUGGUAACGAACGAAGCAAAUGGAGGGGAGUCUGGUAACGAACGAAGCAAACUCAAUGGAGGGGAGUCUGGUAACGAAGCAAACUCAAUGGAGGGGGAGUGAAAUGAGUGGUUGGGGAGGGGGCAGAAAUGACCAUCGUUUUCUCAUUUUUUUUAAUUUCUUGUGGGUCCACGCAAUAUUAAAAGAAGCAGAAAUCAACGCUUGAAACGAGUGAAACGGCAAUUCAAAGUUGCGUUUCUGUCGUCCCUUUGUCUUCAUUGAGUUCCUUUAUCAUUUUCCUUUUUUUUUUAUACAAAUGGAACCUAGCCAGUGCUUAGGUUAAACAAAGACAAGGGAAAGCAGUCCCCAAACCAUCACUGAACAGCCAAUGGGGAGGUUGAUGAAAUAAAUGGAAACCAAGUGGGAGGGUGAGCGCCAUGCCUGCAAGGAAGUCAGCAGCAAAAUUCGCUUCCCUAUACACAUGAUGCACUGAAAUCAACCAAUCUCGGCUUAGCAAAACCUUUAUUCCCUAAAUCAAUGAAGAAUUAGCAUUACUGUGAUAGUUACGAUCAGCUAAAAUUUGAGUAAUGCUCAAGUUGUCAACUUCUACCCUUAGGAAACGGAUGCCAUGAUCCCAAGCCAUUUGUAACCCUUUAAAAAGGCUCCACAAUUCAGCCCCCAUUAUAGAGCAAGUUCCCAAGUUCAUAUUGAAACCACAUACCCACUCAGCACAUCAAUUCCUCACUAAACCACCAGCACUAGCCAAACCAGACCGUUUCAAAGCCCCAUCAGUAUUGAGUUUGAAAUAUGGCCACGUUGGGGGUUGCCAAUGAAUCAAUUUCUCAAUUUUAUUGGAUUGCUGCUUCUUCAAAAAAUCAUGGGUCAAAGUAAUUUCCUCAGUGCGGCUAUGAACAUCCAUUAGCACAUUACCAAUACUACAUGAUAUGUUAGUAUGAGUAAACUGAUUACACCAAAACCAUAACCUCCACACACUGACUCCAAAAAGCACUGACCAAUCCCCGAAGUUCGCAAUUUGAAAGCCAUUCUUCAUAUUACAGAUUCCUCAUGACCGAAGAUCCAACAUGAAAAAGGUAAAAUGUAAGUGAUUAGGAAUUAAAGCGAGCCAAACACGUUUGGAAUCAAUGUAAUCCCUUACUACAUAUAAGGUGUCCUCCACGUGAAACCCGCAUCCCAUGCAAGCACAAUCAUCUAUCGAGUGUUUGCGAAAGAGCUCAACCCUCGUUUUCAACCUGUUAUGCAUUAACAGCCAAAGGAAACAACGAACACUUUGGGGACCAUUCCAUCGCCAAAUCGAACUCCAAAGAGAAUUAUUCCACUUGGCACCGGCUUAAACAAGUAGAAGUAAGCAGAUUUUAUAGUGAAACAACUAGACUUUGAUGUACCCCAAAAACAACAGUCCUCAACUCCACGCUCACAAGGUCGCAUUGUACCCGCAAUCUUGAAAAGAAUAUGAUUUGGUAAAAGGGAAGCAAACAGACCCCAAUUCCAAGCACCCUCUUGAUCCACAAACCUGGCUACAUAUUGUUUAACCAAGCUGUCAGGGAUUGGGCCAAUAGCAUACUUCUGAAGGUAGUGGUCGUCCAUCAUCCAACAAUCUUUCCAGAACCUCGCAGUCUUGUCGUUGCCUAGAGCCCAACGAACCCCUUAGAGGACUUCCUUCCAUAUGUUUCCCACUGCCUUCCAUAGAGGUGACCCGUGUUUAGUUGGGAGCGAAGAAGGAAGAUCAUUGUUGUUAACACCAUACUUAGAUAUCAAGACUUUAAUCCAGAGACUGUUUGGUGAGUCAAGAAUGCCCCAGCCAAUUUUCAUAAGUAAUGCCUUGUUCAUAAAGUUAAGAUCCUAUAAACCAAGGCCUCCACGGGAUUUGGGAAGUUGAAUCGUCUCCCACCUAAUAAGGCUUAUACGGUAGUUUUCUUCCUUCCCACUUUAUAUAAAGUGUAUGCAUAUCUAGUCGAUCUUAUUUCGAAUACUCGCAGGGAGCAUUGUGGUUUGCAUAGAGUAGAUGGAAGUGACUGGAUAACUGGUUGUGUGAGAGUAAUCCGACCUGCUAAGGAAAGAUGCUUUGCUGACCACCCGGAAAGUCUUUGUUGAACCCAAUCGAUGAUGGUCUGGUAAGUAUGCUUGGUUAUCCGCUUGUGAGUAGAGGCGUGCCUAGAUAAGUGCUAAGGUCCUUUGUAGUGGUGAACCCAAGUUAGCUCCAAUUCGUUGGGCAUCGCUAGUGUGCACAUUAUGGGAGAAAAUGUGAGUGUUUUAUUUUUGCUCACUUUUUCUCCUGAACUCCCACAGAAGUAUCGAGCAUCUCCAUGAUAACUUCUGCUUGGUCUAGUGAAGCUUCUGCCAAAAGUAAAAGAUCAUCAACAAAAAAGAUAUGAGAAAUAGGAAUACCUUGUCUUGAAAGUAGUUGCAUGGUGGCAGACGAAAUGCAUUCCAUAAUAACUCGAAUGAAGCCCUAGGGUAACCCAACUAUGCACAAAGUUUCAAAGAUGAAAUCCCAGUUUAAUCUAUCAUAGGCUUUUUCAAGAUCAACCUUGAUAACCAUUUAACCAGAUUUCCCCUUCUUCUUUCGCAUAAAAUGAAUUACUUCUUAUGCAAUAACAAUAUUUUCUGUAAUAUGUCUCCCUGGAAUAAAGCUUGUCUGGUUGGGGCCAAUAAACCUCGGCAACACCUCCUUGAGUCUAUUAGUCACUAUUUUGGUGAUUGUUUUAUACACCACGGAGGAUAGACGAAUAGGCCGAAACAUUUUCAAGCUAGUAGGAUUGUUGGUUUUAGGUAUGAGCACAAGCAAAGUCCCGUUGAGCUCUUUAGGAAUUGGCGUGCCACCAAAGACCUCUUUUACCACUUUACAAACCGAGGGCCCCAUAACCUGCCAUUGAGAUUGAUAGAAGAUAGCAUGAAAGCCAUCCACACCAGGGGCCUUCAAGGGGGGCAUACUAAAAAUCGUCUACUGAAUUUCCUCAUCAUGCACUGGUUUAAACAAGUUGCCCAUGGUAUUGCUAUCCAUCCUUAGAAAGUGAUUUGGAACCGGGUACAUAUGAUAUUUGCUCUCCUCGUUGAAGUAAAGUUUGACAAAAAAAGAAAUAGCAUGUGCCUUAAUCUCUUCACUAUCGUAUAGCCAGACACCAGAAUCAUCCUGUAUGGCCACCACUUUAUUCGCUCUUUGUUGUUGGAUGGUUUUUUGGUGGAAAAAUCUUGUAUUUCGAUCUCCACUUUUAAUCCAUUCUCUUCUAGAUUUUUAGUACCAAAUAAUCUCUUCUCAGGUCAGAACCUCUUUUAAUUCCUGCCUUAAAUCUGCUUCCAACCAAAUAAGAUGGUUAGAUUGACGAACUUCUAAAGCUUUUUGAAUACCACCGAUUCUCGCCAAGAUUCUUCUUUUCCGUUUAAAAAUAUUCCCAAACACUUCUCUGUUCCAAGUCCAGAGAUUGGUCUUAAACUCUUCAAUCAUCUGCAUAUAGUUUUUAGAGCCAUCCUAAGCACUUUUUACAAAAUUAGCAAAUCUAUGGUCUCUAAGCCAAGAAGCAAGGAAACGAAAAGGUCUAUGCCCCAGCUGAUGAGCACCAAUACGAUAAUGAAGGGCUAAAAGAGGGCGGUGAUUUGAAUGGAUUCUAGGAAAAUGGUAAACAACAGUUUCAGGGGCUAAACGUAGCCAAUCCUCAUUACACAAGCAUUUGUCUAGCUGUUUAUGAAGGGAUCCUCUAGACCAAGUAAAAGAAGGACCGGUAAAACCAAGAUCACAUAACUGAUUCCUGUGAAACCAAUCUCUGAACAAAUUGCACAUCAAUCUCCUCCUCUUCUUUCCGUAGAAUUCAUAAUUGUAUUAAAAUCUCCCCCAAUAAUCCAGGGGCCUUGAGUAUUUAUUGCAAUAUUGUCUAAUAAUGGCCAAAGGUGUUGUCUCACUAUACGCACUGGACUUGCAUAUACCAUCGUUACCCAACAGGAAAACAACCCGAGUCUGGAAACCCGGCAAUGAAUAAAUUGUCUAUUAUUCACAACCACGUCCACUUGGAUACCAUCAUUCCAUAGAAGCCAAAUACCAUCAGCAAAGCCAGUUGCCUAAACCCUGUGCGAAUUAGAAAAGCCACAUUCCUUAAUGAAGACAUCAGCCCUAUUGCCAUUGAUGUGAGACUAAAAAAGAGCCACCAGGUUUGGCUUAUAACACAUUACAAGUGUUUUGAAAUACUGAAGGAAGCCUUUUGAUGUUGUCCCUUGACAGCUCCAGAACAUAUGAGUACACAUCAGGAAAUAAAAAAGGAGUAGAAAGGUAUAAACCUUACCCAUCAGGGGUAUCAAUCAUCAGCAUAAGAUCUAGGCUAUCCUAAAAUUCAAGAGAGCCAGCAGAUUCUGACUCUUCUUCAUUUUCCUGACUAUUUCCUGUAUAGUCACUAUCAUUAGAAUCAUCAUCCGAAACUCUCAUAUUUACUUCUUUCCCACUAGGUGGGUCACUAGAGUAAACUACUACUUUUUCUAACUUGUCCUCAAUUCCAGUAGCUUUGGAAUAAAAAUGCAACUUAUGCAUCCCAUCAGAACUCUCCCCUUUCAAACUCGUAAAGGCAACAACAGUAUGGUUCUGUGGGUUCAGGCUAGUUGUCACAGGUACAAGGGAGUCCUGGGGCGUGACCAAUUGGCUAAGGUUUUGUUGUGUACGUGGUGAAGGCGUUUGCAUGGCUUACGGGUUACGUGUGUAUAGGCAUGCAAAAGGGCAUUUUUUGUUCUGGUGGUGGGGCCUUUUAAUGACAGUGUAUGUUUCUUAUUCCCAGAGGGUAAAAUCGUAAGGGACUUGGCCUUUUGGGUUUGAAAAGUGUUAUUUUUAGGAAUUGGUGCUUGUGUAUCGGGAAAACGGGUAGGUUGACUUUCAGGCAUGGGCAUGGUAUUAUUGGAAGUAAAGUUAUCUUCAAGGUUGUCAGCAUUCAUAUGGGGACCAAAUUUUGAACCGUUAUCAAUCAUUCCAUUUUCAGUGAGAUUCUGUCUAGAAACCUUGGCAUUUUCCUUUCGAAAACGAUUGUUGCCUUUUUUGGUCACCGCCAUCCAAGGGCCAAACCUAGGGUUUGCUGGUUGCAGUGGAGGUUCCACCUCUACAGAUUGAUCAGUAGGCACAUUUAUGCCCCUCUCCGUUGCUUCAUUUCCUCUUUAAUCAAAGCAGGAAGCACUAAGAUGACCAUAUUUGCCACAUACAAAUCAUAUAGUGGGUAAGCUUUCAUACUCGACUUUUUGGAUCUUGCUGUCAAGAAGGAACUAGGAGCACAAUGGUUUAUCCAAUGCAACUUCAACAGCAAUUCGAGCAAGCUUACUCCGAGUAGUUGACUCAGUGUUGUAGUCAAUGCGAACAACGUUUCUGAUUACCUGUCCCAGCAGGCGUAGCACCUUCUUAUGGUAAUAAUGUAGUGGCAUUCUAGGGAGACGAAUCCAGGCUACGAUGGAAGAAAUCUUCUCAUUUGCGCUAUCAAAAUGAGGUGACCAUGCUUGAAUCGUUAAAUAGUGGCCAAGCAUAAUCCAUGGUCCUUACGUUAACACAUGCUGAGCAUCUGAAACUGUUUUAAACCGGACUAGGAAAUAGUUAUUCUCCAGGUCUAUCACAGAAAAACCAUUAGACAUACCCCAUAAGGCCUCCAGGCAGCUACACAGAACUUUAUAAACAAUAUUCCUUCCCAGUAAUUUCACAACCACCGUUGAUUGCCAGGGUUUCACUAAUUGUGAGUGGAUCUUCCAAGAAAAGAUAUGGAUGGCAGAACCCCUUCCUUUUCGACGACGACGACGUCUCCUAUGUCAAAUUCCAUAUCCUCGUCCUUGCCCAUUAGUUCCUCCUUCAUAGCCCGCUGCUCCAUUAAUUUGCCUUUGAACGAAACGGGAGGUGGGUUAUCCCCAUCCACACCAUUCUCCUUAAACUUGGCCCUUUUCAUAGAUCGGUUGGCUUCAAGCGGUGGUGAAGAACUUUUCUUCAUACUAGAGUCCAUUCUUGAGACGUUUAUUAUACUAAUAUUCUUCUUAUUAAUGGAUCACAUAGGUAUUGAUUUUAUUGCAAUAUGAAUCUUGAGUUAAUUAUAGUUUCAUAUUUUUUUAUUGUCAUUUCAUUUGAGUUACCAAUGGGCGGGACAUACAUUUGUAGUCAAGAUUACCCAAUAUCUUAGUGGAAACAAUUAUGAGCAAUGAGAUUAUAGAUUAACAAUAUAAAAUUUAUACAACACAUUUCUUAAUGGGUUUUCAGUACUUGAUCAUAGAAUUAUCUGGCCAGAGUGUGUCAACAUAAUUAAUAUGUUGAAAAUGGUCAUUAGAAAAAAUCAAUAAAUGUCAAGGAACAAGAUGUAAUUAAAUUGAUUGAACAGUUGAGAUAUCAAUUUAAUUUGCGAUGUGGUACAAAUGAUUAUUUAGUAAGGAAAUCAAUGUGGCAUGGGUGAAAUUAUUAUUUGAGAACACUAUCCUAGAUAGCAUACAAUUAUGGAAGUCAAUUCCAAAUUUUUAGUAGAGUAAAUUUGGAAUUAAAUAAUUGGGCUAGUUUAAUUACAGGCUUAAUUAUUGUAGCUACUAUUGUAUGUACCCAUAUGAUCCCCGAGUUAGCUCAUUUAAUUGACUGCACCACUAUUGAAUUAAUAAACAAGAUAACUAGCUAUUUGGGUUAAAAGCCUAAAUAUAUUAUUUAGUGGGAGGCUCCAUUUAAUACGCUUGUGUGUAAAAGGCCUUGUGUUAUUUUAUAAGGUGGGCUCCUAUAACAAGAACAGGUAACGCGACUUUUGGUUUUAUUAUUUUUUAAUUUAAAUCAAAUUUGAUUUAAUAGAAUUUAAAAAAUAUAUAUAAAUAUGGAGCCUAGGGUUUCCACCAAAUAGAGAUAUAAAAAGACUUGUUUUCUCUAAAAGGAGACAGUAGCCACAAUAUACAAAUUAGAGAAAAAAAGAUUUUUUCUCUCUAUCUUUGAGAGAAAAAAAUUUUCUCUUGCUAGUUGUUUUUAGUAGUGAUAAAGGCGCCCGCACGUCAAGUGCAUAUCAAACUUAAGUCAUAACCUAGAAGAUCAUUGGUGACGAAUCAAAAUCUAACAAGAUUGAUGGAGACAAAUCGUGAUCUGAAAGCCUAGAUUACUUCAGCAAAAAAAGCAAAGGUACAAUUUUUAGAUUAUGGUAAUUUUAUAUAUUGUAUGAGAAUUGUGAUCCAAAUAUUUCUAUUGAAAAAUAUUUUUCAAACCAACAAUUUUGACCUAGAAAAAAUGCAUAUGAUCUCAUAAAACAUAGACAAGAAUUUGCCAGUUUUCUCUAUUUUCCCCUAGUCUUCUUCAGAAGACAACUCUUGUAAUUAGAAUCACUCAAUUGUAAAUGACAACGAGCAUUUUUGUUAUACCUAAAACUAUCAAGCAUAAGAAAAGUUGUCAUAAUUUUUUCUUGUCAUCUAGAGAUACUUAACACACUUGAAGAAUUUUUUUUUUCUCUCAUUUUUGACCCCUUGACAUAUUUUAUACUCUCAUGGGCUUUUUCUAUUUCUUACUCAACUUAUUUUAAUUAAUUUUGAACAAUCAAUAUAAUAAUAUGAGCACAACUUCGAAUAUAAAAGUAAAUCUCCAUCACACAUCAAAGCAUUUUUUAAUUGCAGUUGACUUUUUAACAUUGCAACACAAAUAUCAUUACUUGUUUAGAGUUAUUGAGAAAAAAAGAAAAAAUCUUUUUUUCUCAAUAUCCCAUUCACACAAUAAUGAUAAUAUUUUCUUAGCCAAGGCAACCACAGUGUGUGUGGAGUUAGCAUUUCACAAAAAUUAAACAUUCUUUUUUAUAAAUUCUAUCAUUUAUCAACGAAAGUGUUAUUAAUUCAGUCAAUUUUUGUCAAUCCGAACUUGACAAAUUCAUAUAGGAUAUUACCACACUAGUUUUGCUCGAAUUCUAGACCCAAUGUGAUUGAGAGGUGUAUGAAAUUGGCUGAAAAUUCUUUCUUUCUUUUAAUAAUUUUGAAUAGUUGUCAUAUUCUACACUUCUUGACCACUAGUUUAACAAAAUUAACCAAAAAAUUGCCAAAUCACUUUAGAUGACCUAUAUUUAUCCAUGCACUAAUCUAUCAUGAUUCAUGGAUAGCAUGUGAUGUGCUCAUAAUUUAUCUAUUAUUUUAAUGCUUCCAUAACUUAAUUUUAUGUUAAAUUAUAUUUUAUUAUAUUAAUUUUUAUAUUUUGUCAUUGUAGGAAUAUUGGGAAUAUUUAAGUGAAAGAAAGCAAAAAGGGGAAACAAAUUGGAGCUUAAUGGAAAGAAUUGCGGAUUGUGGAAGAAAAAAGGGAAAGAAAUAAAAAUUAUAAAUUAAUGAAGAUUUAAUUAACCAAUUUUAAGCAUGCAUGCACGUGGGGAGCAUUAUAGAACUAAUUGGCAAUUCAAAUGGUAAGUUAAACGUGCAUGGGCUUAAAAGUGGGCUGGAUUUGUUUUGUUUUGAAAUCCUUUUCAUUUAAGGAUUUGGAAGUGGCGCAACAAUAUAAAAAGAAAAGUGAAGAGGGCAGCCGCACAAUUGGCACAAAUAUAGAAAAACUGAGAGCAAGAAAAGAACAAGAGAAGCCGUUGUAAAUCCGAGAGCAACAAUUUGGAGGAGUCAAUUGCAGAAAUUGAAGUGAGAUAACUUCUUGAGUUUUUCUUUCCCUUUUCUCUAUUAUCUUACUUGAAUGUUUCCAAUUAAAUUAAUGGAUUCUCUUUAUAUUCCUAUGAACUAAUUUAUUUACUAGGGCUACGAUGUAGCCUAACUAUGAAGAUUUAAUUCUAUAAAUUUAUGUUAUUUUUAAUUUAUUAUUUCAUGGUUGAGUGUUCAUUAUUGUGCUUAAUGCUUUUAAAUAUCUAGCCAAUAUUUGAAUGAUUUGAGGAUACAUAAUGAGACGGAGAGGAGAUUUAUGUAUUUUUGCUAUGUGUAAUGGAUGCCAUGAAUUGAACGAAAGACAGAGAUGUGCCAAAGUGAUUCGUGCAGUUUUUCUAAGAAUUUCCAUGGAGCUUAAUGAAUAUUUGCAUAUUUAUAUUCACAUAGAGAUAUAGUGGGUCAAUGUGUGAAGAUAUUUUUAAUAUUACUCGAGAGAGGAUAUUUAAUGGAUUAGGGAAAUUCACUGUCAACAUGGGUAGUAAAUUUUAAUAGCAUAGAUGGAGGAUUAAAUUGGAUUGGUUAUGGUGAAAUUUGAUGUCCUAGUGUCUUAAUCUCUUGGUGAUUUCUAUUACUGCAUGUGUCUUUAUUUAAUUUUUAAUUAUUUUAUUUUUUUUAAUUUUAAUCUAAAUUCGCUUAUUCGAUUGUUCAAAUAAAUUGGGGUUAGAAUAAUUUCGCUAACUAAUAGGAUAUAAUCCCCCCCAAAAAAUCCCCCUCUUUCACAAUAGAUUCCUCCUUAAAUACUCUCUCUCUCUUCUCUUUUAGAGUUCUAUUUAAAAUAAAAUACUAAUAUCUUAAAUAUUAAAUUCGUAAUUACAAAAAUAGCCAAAAAUACAAAACACGUUAAACUAAAAACUGCAGGUCCGCAGUUGACAGCACGCGCCCACGCCUUAUCAAUAAAGUUCUUCUAACUCUCUAAAUUUCUCCAAGAGAACAAUCAUCUUUAAACAUCAUCUUAUAACUCAAUUUUAUCACGAAUCAAUAGAAUUGCACCUACAAAAGUAAAACACAAGUAAAUCAUUAUUAUUAAGUGCAAAACAUCGAUAUUAAGGGAAGUAAACAAUGCAAAACUAGUGCAUAAAUUGCACUCUAACAAAUUCCCCCACACCAAGAUGAUGCUUGUCCUCAAGCAUAUAACUCAAGAUUAAUCCCAAAUCUCCACUAAAUUCUCAUCUCAACUCAUCCAAAAACAAUUUUAAGCAAGCAUAACUCAAGAAAUUAAGUCGUUCAACGUUCGAGAGACAAGGAUUUUAAAGCAUAGAAUCUCAUAAGCUAGAAGAAAAACAUUUAACCACCAAGAAGAUCUAUUCAAAAUUCAAGUGCAACAAGAUUUAAUAGCCCUCUCAUUGACUUCACUCCAUGCACUCAAAGUGUUUAGGGUGUCAUUUAUUCACUCAAAUCAAAUCAAAGAAUGCUAUUACCAUAAGCUUGCUCAUAUAUCACAUCUCAAUCCACAAAACAUGAAUAAAAUGCAAAAAUCUAAGGGUCUUAAAAGGGUUGUAAUGGGGUUAAAUGGGUUAAAUGAAAAAGAAAGGUUUACGAAAAAAAAAAAGAGAUCAAAAUGAGAAGAAUGAACUCAUUGAAUGAACUUAUGAUAUCAAAAUGCUUAUUUCUACUCAAGUCACCAAGAAUGUAAACAUUUUUUUUUUCGAAUCAAACAAAAGAAACGAACCUUGCACAAUUUAAUUCAAGCAUAAUGCUUGUUGAUCUAAUUGAAAAAGCAACAAAAUAUAUCCACACAAUGAGUCCAAAAAUCUCCUUAAAUUGAGGCUCAAAAAGAAGAAAAAUGGUUAAGUAGACGGAGAGAAUUAGAUGGGUAAUGGUUAAGGCUCAAACAAAGGUAGCAAAUAAAGGUCUUCGGGUAGAGAAAAAGGAAAAUGCCAGAAUAGAAAAAUGGUAAAUGGUUUGCCCUUAUCAUUUUAAUGCCUAAAAUCCCGUAAUGUGGCUUCAACAUGCAUAACAAAGCAAGUUCUAGAAUAAACAAACUAGGAUUGAUAUUCACAUAACAAAAAUAAUUAGAGCAAAGUGGUUGCUCAUAGGCUCAAAUCCUCACAAAGUUGGUAAAUUUGCCAUCAAAUCAUGUACACUCUUCAAAUGAAUCAACCAUCAAUAGUGGUGUAGAAUGAGAAGAAUGUAUGAGUGAUAUAUAAAAGGAAAGGUAAAAAUGAUAAGAAGUGAGAAAGAUGAAAAGUGAAAGAUAAAAUGUGAGUGAUGAAAGAGUAUGAUAGAAUAAAAAUAGAUGUAAAUAAUUUGAGAUAGAUGGGAAAAAAAAAAGUAGUGAGAAAUAAAAGAAAAGAAAAAAUAAUAAUAUAUAAAGCAUACUAACUCCAAAAUCAUUUAAGGACGAGUAGAGUGAAAAAAAAAGAUAAGUAGAGUGAAAACAAUAAUUCUAGACAUCAAUAAUGCAAAAAUCCCUCCCCCACACCAAGAACUUACAUUGUCCCCAAUGUAAGAUAAUCAAAGCUCACAUAAAAAUUAAAGCAUAAGGAUAAAAGAUUAAAGGCAAAAACUUCCCUGAAUUGUGAGCUUUGAUCCUCAUAACGUCUAUGGGCUUGGCGGGAAUGGUGGGAUAAAUCCCACACUCUUGAAGUAUGCGGCCAAAUUCUUCUCCAUCUUGUCACGGAUUUCGAUUCACGCGGCUGGAAUGCAGGUCGUAGGCUGGUUGCGGACUAUUGCUGCUCGACUAGAGCUUGCGGGUACACGGCUGUUGGUUCAGUUGCGCGCUGAUGGUUGUGCUGCGCAGGUUGGUGCUGGUUGUGCUGCGCGUGCGGGCUGGGACUGAUGCUGCGAACUGGUGACGCUGGAUCUGCGUGCUGCGGCUGUUGCUGUGCGCUGGGGGAUUGCUGGUGCUGCGCUGGUGACGCUUGUUGGGUUGCGUGCUCGGGCUGGAGCUGGUUCGCGCUGCGCGCUGGUUCUGUGUUGCUGCGUUGCGCGCGGCUGGAGCUGAGAAUCUGCGUUGCUGGGGCUUGCGUUGCGGGUCUGUUGCGUGCUGCUCGUCUGUGUUCCGCGUGCGGAACGGUGGUCGAUGCUGGUGCUGCGCGCGCGAGGCUUGCUUUGCGCGCUGCUAGGCUGCGAGACGCGGGAUAGUGCUCGAUGCUUGCUAGUUCAGGCAGGCUGGUUUGCGUUGCAGGUGGGACUGAUGCGGCUGCAGCUGGUUCUGCGCGCUGGAGCUAAUGGGUUGGGUUGCUGCGGGAAAACGAAAAUCAACACUGAAUUUUUUUGAAUUAGGGAUUUGUGAACAGUGAUUUUUUAUUUUUUUUUUAUUUUUUUAUUUUUAGUGAUGAAUCACUUUGAGACACUAAAAAUUUCAGAAGUAUUUUUCUAAUAAGUACGUGGGCACGUCUUAUAAAAAAUUUUCUUCUGACCAAAAUAAGCAAACACAUUAAAAAAAAUUUUUUUUUUUUUAAUCACUUUGAGACACUAAAAACUUCAGAAGUACUUUUCUAAUAAGUACGUGGGCAUGCCUUAAAACUAUUUUACUUUAAAAAUUUCAGAAGUACUUAUUAGUUAAAACGUGGGCACGCCUUAUCAAAAAUUUUCUUCUGACCAAAAUAAGCAAACACAUUAUUUAAAAAAAAAAUCUGAAUCAAAAUUAAAAGAAGAUAUGACAAAAACCAAAAUAAAUAAAUCAUUUGGGUUGCCUCCCAAAAAGCGCCUUUGUUUUAUGUCUUUGGCUAGACACAUUUAUGCAUCAAUCUCCAUAAUUGGGACUCUCGAGAGCCACAUCCUCCACAAUAUUCACCGAAAAACCUUCAUAAAAAGGUUUUAAGCGAUGACCAUUAACCUUAAAAACUUUGUCAGAGGUCGGACUCCGAAUCUCAACUGCACCAUGAGGAAAAACAUUAGUAACAAUAAAAGGUCCAACCCAGCAAGAACGUAAUUUACCCGGAAAAAGUUUAAGCUUAGAAUGAAAAAGAAGAACUUUUUGACCAACAGAGAACUCCUUUCUCAAAAUCAUUCUAUCAUGAAAUGUAUUCGUCUUUUCCUUGUAAAAAAUUUCCUGCGCUAUAGGGUUAAUAACAUCCACAGAAAAUACCGAAUGUUCCUCACUAGGAUAUUUCAUGGUAGCAUUCAUAUUGAAUUCUAUAACCUCUUCAUCAAACUCCAUAGUGAGAGUCCCUUUAUGUACAUCCAUUUUAGUCCUAGCAAUCUUAAGAAAAGGUCUUCCUAGCAAAAUUGGGACAGAAUUAGAGGAGUUAUCAUCUUCCAUAUCAAGUACAUAAAAAUCAGCAGGAAAACUAACUCAUUAACUUGUACUAAGACAUCUUCUAAUACCCCAUCAGGAUAUGCAUUAGACCUAUCGGCUAGUUGAAUUAUCACGCCAGUUUCUUUUAAUGGACCAAUAUUCAAAGAUGAAUAAAUAGAACGAGGCAUGACAUUAAUAGAAGCUCCUAGAUCUAACAAAGCCUUUUCAAUUCUAACACUACCAAUUUUACAAGGAAUAGUAAACAUACCUGGAUCCUUGCACUUAGGAGGUAGUUUCUUUUGAAGAACUGCUGAAAUAUUCUCCCCCAUGUUAACUUUUUCAUCUCCUCUUAAUUUUCUCUUAGAGGUGCAUAGUUCCUUAAGGACUUUAGCAUAUCGAGGUAUCUGUUUUUAUAGCAUCUAAUAAAGGAAUAUUUACCUCAACCUUGCGAAAUGUCUCAAGGAUGUCUUUCUCUUGUUCCUCCUUCUUGGAUUUUGCAAACCGGCUUGGAAAAGGAGGAGGUAUCACAAUAGGUAGGGGUUUCGUUCUGGUGGGUUCCGCAUCAUGAGAUUGAGGCAUCAAUUCAUUCUUCUCAAGCUCAUCUUCUACAUGCUUUGUCGCUUUCUUAUUAGGCUCUUGCAACUCCGUCCCACUUCUAAGGAUGACAACACUAACGUUUUGCUUUGGAUUCACCUCAGAUUGUGAAGGCAAUCUCCCUAAUACUUGAGACUCCAGACGGCUCACUGUAGUCGCCAAUUGACUCAUUUGGUUCUCCAAGUUCUGAAUGCUUGUUGUAGUUGCCUGCUGAAAUUGUUGAGUGUUAGUCGCAAGUGAUUUAACAAUUUCUUCGAGAGAUAUACCUGACUUGGAGUUUGACUGUGGAGGUGCUGGUUGUCUUGGUGGAUACUGUUGUGGGAAUCCUGACGGCCUAACUCCAUAGCUGAAGUUGGGAUGAUCCUUCCAUCCCGGAUUGUAUGUUUGUGCAUAAGGAUCAUACCUCCUCUGAGGCAUGCCUGGAAAUCCUCCAACUGUAUUGGCUUGUUCAACGGGUUCUUCUUGAAGUGUAGGACACAUAUCAGUUGAAUGACCCAUAUUGUAACAAAUGUCACAAGUCUUCACCUGUUGCACAUUACCUACAACAAACUUUUCCACAAGAGAAGUAAGUUUAUCUAAACGUUGUUCAACAGAAGAAAUAUUUACCUCAUUCACCGUUCUUGAAGUGGCAUCUUGUCUGCUGCCAAAUUGUUGUGCAUUGGCAGCCAUAUUUGAGAUCAACUCCCUUGCUUGAGUAGGGGUCUUGUUCACCAACACGCCUCCACUAGCAGCAUCUAUCAUACUCUUAUCCAUUAAUGAUAGUCCUUCGUAAAAAUAUUGAAUAAGAAGUUGAUCAGAAAUCUGAUGCUGAGGACAACUGGCACACAAUUGUUUGAAUCGCUCCCAAUACUCAUACAAAGUCUCCCCAGGAAGUUGUCUGAUCCCACAAAUAUCUUUUCUGAUGUUGGCAGCUCUUGAAGCAGGAAAGUACUUCUCGAGGAACUGCUUCUUCAAACCAUUCCACGUUGUAAUCGAUCCAGGAGGCAAGUAGUACAACCAAUCUUUAGCUAGCCCAUCUACAGAGAACGGAAAAGCACGCAGCUUAAUCUGCUCUUCAGUCACGCCUUGUGGUCUCAUACUUGAACACACAACAUGAAACUCCUUAAGAUGUUUAUGAGGAUCUUCACCUGCAAAACCAUGAAACUUGGGUAAUAAAUGAAUAAGACCAGACUUUAAUUCAAAAUUUACCUCCAAGUCUACAUAUUGAAUGCAGAGUGGUUGUUGAUUCAAGUCUGGUUCAGCUAACUCUCUAAGAGUUCUUUCUACAGGUGCAGGUCUAUCCAUCACUUGUUCUUCCGAAUCGCUAGAUGAUUCAACUAAAUCAGGCACUGUAUCUGUUUCAGAAAGCAAAGGCGACGAGGAUCGUUGCUUAGCUCGCUUUGUCUGCUGUCUCAGCUGGCGAGCUGUCUUCUCAAUUUCAGGAUCAAACGAAAGUGUACCUGUACGAGAAGAACGAACCAUACACCGAGUAAAACGUAAAAAGGAUUAAAUAAAUGACACCAAUCCCCGGCAACGGCGCCAAAAUUAGAUGGGUGUCGAAGCCAACAAAAAUAAAUUCCUACUCUAAAUAAAUUGUGUAUAGUGAUUGAGCAGGGUCGUGUCCACAGAGAUCGGUAAUUAUUUAAAUCCUUUUGAAACGUAAAACGUAAAAUGGGGGAAUUGUUGACAAUAAUAAAAAUCAAAUUGAAAUAAACAAGAAUGCAAAUUAAAGUUGUAAUUCAAAUUGGAGAAAGCUCUGGUUGAAGGAAUUAACUCAGCUUGAUUCGACUACUGAUCAUUGAUUCAAAUAUAUAUUAUUAUUACUUAUGAAUAGACCGGUUAUAGCUAUUGAGACCCUCUAAUAGCCAAUCUCUCCUUAACUAGUCGAUAACCAAGGUACGACCGUUGGAUAUUUCCCUAAUCAAUAGACAACCCUAGAUACGAUCAUAGGAUUUAAUCAAUUGACAGCCUGAAAAACUAGAGAGACCCAAAUCCUAAUCAACACAUAUGAUGAUUCAUUUAAAUUAGAUUAUUUAUUCUCACAACACAACUCUCUGCUAUGUUAUUUGUCACAAACAUUAAAUUCUUCAUACGAUGAAUCCUUUAAUUGACAAUAGAUUAAGUUGAUAAUUAAAUAGUGGCCAAUUACCUAAUUAACAAACAUAAUCAUGAAACUAAUUCAGAGAAUAAACAAAUAUCCAAAAAGUAAUAAAACAAUUAAAGCAUAAGAAAGAUCUCACAGUAGUGAUGAAUCAAAGCUUCAUUAACCUUCAACCAGAAAAAUAAGUUUAGUUCUUCAUAGAGAGAAGAGAAAAAUUAGAUCUAGGGUUUCUUCUUUUUCUCCAAUCUAAAAUCCCCCCCAAAAAAUCCCCCUCUUUCACAAUAGAUUCCUCCUUAAAUACUCUCUCUCUCUUCUCUUUUAGAGUUCUAUUUAAAAUAAAAUACUAUUAUCUUAAAUAUUAAAUUCGUAAUUACAAAAAUAGCCAAAAAUACAAAACACGUUAAACUAAAAACUGCAGGUCCGCAGUUGACAGCACGCGCCCACGCCUUAUCAAUAAAGUUCUUCUGACUCUCUAAAUUUCUCCAAGAGAACAAUCAUCUUUAAACAUCAUCUUAUAACUCAAUUUUAUCACGAAUCAAUAGAAUUGCACCUACAAAAGUAAAACACAAGUAAAUCAUUAUUAUUAAGUGCAAAACAUCGAUAUUAAGGGAAGUAAACAAUGCAAAACUAGUGCAUAAAUUGCACUCUAACAGAUAUACAAUCUCUGUGGGACGAUACUCUACUCUUCAUUAUAUUACUUGUGCUGACUAGUACACUUGCUAAUUUACGCAUCAAAUUUUUGCCGCCGUUGCCGGAGAUUAUUUGGAUUAGUAUCGAUACCAAAACCUUAGUUUAAUUUGAAUUUUAUUUUUAUUAUUUUUAUUUUUAUUUUCAUUUUCUUGUCUAAUUUUAUGAGACGUUCAAGAAGUUUUGAUUUAUUGCCUUUUGAUUCAGAGAUUGAACGCACUUGUAGAAGGCUCAAUAGAGAAAGGAGAGAAGCUUUACAGGAGCAACAACUAAUCAUGGCUGACGAAGCAUUGCACAGAAAUGAGGAUGCGAGACCUUUAAGAGAUUAUGUUGUGCCUACAGUUAAUGGAGCUCGUUCAAGCAUUGCACGCCCUGUCGUUCAAGCCAAUAAUUUUGAAAUUAAGCCAGCCAUAAUCCAGAUGAUUCAGGCGUCAGUACAGUUUGCUAGGAUGCCAAAUGAUGAUCCAAAUGCUCAUAUUGCAAUUUUUUUGGAAAUUUGUGACAUAUUUAAGCAAAAUGGUGUUUCAGACAAUGCUAUCAGGCUAAGGCUUUUUCCGUUCUCACUGAGGGAUAAAGCAAAAGAGUGGUUGAACUCACUCCCUGCUUGAACAAUCACUACAUGGGAUGGUUUAGCAUAGAAGUUUUUAGCAAAAUACUUUCCUCCAGCAAAAACAGCCAAGUUGAGAAAUGACAUCACAACCUUUGCUCAGUUCGAGAUGGAAUCAUUAUAUGAAGCGUGGGAAAGAUACAAAGAACUACUAAGAAAAUGCCCACAUCUUGGUCUACCAGUUUGGCUUCAAGUACAAACAUUUUAUAAUGGUUUGGGAUCCAAUACCAGAACAAUGAUUGAUGCUGCAGCAAGAGGAACGUUAAUUGGAAAAACACCAGAACCAGCUUAUGAAUUAUUGGAGGAGAUGGCAUCCAACAAUUACCAGUGGACUUCAGAGCGAUCAAUGCCAAGGAAAAUUGUAGGAGCCCAUAAUAUUGAUGUUGUCACUGCUUUAUCUGCACAGAUGACUGCUUUAUCUAAUAAGUUAGAGCACCUAAAUGUCAGUGCUAUUCAAACUCAUGUGUGUGAAUUAUGCGGAGGGAACUACACCAGUGUCAACUGCCAAGUUGGAAGUCCUUUUGUGUCGUCAUCUGCUGAACAAGCUCAUUAUGUGUCAAACUUCCAGAGACAACAACAUAACCCAUAUUCUAAUACCUACAAUCCUGGCUGGAGAAACCACCCGAAUUUGUCAUGGAACAACACUCAAAAUACAUUGGCACCACCUCCAGGGUUCCAACCACAAGAAAAGAAGUCAAACUUAGAAGAUGCUCUUAUCCAGGUUACAACAAACAUGUCUCAAUUCAUGACCAAAACAUAGACAACUUUUCAAAAUCAAGUUGCAUCAAUUUGGAACCUCGAGGUACAAGUGGGUCAGAUUGCAAACUUGCUAUCCAGUAGACAACAUGGCUCUCUGCCAAGCAGCACCGAGACAAAUCCAAAGGAGCAAGUUAAUGCAAUUAUACUUCGGAGUGGUAAACAACUUGAUGAGCCGCGAAAAGAAGCAAAGAAAAUUGAUGAAGAACAAACUGAAGACACCACUAAGGUUUCAAAGGCAGCAAGUUCAGAAAUACCACAACCUAAACUAGCAACACCAGUCAAGGCUUAUGUUCCUCCAAUCCCUUUUCCUCAGCGUCUCCGGAAAAAUAACAUAGAUAAGCAAUUUUUAAAAUUUCUUGAUGUGUUUAAGAAAUUGCAUAUUAACAUUCCUUUUGCAGAUGCUUUGGAACAAAUGCUGCUUUAUGCCAAAUUUAUGAAAGAAAUGUUGUCCAACAAGAGGAAACUUGAGGAGCAUGAAACUGUAAUGCUGACUGAGGACUGCACCGCCAUCUUACAAAAUAAAUUGCCACCAAAGUUGAAAGAUCCAGGGAGUUUUAAUAUUCCAUGCACUAUUGGAAAAUGUUAUUUUGAUAAAGCUUUGUGUGAUUUAGGUGCAAGCAUUAAUUUGAUGCCUUUUUCUAUUUUCAAGAAAUUAAGUUUGGGUGAACCUAAGGCAACAACUGUUACCCUACAAUUGGCAGAUAGAUCUAUAAAGUACCCAAGAGGCAUAGUUGAGGAUGUGCUUGUGAAAGUUGACAAGUUUAUAUUCCCUGCAUAUUUCAUUGUCUUAGAUAUGGCCAAAAAUAUAGAGUUACCUCUCAUUCUAGGCCGACCAUUCUUAACUACAGGAAGAGCUUUGAUUGAUGUUCAGGAAGGGAAAUUGAUUUUAAGAGUUCAAAAUGGGCAAGUCAUUUUUAAUGUGUACACACCUAUCAAGUAUCCAACUGAACUCAAAAAUUUUUUUCAAGAAGACACCAUGGAUAGAAAAAUGGCCAAAUCAUUAAAGGAUAAAGAUCUAUCUGACCCUCCUGACAUUUAUACAAUACAUAAGCAGUUUAUUAAUGAAGAUCCAUCUCCUCAUUUUUGUGGGAAGAGGCCUAAUUGCAAGAAAUUUGUGCAAGGUCCAUCCAUAUUAUCUCCUUGCAUCCACGAGCCUCCUUGAAUAAUCUUUUCAAAGACAGUCAAGCUAAUGACUAUAAAUUAAGCGCUUCUUGGGAGGCAACCCAAGCUUUCUAAACUUUAUUGUUGUCAUUUUUAUCUUUUCUUAUUUCUUUUAUCUUUUCUUUUACUUAUUUUAUUUUGUUUUAUCUAGGUUUUUGCACAAGUUUGGGAGUUGGUGAACAUUGACUUUUCACAUGCCUUUCAAUGACUCAACUGCAAGGUCACAUCUUCAAGUGCAAAACUGGGGGAGUUUUUCUUUUCCUUUUCUUUUUCUUUACAUUGAGGACAAUGUUUAUUUUAAGUUUGGGGGUGGGAAUAUUUUCUUUAAUUUUUUUUCAAAAAAAAGUUUUAAAAAGAAAAAAAGAAAAUUUAAUGCCUAUGAUGAGUUUAUGGUUGAAAAUGAAUAUGGUUCUGAGAAAGGGAUGAAUAUUGUCUUAGUUUAUACUUGAUCCUUAUGUUAGUUUCGUCUUGAUUGUGAUUCUUUAAAUAUCUUGCGCACUUAUAUCGAUUCUUUUAGAAUUUUGACUUGAGAUUUGAGAUUGAUACAGCCUGAGUUGAGAAUUUUAGAUUGAGUAAAUGACCGUUUGCCUCGAUUCUACAUUACUUAAGUUUACCCAGGCACCAUAGUCAGAAAUAGCUACCUACAACCCUUAAGAGUGAAGCUAUCCUUGAGUAAUUUGGGCCUAUAUACCACCAGUAUGUAGAUAAUAAUCUACCAUGAGAAGAAGGCUACCUUAAGGGGUAGAGUGAAAGCUCCUGACUAUGAAAAAAAAAUGAAAAGAAAAGAAAGCAUGUGCUUCAAGAAAAAUAAAAAGAAAAUGCAAAUUUAUGCCUGCGAAAAAAAAAAAAAAAGAUCAAGAUGAUGAGGUUAGUUUGACCUACUCUGUUUAUUAUUCGAGACAAUGGCUGUUGAUAUUAAGGAAUAAGUCACUCAUACUUCCGUGAUUUAGUAGAUACAGACUAUAUGAAUAAAUCUUAAGGAUUUAUUUAAGUCUGUGAUUAUCUUUUACUUUUAACACGAAAAAAAAAAUUGUGUCAAAAAAGGAGUAUGUGUAUCUUGAAAAUGAAUUUGUGUGACUAUUUAUUAAAACAAAGAGAUCUCUCUCGCCAUUUCCUUAAACUGAGGAGUAAGAAAGUAUUGUUAUUCUUUUUCCUAUAUAUUAUUUUAUUAUUUUUACUAAAAAAUUAUAGUGCUUAGAGUUGUUCCUUUUAAACUGGGAAGCCAUACUUAGUGAAUUGCUGGGGAAGAUUAAUUUACUCAAAAGAAUUUUUUCUUUAAUUAGGAAUAUAAUUGCAUUUAAUCUUGUAUAUAAUCUACUUAUUUAAAGUAAUUUAUGUGAUGAAAAUAUAGUUAUCGUAUUUUAUUUAAAGCUCAUCAUGGGUGCAAAUCAAAAGCUUUAUUGAGGGGGCAAAUAAAAAAUUUGCUUGAAAUUUAAAAUUAAUAUUCUAGAAAAAUAAGAUUUAUUAGGACAGCUGCCGCCCUGGUUAGUCCCUAUCUAUGUCUCAAAUAUUUCAUUGCGCGAGCAUAAAACAAUGGAAAGUAAUUUAAGGCACAGGUUGUAUAUAUAUUAAUCUCAAGAAAAUGAGUAAUUAAUAUGUGAAUAGAUAUUUAAUGAUAACCAUUUAAGGACCUGUAUUUGAUUUAUUUUGGUUCUUUUUUAUUUAUUAAUUAAUAUAGGAAACUGAUUGUGUCAUACAGUAUCUGUAAUGCCUUUUUAAGUUUAUUUCUAAAUCAAAAUAAAUCGUGAUUAUUCAUGUAUCAUUGAAAUUUUUAUAAUUUAUUCUGUGUUAGUUCAAAAAGAGUGUGUUGGGUGGUAAUUCAUAUCAAGACCUAGUAUGUAUGGUUUAGCUUUUUCACUAGCUACAGCAGCUCUGAAAACACUUGUAAUUAUAAUUUGGGAAAUUAUCAGUCAUAUACCCUUAAAUGACACCCGUAUCAAACAUGUGUGAACACUUUUCAAGUGUAUCACUCGUAUAUCCUAAGUUGACAAAACACCUCUGCCGUCCACCAAUUCGUUAACUUCCGUUUGCAAGCGCUAACAUCGUAAGGGUAAUCUAGUCUUUUAAGAUUGACGAAACUUUGAUUUAAAAAACCGACAUGUCAUCCCAUUUACCUAGUAACAAAUGACAUGCCAUAUGAUAUAUAUUGAUAAAAAUGACAUAUCAUCCCAUUUAUCGGAUAAUUGUUAAUAAUUGCUAAAAAAACUACUUUACAACCGAAUCUACUCCUCCAAAAUUUAACCUAAAUUUUUGGAGAUCUACUCCUCCAAGCUUCAAUUGGAAAUUUUUAUGGUAUAAUAUGUAUAAUUGUAAAUAAUAUGUUGUUAAUAAUUUUUAUGGUAUAAUAUAGAUAUUUUUUUAUGAAUAAUUGUUAAUAAUAUAUACCAUUAAUAAUUUAUUUUUUUAAUCAAAAAAAUGUAUUGUUAAUAACAAAAUAAAAAAAAUUGUGUAUUGAAAAUUUACAUUAAUUUUUGGGGCAAAUUUAUAUUUUUACCUCAUUUUGAGUUUCAAGGGCAAAAUAGUCAAUUUGUCAUAAUUAUGUUAACUUUCUAACGGAAGUUAACGGAUUGGUGGAUGGCAGAGGUGUUUUGUCAACUUAGGGUAUACGAGUGAUACACUUAAAAAGUGUUCACACGUUUGAUACGGGUGUCAUUUAAGGGUGUAUGACUGAUAAUUUCCUUUAUAAUUUUGAAGUUGGGUUGAUUUUACUCAACAUGUGUUUUAAUUCAAAAUUCAUAUUAUUUUUAUUAUUUUUAUCAAAAUUGUUACUUAAAAGUUACAUUUACAAAAUACCACCAGCUCUUAUUUCGUGCCUAACUAGAGCUUCCUUUUCAUAAUAAUUAUGACUUUGAAGCCACAGCACCACACACUACCAAAAUUUCCAUUUUGUUCUAAGAAUUUGUAUUUUGCAAAGUUCAUUGGCUUUCUUAUGUUACCAGCUUCCAGUGUCCGCCAAUGCUGCUCUUCUUUAAUUUUCUCAAAAAAUCAACACAAGAUGCACAACUUUUAAAAUCAUAUAUUUGAGCUAAACUUACUUUCGAUCUUCAAAGUCAGGCAUUAAUUCUCAGUUGGUUUCGUAUAUUUAAAACUAAUAAAAAAAAAAUUUAGAUUAAUGAAAAAAUUAACUUUUUAACCUAAAAAAUAGAUUUUUAAACACUAACAAAAGUAACGAUAGAAAUAUUACGAACUAUAUUUAGAAAUGCAAGUACUGAUCUAAGAAUUGAUGUCCAACCCUAAAGACUAAAUGGUAAUUUACCCAAACAGUAAAGAUUUAUAUUACGUUAAUGAUGUUUCCUUGCUAUUCAGAUGCUUCUCAAUUUUACCUUCAUUUCUUUUCUAUUGGAUGGUUAUGAUUAGAAUACCAACUUUUGAGAAAUGGGCCAUCAAGGGGAUUAAAAAAAAUAUGUUUGAUGUUUGGAACUGGAGAUGAUAGUUAAUUAAUUGGUAAAAUUUAUUAUGAUUAGUACAAAAAGUGUGAAGUUUGAAAAUCUUUUAAGGUGUGAAGUUUGAACUUAAUCUUUUAAGGAAUCAGAUAAAUGCAAGCAAAUUCUAUUGUAGCUUUCUGAUUACUUUCAGAAAUUACAGGUUACAUUUUUCAAAUUAUUAAAAAGAAAUGAAACUCAAAAGUUAAAAAGUUUUUCAUAAAUAGUUUUCAAGUAAUUUUAUUUAAAGGUCAUCCAAAUUUCAAUUCCGAGAAGGUAUGAGGUUAAAAAUUCAAUCUAAAUUUUAUCCACCACCUCCCUAGUUAUUCGAAGAUAUAUAUAUAUAUAUAAAUUACAAACUUAAAUAAAGAGGUGGAGAAAUAUAUUACUCUUGUUAUGGUUUGUAUCACGAGUAUUGGCCGCAUAGUACUUAAACCCAUCUCUUACUAUGGUUUAUAUCACAAGUAGUGGCCGUAUGGUACUUAAACCCAUCAUAUUGUUUCUUCAAACACAAACUGUAAAACUGAAAAAACACAACCCAGAUUGGCAAAUAUAUACUUCAGAAAUGCAACUAUAACUCAUUCAGGAUGAAUUGCAUAAUUACUUGUGGACUAAGGUGCUUAUAUCUGCAAUCUCAGCAUAUGUUCCACGUCCACGAAUGUGUCGCAUAUGAUCUGUAUCAGACGGAGUAGGAUUGCUGAAUUGGGUCGAUAUCCAGUCCUUUAAGCCUAAUCAGUGAUUCGACGUGCCCUUUCAGUGUAUGCAGUUCUCUCAAUCUGAAAAAAAUCAAAAUAUUGAAUGCAUAAGAGUGUACACUCCAAGAAUUAAAUUUCAGCUUUUAAGAGUAGAAAUUAAGUAAUGUAGUUUGUUAGCGUUAUAUUUAUAUGUUUUACCUAGCAAUCUCAGCUCUUCUUCUUGCUUCUUCAGCCAUCCGGCUAAGUUCUCCGUAACUGCUUCGUACACUGAACAUAUUGGAGUCACGUGGGUGCAACCCAUGGAGGGUUCUCUGCGCCUGUGCCCAUAGACGCUCACGUUCUUCUUUUCCGAAAUCUCUUUUAGUUGUGAAGGCAAUCUGCAAAAUAGCAAUUACACUAUGGAGAGUGAGCAAGAAAUUAAGCUCCAGUUCAUGAAUAAAAUAUGUUGAACUCAAGCCAUCAAUACCCUUUGUUCAAAGACAAGAUCCCAAAAAUUCCUGCUAAGCACACAUCGGAUGAAGAACUUUAUAAAAUCAAGCGGAAUGUAGAAGAUGAUAUUAUAAAGCCAAAUCACACCAGCCCAACCCCAUCCUAUUCCUUCAAUUGUAGCAAAGCUCCAGGUUGCAUAGACGGCAAUCAGUGUAGCAGUCUGCUCACAGAAUUAAAAAGGAUCAACUCGUCCCCUAUAUGUCAGAAAGGCCAAAAGGAAACAGCAUUUAUCACUCACCAGCUGAGCAACAAAGAAAGCCAGAGCAAGAAACAGGACAGGACACUCGACGUAAGACCAACUCCUUGCACGUGUCACGAAUAGGUGGGCCUGACUAAUGGAACUCACUUGCAGGUAUACUGCCGAGGCAAGUUUUCUCCAGUCGUCCACAUCCUUUUUGUUAAGACUUGAAAUGCCAAAUGUACGCUGAAUGUUGCACACUGAGUUUCAGUCCAAAUUAUUGAAGACAAUGUAAAGGCAUAUAUUAUUCUCUAUAUUAUUAAAUCAAGGAAAACGGGCAUACAUAACACCCAAAUUGGGUGACAUGAUAACACAAAAGAUAAAUCACAUUACUGGAAAGAAGUCUGUUUGGUAUGCUGUCCAAAAGAAAAUCACAGUCAUCAUUGCCAAGUAACCACCAAGAAUGCUUCCAGUUACAAAGAUCUCGGUCAAAUUCCACCUUUCUGGAUGAGGAGAUGGUCUGACUCUAUCUUUUGAUAUUGUAAUAAUAAUAGCACCUGGCAAUCAAUGUACCGGAUAAAUAUCAAUAGACAAGAAUAUUUCUUAUUUGAAAUCGAUGCACCUGGAUGAAAAAGAAUACAAACAGUUACGAUAUACAUGCUGAGUCAAGGAAAUACAAACCAUCAUUAAGAAUAGCAAUUAUCAGCACCAUGAAGGGUGGAAAGUUAAACUGCCAGAUAAGAGCUAGCAGCCUGAAACCAAACUGUCACCAAGAGAAACAGUUAAGACAUCAAGCUGAGAUAUUCAAGCUACUUUUGUGAAGACUCUUUCAUAUUCAUCAGUAGGGCAAUAAUUACUAUAGAAGAUCAAAGUUGCAAAUACCAAAUAAAUUACACCAUACUCUCCUACAUAGUAUUUGAAACAAGCAGCAAACAACUUACUCCAAUAUGGAUGGUAAUGGAGACUGCAUAUAUCUGCGACAAGAAAGAAAUUAAUUAAGCAUCAAAAAGUGAGGACAGAGCAAGAAGGAAUCAACUAAUUCAAGUAAACAAUGCUCGUGUUCUUGUUUCAAUUUUGCAAAAGUCUGAGACAGUGUAAAGAAGUUACCAGUGCCCACAAAAAUCAAGUUUUCAUGAACAGCACCACCGCCAAAGUCUUGGUUUAUUAUAUUAUUUAUUAUUAUUUUACCACAGGCUCUAAAAGUAGUUUACAGAACAGUGACAUGUUAUUUCAGUCUCAGUGCUUUCUUGACCACUAGGCACUCAAGCAGGGUAAAAUGCAAGCUUUAAAUUAUUAGUUUGUUUGUAGGUUAAGGAAUGUGGAAUAGAUAGAAUUAGAUGGGUUGUGAAUUCCCUCACACAAAUCCCAUCCAUCUCUACACUAUCGACUAUAGAACACCUUUUCCUUAGAAUCGAAACAAACCCUCACCGUGUAAUUUCUCAUCCUCUGGAAUAUUGCGCGACUAUUUAGAACAGCAGUAAUGAUAACAUUAAGGCCAGGUUCUGUCAGGACAAUGUCGGCAGCACUACGAGCUGCAUCAGUUGCAUCAGCAACAGCUAUGCCAAUGUCUGCUUUCUUUAGAGCGGGAGCAUCAUUGACACCGUUACCGAUCAUUCCACAGAUAUGGUUCCUAGUUUGCAAAUGCUUCACAAUCUCAUAUUUGUGCUCUAUAAAGAAAAUAAGGACAGCCGUGUAAACAAGGGUAAAAAAUAGAAAUAUGCUAUGAUUAAAAUAUAAUGAAAAGGUUGUAGGAUGUAGUCAUCCGUACAUCAAGUUCAAUAAAAGCUAUACAACACUAACUUCAGUAUGUGAUCGACUACUUAAUGCAAAUUAGGAGAUCAAGCUUCGUACCAGGGAAAACACCAGCAAACCCAUCAGCUUUCUCAAUCAACUCGUCCACCGGUAAAGCAACUAUCGACUCAUCCCUUUCCUGCCCUAAUAAGGCUGAUGAAGGAUACAUGUUGGUUCCCAUUCCAAGACGACAUCCUGUUUCUUUUGCUAUUGCAAGUUGAUCACCUGACAAAGAGGAAAAGUCAAACAGAUUGAAUAUCCUUCUUAAUGUGAUGAAAACGCCAAUUAAAACAUUCUAAAAAGGUAAAACCAUAAGAGUAUUUAAAUUCCACCAGCAAUGCAAAAGAAAACUGACAUAUAAGCAUUUUUUCAGAUAGAAGGAUUAAACAAAACCAGAAACAACAAAAUUUCUCUAGAUACAAAUGGUGCCUAAACAAAGACUAAAUAUUAAGAUUACAAAUUAGGAAGACAUAAUACAGUAAAUGGGAGAAGCACCUGUAGUCAUUUUCACGCUCAACUAGGAACACAUAAUACAAUAAAUGGGAGAAGCACCUGUGAUCAUUUUCACACUCAACCCAAGACUCAGUGCCCUUCUUAUUGUUUCUGCACUAUCAUGCCUAGGAGGAUUAAACAAAGGAAUGAGUCCAAUAAAUUGCCAUGGGCUUCCUGAGCUCUCUUUUGAUCCAUCAGGAACUUCCUGAAACCAAAUUAAUAAAUAUAGACUUUGUUAAUACAAAUUGCAAUUGAAGUAAUGCACCGCUAUAGUAAUGUGAAGAUACGACCUAGAACAAUGACAUAGGUAACUCAUAUACCUGAUAUGCCACUGCAAGAGACCGUAAUCCUCGUUCUGCGAACUUAUCAAUCACAGCAUUGAUUCUGCAUCCUAUCUCUGAUUUGUUGCGUACAAGAUUUAAAAUCUGAAAGUCAAAACAAAAGCAUAAAUUAUAUCAAAUGGCAUUUCAGAAUCCUAGAACAUACUAUUAGUUGUUGACAAUCAUACCUGCUCUGGAGCACCUUUGGUGACCCUAUGCAUUUUACCUUCACUGUCGAUAUAUGUCAGAGCUGUUCGCUUACCUGUGGGGUCAAAUGGAAGGAAGUGAACUUCUUGGAUAUCAGCCCUUGCCUUGUUUAAGGUCAAAAGCAAAGAAAUCAGUGCCAACAAAAUGAUAAGACGAAAAAUUAAGAAAAUCUUCUACAUGUUGCCUUUGAGAAUACAAAAUUUCAACAACAGUUAAGCUUAGCUAGAGUAAAAUACAUACAUAAAAUUCUAGAAUUCAUAAAUAUACCUUCUUUGGAUCAGCCAACAUUCCUACUAUAGCAGCAUCUAUUACAUCUAGGUUUUCCACUUGGGAGGCUCGAGCUGCCAUCAGAACAACAGUGUCUGCAUCCACUCCUUUAGCAAAGAUCUGAACAAUGAUCCAGGCCAAAUGUUGAAAUACAAAUUGCAAUUCUAAAAGUGAGCAAAAUUUACACCAACCUCAAUUAGAUUCUUGUCAACUGUUAAUUUGUUCAAAGUUAGAGUUCCGGUUUUGUCACAGCAAAGCACAUCCAUGCCUGCCAUAUCGACUAUUGCACUGAUUCUCUUUGUGAUAACACCCUGCAGUAAUUAGCCCAUAUAUGCUUGCAACCAUCAACUAAUGACCACUAAAAGUAACAUCAUUAUAAAUAACAACUAGGACCAACCUGCCGAGACAAUCGUUUGGAACCAAUCGCCAUUGUCACUGAUAAAACAGUAGGCAUGGCGAUAGGAAUUCCUCCAAUAAGAAGCACAAGUAAAUUAUCAAGUCCUGUGCGGUAUUCCCUGUGUUGAACCGCGUACAUGACAAUGAUCUCUAAUAUUAACCCCAGUGCAAUUGAACAUAUGCAGUAUUUUCCAACUGCAGUCAAGAUCUGUAAACAAGCCCGAGAGCAAGAGUUUCGGUGAAUGAUAAUGUGAGAUUGAACAUAAAAACAAGUCUUAAGGAAUGUGAAUUUGCAUUUUCUUGCCUUUUGAAAGUGACCCACAUGAUUUGUGGUAUCCACAAGGUGUACAGCCCUGCCAAGGAAGGUGCGAACACCAGUGGCAAUGACCACAGCUUGAAUCUCCCCUUGUUUGCACGUAGAGCCUGAAUGUACACAGUCACCAGGGCCCUUACUUACGGGAAUAGACUCGCCUGUGAGAGCAGACUGCAACGUACAAAUUGAAAGGAUUUAAAUUAAAUAGACCAACUUUACCAAAUCAAUUCAAGCAUACAAAGAUUGCAAAAGCUCACCUGAUCAAUUGUCAAUGGAUCACCUUCGAGGAGACGAGCAUCAGCAGGAACAAUGUCACCAAGCUUAACACUAAUGACAUCACCAGGAACAAGAAUGGCUGCAUCUUCCUCCCUCCACUUUCCAUCUCGAAGGACCUGAAAUAAUAUCUCCAAUUACAGAAAUAAUAGAGCCUAGAGCCACAAACUCUUCUUACAAAGUAUUAUUUUACAAAUUAAUAUGACAUAACAGUUUCUGAUUCCAAUUCUCAUUGAGUUAAGUUGACAUGAAGUUCGUAAUAAACUUAUUAGAUAUGCAUAUGCACUAAUCUUAACCUGACAACUAUUCAAGUGCAGUCAGUACCUUAGCUUGAGGAGCAAGAUGAGCCAUGAGAGCCGCGCUGGCAGCACCUGCAUUGUUUUCUAAAACGUAACAGACUGUUGAAUUGGUAAGAAGCAGGGUUGUUAUCCCAAUAAAAUCUUGCCAUUCAGGAGGUUUACCCUGCAACAAUGAAAUUCCCAACAGUAAGAUUAAAUUUAAUGAAGCCUAAAUUCCUUGUUGAAAUAUAUUUCCAUUUUGCUAUUUAUGCUUCUUUAAAUUCCUUAUUUAGAAUAUGGGUCGGGAUUCGUUUAUUUAUAUUUGGAAAAAUUUAUUCAUUUCAUAACCGGUCGAAUUCGAUUUGUUUGGGUAAGGUGGCGUUUGUUUUUUUGUCUGAAAUCUGAAUAGACCUUAAUUAGUCUGAAUUCUGAAUAGGUCUAAAUGUCUGAAUCUGAAUAAUAUGUUUGUUUUUUCGUCUGAAUCUCGAAAAAUAAGUAUUAAGUUGUUUAUUUUUUUCAACUUAAAAAGCUGAAAAUAUGUACUUUUACAUUUGUAUCCUUAUUAAAUUUGAAUGUCAAAUAAAUAAUAUAUUAAAUACCACAAUAUUUUAACAUUUAUAAGUAAAAUUAUAUUCAAGUGAAUACAUAAUUAUUUUAGAAUUUUAAUAUAUAAAAUACCAUAAAUUUCAAAUUUUAUCAUAUAUAAUAUAAGAAAGAAAAUACAGGGAUAUUUUUAUGUGGGGUAAAUAUCUAUAGGUGAGUUUUGGGAUAGACAUGAAAAAAAAUUAUAAAACAGGGAUAUUUUUGACAUUAGCAAGCAAUUGACUUAAUUCAGAUUUCUCUAUUAAGUAAAAAGCUAAAAAAAUUAGCUUAUUUUAUUAAGUCAAAAUUAUCUAAAAAGUCUCAUUAAAUUAUAAAAACAAACACCUCUAAUUAACUUAAUUAAUUAAGUUAAGUCACUUUAAGUCAUUAAGUUAAAAAACAAACGCCACCUGGUAAAUAAGCUAUUUCCAUCUAAUCUAAAUUUUAUAUCUCUAACUCAUUUAUUCAUUUAAGAUUUAUUUAAUUAAAUUACUUAGCUACAUUUAUUAAAUUUUUUAAAAAUAAAACUAUUAAGUUGAAAGGUUUGUUUCGUAACGAACUGGGAAUACGACAAAAAGAAAAGUAUGAGAUGAAUCAAAUGAAAUUUUUGAUAAUUUUUUUCGCUUAAUUUUUUUGUUUAUUAAUUUUUAUUUGAGGAUCAAUUGUAGGUAAAUAAGUUUAAAAGAGUUCAACUUGACUGCUAAUUAUAUUAAAUCAAUAUUUAUUUAUUAAAUGAAUCUAACUCCAAAUCUAUUUAUCUAAUAAAUGGUCUAAUUUAAAUCCAUCAAAUUUUAAUGAAAUUUGCUUAGAAAUAGAGCAAAAUUCGUUUUGAUACCCCUAAAUGAAUAUGCUUUGAAACUUGUUAGUCGCCGCUAGGGGUGGUUUUGGGCCCGGGUAUCGCAAUGUCCAGAUCUGGUCUGGAUGAAUUUUUAGACAUCCAGGCCACCUAGUCUAGAUUUUUAAUAUGGAUUUUGUAUUUUUUUAAUAUUAUAUAUUAUAUAUUUUAUUUUUUUAUAAUUUUAUAAGUUUAAAUUUAUUUUAAUAAAAUUUGACAUGAAAAUAUAAACUUUAAGUGUUUAAAACUUUACAUAUGCGUAAUAGAUGAGUAAAAUAAAUAUAAAUAUUUAUAUAUUUUAUAAUAUUUUAUUAAUAAAAUUCAGGUUUUGACCCGAGUCAUGGGUUUAUCAAGUGAUGUCUAUAAUCGGCUCAUCUUCAUGAAUACCCAACCACAUCGCCUAGGUGCGGUUCGUGUUUAGACCGAACGGAUAUUUUUACCACCCCUAAUCGCAGCAAGGCAAGGCAAGGACAUCCUAUAUCCUAUAAGAAGGUGAAUUUGACAUGAGGUAAUUUCAAAAGAAAAAAAAAAAUUCUGCGAAGCAAUUUCGAAAAUUCUUAAGACCCCCAAGUCUGUUUCAAAAAUUUAUAUUGAAAAAUUUCGUAAAAACCCAAUUUAGCCACGUGACCCACUUCACCCCAGUGUUAUCUGGUCAAAAUUUCAUUUUUGAUGUUGCUUACAAAUUGAGUUAAUAAAUAUAUUUUCAUUUCCAAAAACAUCAAAUAGAAAACACCAUUUUUUUUUCUAAAACAAAUUUUAAAAAUAUAAUUUGAAAACCAGUACUCAAUACUCACUCCUCCAUUUGCCAGAACAAUUGCCAUGAUAGCUGCAGCUUCCAUGACCCAUGAGAGAGGGUUCCACAUAAAUCCCAAAAACUUCAAAAUUUUACUUUCCUGGAAAACCCACCAAAAAUAAAAAAUUAAAAAUUAAAAAUUACAAUCUACAAAAAAAUAAUAUCUUACAAUCAUUAAAAAAAGUAUCUUUUUUCAUUAAUAGAACUUUCCAAUAGGAAAGCUAACAAGGAAAAGAAUGAUAAAAGUAAAAAUUACCCGUUUCUCCUCAAGCUUGUUGUAGCCGAAUAUGGAAAGUCUCUGCUCAGCAGCCUCCGUCGAAAGGCCCCCUUGACGGCACUUCAAAGACUCAAAAACCUCUUCCAUCGGCACCUUUUCCUGCAGACCAAAAACCUGAACUUCCUCACAAAACAAAAACACUUUAUAACACUGAAGAAAACGACGACACCCUCAUGAUUUGAUGAAAUAGUCAUAGACAUACUCUUAUUUUUGGAAAUUGUCAUAUAGAUAACUUUUUAGACAACUUUUUUCAGAUAAAAUUUAGUCUGGUUAUUAUAAUCAAAAAAAUAUAAUUGUCAUAAAAGAGAUCCAUGAGUCUGUGUGACGAUUUUUCAAAAUAAAAAGAUCACUGCGGCUAUAUAUUGCCAGGCCACAGGAGCGUCGGUGUCUUUUUCUUAAUGGUAAACUAAAAACAAAAACGCAAAAAACAGUAAUAAAGCAAUCAAGAACUGAGAUUACAAACUCUGUUUCAAUACCAAAUCCACAGCUUCAUUCAUUAUGCUCUCCAUUUCUUCUCAAUGAACUCACUUUCGUUACCUUUCCUUCAAACCCCUUAAAAACCAAGUAAUUAAACAAAUCAUGUUAAAACAAAAUCACAGGAAAAAAAAAAAAAAACGAUGGAAAGACAGAGAGAGAGAGACUCAAAAACAGAGUAAUGUGUUUUGCUUUUCACCUUUUAAUUUGAGAAAAUUCUUUGUCUGUAGAGAGAGAAGGAGAGAAUAGUUUUAACCUCUCUCUCUCUAGAAUCUAUAAGCGGCAGCUUCUUCAAGUGCAAGAUUUCUUUUUAUGUGUCUGUACAUUCUCUCUUUCCUACAUUUUUUUAAUUUUUUUUUUCAUUUGGGCAGUUCAGUACGUAAGUAGCUUGAUGUUGAUAAAUUGUUCGCAUGUUCUGUCUUUUCCUUUUAUUUUCUUCCUUGUAAACUAAUCUAGAAUUUCAGUGAAAACAACCCUAUUGUAAAUAAUUGUAUCUACACUACUGCAUUAACUGAAGUAUCUCUGCAUGGCAAGGCCGGCUCUUUUGCCCUGAAGCCAAUGCAAUGAGGAAUUGUUUGGGGCUCCAUUUUGUAUUAAAGAAGAUGAUUUUUCUUACGUGUGAAACAAAAUAUUCAGGACGAGUGUGAGGAAAACAUAAAUCACAACAUUCUAAUUCAAUUUAUGCAGCGGGUGCACUGUGGAUUCAGUUCUGAUAUUUGUGAUGACUUUUUAUAUGUAUUAUUGUGAUGGGUGGUUAUUAGAUAAAAAAAUAAUAUUUAAAUACGCACGGAAUGGUAUAAACUUGGAUCCAAAUUACUAAUAAGCUUAAUCGGUAUAAUCUUUUGGGAUGACAUAAAAAGCCUAAAGUUCAAACUCUAUUCAUGUAGGUGAGGAAGAAACUAAAUUAUUGCCGAACCAAUUAAACAUACAAUCUACUAGAAAAUAUGUACUUGAACUUACUACCCACUCGAAGAGUUAAAAGGCUUUACGUGAGAUUGUAGUUAGAAAUUCAGCAACUCAUAAGGUUAUUAGAGGUUACAUAAAGUUAUGUGAAGAUGCUAAUUUGGUUAGGUGUGCAGGGAUGGCAAAACGAACAACUGAAUCCAAUUCAAAUCAAAUUGUAAAUGAAUUGGAUCAACAUUCUAUUGAUUCAUAUUUGAUUUUCUUAUUAAACGAAUUGAAAUUUUAGAAUUGAAAUUUGAUUUGUUUAUUAAAUAAAUAUUUGGUUUGAUUUGUUUAAUUUAUUUAGUAAAAUUAAUAAAUGAAUUGAAUCAAAUCUGGAUCCGUUUACUAUUGUUUACAAAAAUAUAAUUAAUGAAUAAAAAUUAGGUAAAAUAAAAUAAAAAAGAUCACAAAUUUAACAUUCGACAAAAAUAUAAAUAAUCCAAACCAUAUUCUAAGAUUAAAUAUAUAGUCAUCCAAACACCAAAUUACAAAUUCUUAAUAAUACAAAUAAUAUUAAUUAAAAUUCAAAAUAUAAACCUAGGUGAUUUCUUUAAUUCUGUUCGUUUUGUCUUUGUCACCUGAAAACAAGUCCUACAAGAAAAAAUUAAAUAGAAUGAUAUUAACAUGUUGCAACACUAAUAAGAGUCAUUGUAACAUUUCAAAGUAUCAAUCAUAUACCAAAUUUUGUAGUAUUGAUAAGAAAAUAAUAAUUAAAUCUACAAAGGCAAGAAAAUCCAGCAAGAUAAAACUUUCCCUAUCACACUCCCACAUUGUCACGAGCAUCAUUGGCACUCUCUUGAGAUCGAGCACUAUUAGUGCUCAUGUUCAUAAUGUUUUCAGUAAGUUAGGCCAAAAUGACAUCAAAAUUUUCUACAGUAAGGGUGUGUUUGGCGUAUUGUAUUGUAUUAUAUUAUAUUGUAUUAUUUUAAUACAUAAUUAUUUAUUAUACUGUAUUACAUUAGAAUUAUAUUAUAAUAAUAUCGUACAGCGUUUGAUACUCCAUUGUGCUUAUUAAUUUUUAAUUAUAUUAUGUUUGGUGUUGCACUGUAUUGUAUUAAUCUUUUUUGGUGAUUAUUUUAAAUUAUAUAUUUAGAAAAUAAUAUUUAUUAGUACAAUACUUAGGAAAAUACUAAAUAUAAAAAAUUUGGAUUUUGGAAUUUUUACAUUUUAAAAAAUUUCGAUUUUUAUGGUCUCGAGUUUCUUGGAGGCUUUGUCUGCGGAGGAUCUGAGGAAUUUGAAAGAGUUGGUUUGGUAAAGGAGUGGCUUAGCAAGUUCAUCGAGAGCCUCUUGAAAUAUAAGUGUGCAACCCAAGAGGGGGGGUGAAUUGGAAAUUUAAAAAUUAUCCUAGCAAAUCCACACAACAAGCAAUCUAAUGUCUUAAUAAAAAUUGAAAGCAAUAAGUUCAAUAAAGGCACAAUAAUUAAAAGAGUAAGGGAAGAGAAAAACGAACACAAUGAUUUUUACGUGGUUCGGCUAUCCCCGCCUACGUCCACGCCUCCAAGCACACCGGGCUUGAGGAUUUCACUAUCCAAGCCUUUCCAAGGCUUCAACAAUUACAAUUGACUUCGAGGUGUCAAUAAACCUUUACAACAAAGAGAUUAUCUCCCAAUCUCUUCACUUAAGUGUCUCACACACUCAAACUCUUACAAAUGAAAUGAAGAAAUGAAAGUUACAAUCAAACUCACUCAAUGAGUAGAUAUUCAAAGAUGAAGAACAAUGAAUGAUUCAAUGUUUUGUGUUUUGCAAGUUGUAAGCUCAAGAUAUCAUGUGUGCCUUUUGUUUUUGCUUGUUGGAGAGCUUCAAAAUGAGUUGGAUUUGAGUUCUUAUAGCUUGAGCUCGAAAACUAGCCGUUACUCACAUUCUGGGCUAUCCGGUUUGCCGUUUUACGGAAUCCGGUAAGCCGGAUUUAUGUUACCGUUAAGGCAAAAUUUUGAAUUUUGCCUAACCGGCUUGCCGGAUUCGGAAUCCGGUAAGCCGUUUUCGUUCUGGGUGCUUGCUGCCCGAAUUCGGUUUACCGUUUAUCAGUAUCCGGUAAGCCGCUUGCUACAGUAACAUGCUACAGUAAAAUAUUUCCCGAAAUUUAUAGUUUGACCUCAAAACUUUAUAAAACUGUAGUAUGACCCAAAACGUUAUAAAAAUUUGCAAAUAGGUCCAAUUUCAGAAUUUUAAAUAAUGCUUUCUCAAUCCCACAAUUUUUUGAAAUUAUGACUUCGCCCAAACUUUAUGAAAUUAUAGAAUGGCCCAAAAACAUUUAAAUAGUUUCAAAUACGUCCAAAUCCGAAAUUGAAAAUACUAUUAAAGAUUUUGAAAUUACUUUCAUUUUAGUCCAAAAUGCUUUAAUUCCAUAACAUCAUUUUCUUAUAAUAAAAGCACAAUUCAUAAAUCUUUACUUAAUAAAUACAUGUGGUUUGUUAUCAUCAAAAUCAAUAUUUAUAGCCAUAUAGGCUAACACCUCUGUCUUACCUUCUUCCUCUUGCCCUGCCAUGCCUCUGCAAUAGUGAUUGUUUCAUAUGAGACACAAAUGAUAGGGAUAACUUUGCCUCAAAAUAAUUACAAUUUACAAAUCCGCAUAAACCCGACUCCCCCGUGGGUUUAGUCUAUGCGGGUUUGACCGCAUAAAUUAGAUAUUUGACUACAUUACAAUACUAUGCAUUAAGGGCGUGUUUGGUAGCCUGCAUUAUAUGGGAUAAAAACACUAUUUGUAUUCAAUUUAAACAAGCUCACGUUUGGUGCUAAAAGUAGCUACAUCUACACUGUAUUAAUGGGCUGUGCUAAUGCAGCAGUUGUAGCAUUAGCUUGCCUCUUAUUAUUUUUUUUUUCAAUUUUCUUAAUAAUAAUAAAAAUAUAUAUAAUAAAUAAAUAAAACAUUUGAAUUUUAGUAUUAUAUUAUAUAAUAUUAAUUUUUAUUUUUAUUUUUACAUUAUAAUUUAUUAGUAAAUUUAUAAUUUAAUAUAAUUAAUAUUAUUAUUACUUUGAAUAAUAAUAUAAAAUAUUAUUACAUAUACUACAGAACUUUUACUUGGAUUAUUUAUCACAAUUCAUUUUGUUAGUGAAUAUGUUAUAACAAUUAUAUCACUUUAUUAUUUUGUUAUCAUCUUGUGGUGUGUAUAAAUUUUUAUUUCGUUAUCCUAAGAUGACUUUUGAACUAAUCUUCUAGGUUUUAACUAUUUAUUUAUGUUGUUAUAUUACUAGAGAUUAUUUGAUUAAAUUAUUUGCUUCAAUCUUUAUCUCACAGGUCAUAUAUUUAGAAAAUACUGAAAAAUAAAUGUAAUGCUUUCGAAAAUUUAAGGUUAUAAGCUUUGAUCUUUAUGAAGAAUUAUGAUAUUUUUUAACAUUUACACUAAAAAAAUUGUUAAAUUUAAAAAAUUUAAGAUUUCUGUAUUUAGUAUUUUUCCAAAUACUAAUAAAUAUUAUUUUCUAAAUAUAUAAUUUAAAUUACUCAAAAACAAUUAUUACAGUACAAUAUAACACAAAAUAUAGUCUAAUUGAAAAUUAAUACAAUACAUGUAGCACCAAACAUUGUACAACAUUAUGGUAAUAUAGUACUACUGCAAUAUAACAUUAUAUAAUACACCAACAUUAAAAUAAUAUAAUAUAACAUAAUACAAUACAGUGUGCCAAACGCACCCUAAAAUUACAAAAUAUGGCAUAAUAAUCCUUUAAUACUUUGAGGGGUUUUAAUACCAUAUAAUGAAGAGUACCAAACAUGCCCGAAUUUAAAAAAAAUAAAUCUUAAUUAGAAACAAGUGAAUAUAAUAUUAUAAAAAAAAUUAAUUAAUUUCAUUAGCAACUCUUACCAAUCUCUCCUAACAUCUCAAUCUCUGAUAGUAAUAAUUGCUUGGACAAUCUUUGAUUUCAAUAAACUUUAAAAUUGAUCAAGAACUUGACUGCCAGCACUAAAAACCGAUUAAGAUGCAACAUGGAUAUACGAAUGCUUAAGAUAUCACGAGCCAUGGAAGAAAGGUUAGGAUAACAAAAUUUGUUUCCUUUAAAAAGAUUUAGAAUGUUUAAAUCAAUCUUUCUAUAUAUUCUUGGUUCAUCCAAAUAAAACUCUAAUUCAGAUUUUCUAACAUAGGCAUUACAAUCCAUGCUAUUAAGAUCAUCAAACUCCUACAAAAUAAUUAAGAGAUAAGAAUUGUCAAAAUCCAAAACAAGUACAAAUAAGGAAAUAAUAAUUUUUACAAUGAACAGAAAAGAAAAUUGUAAAUGUACCUUGAAUAGUUCCAUGGUCCAUUGGUUAAGUGUAUUCUGACUAUUAUCAUUAUGUCCCACACUUGAACCAAUAUCACUCAUUUGAAUGAGUAUGGAUGUGGUGGAGAAAGAUAGUGUGAUAAAAUUUUACUCACUAAAAACUGAAAACAACUUAUCAUGAACAUGUUCUAACUGCUUUGAAUUUUGAUCAUAAGCAUUGUCGUAGGCAAACUUAAUGAAUGCCAUCCUGUAUCGAGGAUGCAAGAUGACCACAAUUGCCAAAAUGGUACAAAAAUCAAACCAAUACUUCUCAAACUUUUCGAUAAUUUUGAUUGCCAUAAUUUUCAUAUAUACAUCCUAACUAUGCAAUAAUUUAUCCAAAACAACAUUACAUGCAAACACCUUAGGAAAAUACAAACUUGAACUGGGGUAUUUUGACUUGGAAAAAAUGCAUAUGAUCUCAUAAAACAUAGACAAGAAUUUGCCAGUUUUCAUUUUUCUCUAGUCUUCUUCGGAAGAUAACUCUUAUAAUUAGAAUCACUCAAUUGUCAAUGACAGCAAACAUUUUUGUUAUGCAUAACACUAUCAAUUAUAAGAAAAGUUGAAUUCCUUCUUAUAGGAACAUCUUGUCUUAAUCUUUUCUUGUCAUCUAGAGAUACUUAACACACUCGAAGAAUUUUUUUUCUCAUAUUUGACCCUUUGACAUAUUUUAUACUCUCAUGGGCAUUUUCUAUUUCUUCCUCAACUUAUUUCAAUCCUUUUUGAACAAUCAAUAUAAUAAUAUGAGGACAACUUCGAAUAUAAAAGUAAAUCCCCAUCACACAUUAAAGGAUUCUUUAAUCUCAGUUGACUUUUUAACAUUACAACACUAAUAUCGUUACUUGUUUAGAGUCAUUGAAAAAAAAAAUCUUUUUUUCUCAAUAUCCCAUUCACACAAUAAUGAUAAUAUUUUCGCAGCCAAGGCAACCACAGUGUGUGGAGUUAGCAUUUUAGAAAAAUUAAACAUUAUUUUUUGUAAAUUCUAUCCUUUAUCAACGAAAGUGUUAUUAAUUCGGUCAAUUUUUGUCAAUCCAAACUUGACAAAUUCAUCUAGGAUAUUACGACCUCUAGCUUUGCUCAAAUUCUAGACCCAAUGUGAUUGAGAAGUCUAUGAAAUUGGCUGAAAAUUCUUUCCUUCUUUUUUUUAAAAUAAUUUUGAAUAGUUGUCAUAUUCUACACUUCUUGACCACGAGUUUAACAAAAUUAACUAAAAAACUGCCAAAUCACUUUAGAUUAUCUAUAUUUAUCCAUGCACUAAUCUAUCAUGAUUCAUGGAUAGCAUGUGCAAAUAAAUAUUAGGGAGUUAGUCACUCUACUUCCGUGAUAUAGUAAAUACAGACUAUAUGAAUAAAUCUUAAGGAUUUAUGCAAGUCUGUGAUUAUUUUUUAACACGAAAAAAAGUUUGUGUCAAAAAAGGAGCAUGUGUAUCUUGAAAAUGGAUUGGUAUGACCAUUUAUUAAAACAAAGAGAUAUCUCUCGCCAUUUCCUUAACCUGAGGAGUAAGGAGGUAUUGUUAUUCUUUUUCUUAUAUAUUAUUUUAUUAUUUUUACUAAAAAUUUAUAGUGCUUAGAGUUUUUCUUUUUGAACUGUGAAGCCAUACUUAGUGAAUUGUUGGGGAAGAUUAAUUUACUCAAAAGAAUUUUUUUCUUUAUUUAGGCAUAUAAUUGCAUUUAAUCUAGUAUAUAAUCUACUUAUUUAAAGUAAUUUAUGUGAUGAAAAUAUAAUUAUUGUAUUUCAUUUAACGCUCAUCAUGGGUGCAAAUCAAAAGCAUUAUUGAGGGGGCAAAUAAAACAUUUGCUUGAAAUUUAAAAUUAAUAUUCUAGAAAAAUAAUAUUUAUUAGGACAGCUGCCGCCCUUGCUGGUCCCUAUCUAUGUCUCAAAAUUUUCAUUGCGCGAGCAGAAAACAUUGGAAAGUAAUUUAAGGCAUAGGUUUGUUGUAUAUAUAUUAAUCUCAAGAAAAUGAGUAAUUAAUAUGUGAACAAAUGUUUAAUGAUGACCACUUAAGGAUCUAUAUUUGACUUAUUUUGGUUCUUUUUUUUAUUAAUUAAUUUAUAAUUUCUGGGAUAUUAUAUGAUAUAAGAACUGACUGUAUCAUACAAUAUCUGUAAUGCCUUUUUAAUCAGAUAAAUGCAAGCAAAUUCUAUUAUAGCUUUCUGAUUACUUUCGGAAAUUGCAGGUUACAUUUUCCAAAUUAUUAAAAACAAAAUCAAACACAGAAAUUGAAAAGCUUUCAUAAGUAGUUUUCAAGUAAUUUUAUUUAAUGGUCAUUCAAAUUUCGUAAGUAGUUUGCAAGUAGUUUAUUUAAAGGUCAUCCAAAUUCCAAUUCUGAGAAGAUAUGAGGCUAAAAUUUCAAUCUGAAUUUUAUCCACCACCUCCCUAGUUCUUAGAAGAUAUAUUAGAAAAAAAAAAGGUUAAAAACUUUAAUAAACAGGUGGAGAAAUAUAUUACUCUUAUUAUGGUUUGUAUCAGGACCGUUGGCCCCAUAGUACUUAAACCCAUCUCUUACUAUGGUCUGUAUCACAAGUAGUGGCCGUAUAGUACUUAAGCCCAUCAUAUUGUUUUUUGAAACACAAAAUGUAAAACUGAAAAACAGAACCCAGAUGGGCAAAUAUGUACAUCAGAUAUGCAAUCAUAACUCUUUCAGGAUGAAUUGCAUAAUUACUUGUGGACUAAGGGCUUAUAUCUGCAAUCUCAGCAUAUGUUCCAUGUCUACGAAUGUGUCAUGUAUGACCUGCAUCAGACGGAGUAGGAUUGCUGAAUUGCGUCGAUAUCCAGUCCUUUAAGCCUAAUCAGUGAUUCGACGUGCCCUUUCAGUGUACGCAGUUCUCUCAAUCUGCAAAAAAUCAAAAU
rnacentral:lncRNA from 1 species